UGUAGAGUCCUAGUGUCGAUUUUUCGAGUGUUUACCAAUGUUAUCCUACUCCUUAUUGGUUUGAACAAUACCUGAAUUUAUUGUUGCUUCUGAGAAACUUUUAGAGUCCUUUCAAAGGGAUUUUCGACACCAUGUUGCCACGAUCUUAGUAGCACCCUAGGAGUCUCCCAAGUUUCUUCCUGUUUGGAGCUUAGGAGAAGUUUUGAUUUAGGCAAGGAUCGACUAUCGAUUGAUUUAGGCAAUUGAUUCAUUUGUUUCAAUCAGUCGACCAUUUUUUCAACUAGCCAAAACUAUUGUGUAAGCCAUGAGAAGCUAUAUUUUGGUCUUCAAGCUUGAAAACUCAUUAGGCUUAGAAAGUUCCUCAUGGGACUCUAGGUAGUCCCCUUGCUAUACCACCCAUGAUCCUAUAUGUGAUAAUAGUGAGGUGAUGACACAAUUUGAGGAACCAAGAAACUAUAAAAAAAAGGUAAACACAUAAAGAAGAAGUACCACCUUAUUUUUUAGGUAGUAUAGAAAAGUGAUGUUACCAUGGAGAAGGUACUUUCUAUGGAAAACAUGAAAAAUUCCUUCACCAAGACUUUGUUGAGGAAGUAUUUGAAGGUCAUAAGGAUAAAAUAGGUGUUAGAUGUAUAUCCAACAUACUUUGAGGGCUAGUAAGAGAUUGUUAGGAUAAAAACCCUUAAAAAAAUAGGACAUGAUAUAAUAAGAUAUAAUUCCAUUAAUGUGUAUAUUAUGAUUUCAAUUUCACUUUAUUAUCUUAUUUAUUUGAGCAUUUAGACCUACAUAUGAAGCGCAUCUCAAUAAAGUGUCCUCCCUCAUCCACCUAUGAAGUGCACCUUACAAAGCCCACAUCUCAAAGCACUACCUUGAUUGCUCCACAUUAUAGUCGAGUCAUAUCUUCCUACCAUUGUGUUGAUCAAGGUAGUGCAACGCCCUUGAAUAUUUGAUCAAUCUAUCUAUACUCCCAUGCCAUUGUACUAAAAAUAAUAAUAAUAAAAAGCCAUAGUCCUAUACUUCAUGCAGACAUUUUAUAGAGAUACAAAAUUAAUUGUUUAUGGAGAUAAUUUUAAUUAUUGCUUAAUCAUUGUCAAUUUCUUAUCUUGUUAAAGAUGAGAGACAUAGUAAUUCCACAUAUAAAAUAGUACAAUCAGUAUUUUUGUCAAGGUACAUAUGAAAAUGUCUAUAAGCUUAGAAUUUGAGUCAAGAUUAUUAAUUAACACAUAAAAGUGAGUGUUAAGACAAUAAGUAGUGUCUAUAUGUUGGCAAUUUUGUUCCUUAUAAUGUAUGGUCAUAGAAGUCUCUUUAGAUAGUGACUUUCUUCCCAUUGAAGAUUAAGUGUUAUUGUUCGUCAAAUCAGAAAGUCACUGGUACAUCUAAAAAGGUUUGACUUGUGGCAAAUCAAGUUUUGUUGAGGUACUAAAAGGAUCGAUUUUGUUUUAAACUUAAAAUGAUUUAAAAUUGAUUUUUAAAUAGAGUAGGACCAUUCAAGCAACUUGGAAUGCUCAAGUGCUCAGGACCACUUAAGCAAACCAUACAACUUAAGCGCCCAAGGCGCUCAAGCAAUGAGUAAGUUAGCAUAAACAGUCAUGUAGAUUUUGCCGAGAUUUUUUCAUGCAAAUAUGAUUUAGAACUCUUUCAAAAUUGAAACUUUUCGGGUUUUUGCCUAUAAAUACCCGCCUAUUAACCUCUUAAGGGUUAAAGACCAAAGAGACCACAUUGAGAUCAUUUAGAGAACUUUCAUUCUUUAGAGAGGGUCUCCGAGAGAGAAAAAUUCAAGUGUCACACCAUUCUUGAUCUCUCAUUCAAGGAUUGAUUAUUUGAAUAUUGGUUUGAAGACCUUCAUCCAUUUGACGAGGCUAAAGUGAUCCACUAGAGCAAUCGAGGGUUGUUGUGUCACGGACAUGAAUCAAGUCGUAAGUACUAGAGAGUAAGUCUUUAGGGUAAAGCGACCAUGUUAAUCUAUGUAACUUGAUUUCGUAUAGUGGAUUUAAAUUAGUAGGUCUUAGUCUUUGUGAUUUUUUAUCUCCAUAGUUAGUGUGAGAGUUUUCCAUAUAAAAAUCUUAUGUUUCAUUGUCUCUAUAUUUUAUAUUUGAUAUUCUAUUUAAAUUGUCCAUAAAGAAUAGAAAAGAUUAUUCAUAACAUCUCGCAGGUUAAAAGAAUUGGGUAUGACAUAUAAAUUUUUAUUGAAAAAUUUUAAAUCACUCAUUCACCCCCUUUCUAGAUCCCUAUUGGAUUUUUUAUUUUUCAGUGAGGUUUUCUUAUAAUUAAAAUAAGGAUUGUAUAAUGCAUUUUGAGUGUUAAUUGGUUCUCCUAACUCAAAUAUGAGUCUUGUUUGAGGACUAAUAUGUGAAACUAGUGAAGAAUGCAACAAAAAUAAAAUAAAAACCAUGAUUUAAAUGACUUCCAAGGAAACAAGGAUUUCACAAUGUUGAUGGGUGUAAGGAAUGAACAAAAGAAACUCAAAUUGAUAAGCAAAAGUCAAACCAAUUUAAAAGAAGCUAAAGCUGAAAAUCAAUGCAUGAAUUCGAAAUUCGAAAUUCAAAAUCAUCAAAACCGAAUGAGUAACUCAUUUCAAAAAUCAGAAGAACUCAUCCCAAAAUCAAGAACCUCAUUUCAAAAUAAGGAAGCUCAAUUUCAAAUUAACAUUGUCCAUUUCUAAGUGAGCAACCUCAUUUUGGAAUUGUCAUUUUGUUAUUUUAAAGUUGUCAUUUUAUUACUUUGAAAUCAAUUCUAAAAUUAUGACAUUAGAUUUUUCGUAUGUCUUUUCAAGAUUCUCAUUGUUAUUUCAUAGCAAGUGGCCGAUAAGAUAGUGUUGCAUGUCCUUUUAGGGUUAAAUAGUAUACAAACUCUCAUUGUUAGGGUUUGAGAGAGGAUUUACAUCCAUCCAAGUAUGUACUUUGUUUUGGUUUUCUUUAGUUUAAUAGAAAUUUAGUUUUCCUUUGUAUUUUCUUUUCUAUUUUCUUAGCAACCAAACAUGAGUUCUUUAAGAGAGAUCUUUCCACUAUGUUUGGUUGAUUGUAUGUGACUUGGAGAAAGGAAUUAUGAGAAGGAGAAUUCAUAUGAGGAAUCAUGGAAGGUGGCUUCCUUCCUAAAGUCAUUAAUUUUACGUUUCAAGUGUGAUGGAAUACAUUCUCUAAGUAGUUCCUCUCAAUCAAGGGAUGGUUAAGUCUAAACUUGAUUCUAGUGAUAUUUGAUUACAUCUUGAUCAUUAGAUAACUUAUUUUGAUUGAUUGUAGAUAAGAUUGAGAAGAAUUUUGCGGAUGAAUAUAAGGUUUGAUUAUUAAAAUAAUAAACAAAGGUUAAGGUUCAUUUUAAUUAGUUUUUAGAUCUAAAGUAAACUGUCAAAUCAGAUUUCCAAAUUUAAACCAAUUUUAAGAUAUGGUUUAGUCUUGGAUUGAUUGUCAAAGUGAGAAAAAUUCCACUUUCUUUCAUGACAUCGAACUUGUGAUGUUCUCUAAACAUUUUCUUUAAUUUUGUUUUGUUUUUAUUUGAUGUUUUAAACUUAAAUAACAAAACACAUUAGUGAUAAUCUCAGAGAAUAAAAACUUAGAUACUACAAGUAGUAGUGAUUCUUUAUCUAGUUUUCCUUAACUAGAAUCAUUACGUAUUUUAAGCUUUAGUAUUAUUAUGUGACUAGAAUUCACCUGUCUUUCUACAUUUUAAUGGUUGUUGUAGAAGUAAUUUUUCAUCUCAAGAUUCAUCUAAAAAGAGGCUAGAACAAGUGCAGAAUAGAGGACCAAUUAGGGACAUUUAAGAUGACUAGUUGUGUGGCAUGGUAGCAGCUUAAAAGUGAGUUAACUUCUAUAAGCUUGAAAUUAUACUUAUGUAUUAAAAAAGAAAUAUUAAAUGUUGAAAGGAAAAAAACUUAAAGCAUAAGAAGCAACUUAGAAAUUCUCUUUUUCUUUUAGAAACUUAGAAUUGAAAGUGGAAGAAAAAUGAACUUACAUAAUAAAUAGAGAAGUUGCUAUUCUAAAACUCUAUUUUGUUUUUUCUUAUGGUUCUUUGAACUGAAAGUACUAGUUAUCUAAAUAAUAAUUUUAGGUUAUGUAUGAGUUAUAAAAAUGGUUAACAUGCUAAAUAUUUAUUGUUGAGAAAAUAUUGAUCAUAUGUGAUGAUGAAAUUACAAAUAUGAUAUUGAUUGAAAUGCUAAAAUUUAUUGUUUAUGGUUGAGAUAUACUCUCUCUCUCUCUCUCUAUAUAUAUAUAUAUAUAUAUGUAUGUAUGCAUGCAUAUACAUAUGUAUGUAUGUAUGUAUGUAUUGUUAUGUUUGGAAACUAACUUUGAUUUGUGGCAUAAGCAACAUGGAGAAGUGCUUAAGGCUUUGUAAAUUCAAAUUAAGGCAUCAUGUUGGGUUGUCUUAUAAAAAAUAAUAAGGGGGAUCCUUAGGUGAGGGCUGUAGGGACCCCUCUCCUUGGGAAACACGUGGCACGCAGCUCAUAGUGACGCGUGGCACGUGUUAUCAGCCGGACCUUCAUCAUCCGGAUUCCCCUGAGGAUAUGCAUGGUGCAGUUAUCCUAUCCGGACCGCCUCAAGGAAAGGCAAACGACGUUUCAGCUUCUCCUAUCCAAGGAAGAGCAAACGACGCUGGCAGAGCGUAGACAUCCGGAUAAUCUCCACAACACAUCCGGAUAAUCAGCAUGAGCCAUCCGGAUAUAAAUCGUCUGGAUGGUCAAUUAAAGUAAAGCGAGUCUUACACGCAAUCACAACAAGCAGCCAUGGCCCACACCUUGUCACCUGCAGAGUGAGAAGACAAGAGGAAGUGACAGCAAGUCACUUCCCACGAUCAUUCUACAUAAUCACUUCCCACGAUCUCUGACAGCCGCAUCACCUACCAUGGUCUCUGACAGCCAUUCGUAGGGUGAUAAUGCUCCUACUGACACCUAUUAUCAUCAUUACAACAUAAAAUAUCUCCUCACCAUUAAUGAAAGGAGUAGUACCCCUGAAGCUGUAUAUAUAUGCCUUCACACGCAGAAGAAGGGGAUCCCCUGGUAACCUUUUGAUACCUAGUAAAAGGCCAACUGAUUUAUAUCUCUCUCUCUUACCAUGGCUAACAAAACCAUCGGAGGGUGUGUCCGAACACCCUGUCCGGAUGCCUUUUGCAGGUACAAACCGCUGAAUCAAGAACCCUUUGUGUGUUGAGAAUCGCGUGUCCAUCCAUCUAGCAGCAACGUGGACCACCGGAUACGCGAGGCGACAACAAGGGCCCUUAAAGGAAGAAAGGUAUAAUAUACCUUAGGAUGAAAGAUCCAAAAUAAUUUUUUGGAAGAUCCAUGUGUAAAUAUAAUAAGGGGGCAUAAAAGUAUGUCCCUGGGUGAGAAUUCCUAAAAUACAGAUUUUCAUAGUUACAAAUAACUAAUGAAUCCAAGAAAGGUAUUUAAAAGUCUCAUGAAAGGUAUAUAUGGUAAGCUUAAAAUUGUAGAUGGUGAAAAUAUUUACAUACCUUGGUGAUGUUAUAUACUAUUGAAUGAACUUCUACUUGAUGGAGAAGAGUUGUGGCUCAUUUUUUUCAAAAAUAAUUUUUUUCUUACAAAGGUCAAGGUGUAUAAGAGAGGAGACGUACUUGAACCAUGAUGUGAAGCCUAAGAAGAUUUUGUUAGCUAUAUUACAUAUGGAAUUUUUGUGUAUUUUGAGUGUUUUUCGUUACAUGGUGUUGUAUGUUGAAAUAAGACAAGGGUUGUAAUAUUAGGUUAUGUAUAUUAGAAUAUGUGGUGAAGGUUCUUGUCUUUUAAGCACAUAUUUGAUUUUGAUAGUAUAAAUUUAAGCUUCUUUUUUGGUUGUAAGAGAGUUUUUAAGGUUUCAUAUUCUUUAAUGAAGUUUAAGGAUGUUUUUAAGGAGUUUCAGAUGUGAAAAAAUGGAGAGAGUAUGAAAAAUAAGCAAAUUUCAUAUCGGAGUGGUUAGCUUAGGUUUUAGGUGGGUCAAUCUUCUAUACACACAUUUUAGAAGUGCACCAGGCUUGGGUGCACAUUUCCAAGUGUGCUUGAGGUGCACUAAACUUUAGCAUACAUAUUUUCAUCAAGAUUGGGUACACAUCCCUUACGGGGUUGGAAGUGCAUCAUAUUUCUUCAUGAAAGAUACACCACUUAAUUUAUUCCAAAGAUGAGUUUACUUCCUUGAACUUAAGUGCAUCAAGUCUCUUUAAGUAGGCCAAUUUUAAAAAUAAAUAUCAGUAUUUAUUAUUUUGUCAUUUAUUUUUCUACUAUUUUAAGUUUAUAAUGUAAAUACAUAAACACCCUAGUUCAAAUUUAAUAAAAAUACUUUUAGAAGCAAGCUCCAUGUAAACCCAAAGUAUGAUUUUUCAGUUUUAAUUAUAAAGCGAUAGCUUUUACUAAAAAUUUUAUAAAAAAAGUUUGUUAAAGUAAAAUUAUUAAAAAUAAAAAUUUCAAAUAUAUCUAUAUAUAUAUAUAUAUAUUUAGUAUUAUCAACAUGGAAAAAACAAAAUCCGACUCUUUUGAUCUCAAACCAAGAAAAUUUUAAAAUUGUCACAACUAGAUCAAUACACAAGAUAAGCUUGAAGUUUUUCAACUCAAAGAACUUUAUUUCAUAAGUAUAUCAAUGAAAGAAAUUUAACCACAAAUACUAUAAUUUCUUUUUAAUUCACACUUCGAGUUUUAAAUUUUUUUUACGAAAAAAAUAUAACAAGAGUUUUUUUAUAGCAAGAGAAUUCUUUUGGGUGUAAUUAGGUUUUUAAGUUUUGAAAGUUUAGAAUUCUAGUGUCAAUUUGGUAAUUGUUUUUAAAAAUAGUUUUCUAUUCUUUAUGACCAAAAGUAGGAAAAUACAUAUGGUAACUAGAAUAAUGUGUUGUUCUUAAAAAUAGAAAAUAUGAUAUUUUCAUAUAACAACUUUUAGUUGUUUUCAAUUAUUUUUCUCAAAGUUGUUUUAAAAAAUAAUGAUAUAAAUAUGAAAAAUAAUUAAAAAUAAAGCAUUACAUGUAAAAGUCAUUUUCAAAAUAUAUUUAAAAACAUAGAAAAUAGAUUAAAAAUAUUUCAGUUCCCGACAUACAUUUGUUUUACAAAAUAUUAGAUAACAAUUUUUAAAAAACAGUUACUAAAAACUGUUUUUCAAAACUAUUUUUGAAAAUAAUUAUCAAACAUGCCCUAAACACACCUUGGAAUAUACUAAAUUGAUAUCCAUCUUAUCAUGGAAGUAGAGGCAUGUGCCACUCCAUCUUAUUAUGGAAUAAGGCAUGUGUGGCACAUUACUAAAACACAUUAAUCAAAUGCAUUUUUCUUGUGUUUGUCUAUGUUUUAUCAUUAGUGAUGUCACAUAAUACUAGGUUACAACAUUUGAAUAAUAUUGUCUUGUAAUUUGUAUACAUAAAAACAUUAUGUUAAAUUAAUUGAGAAUUUAAAUUCCUAUAUUAAUAAUAUUAUUUUACUCAAUUCAAGAAACUUGAUUCAACACCAUGAAAGGUGAUCCUAGACUGAAAGACUUGACCAAAAAGUUAAGUUAGGGCAGAUGUGACUUAGAUUUCUAACUUACCUAAGUUGUGAUUUUUUGACUUUUCAUUUGAAAUUAAGCUAUUUUCAACUUUGAAUUUCACUUAAUUAUUCUUUCUAAAUUGAAACGUGUAAGAUAUUAUAAUUAAGUCACUCUUAUUACUUAAAACAUAUUCAAAUUUUAAACUUAUGUUGAGAUUAAGGUGAUUAAGACAUUUUUGAUAAUUGAACAAAAUAAAAUCAUUAUCGUUUGAUAUAUUUUUUUAAAGUAGAUUAAAAAAAAACUAUUUUGUUAAUCGAAUGUACUACAUGGAUGUCCUUUUCAAUCCAAUUGAAAUGUAUUUAAUUCGUUAUUGUUAAUUUAUCGUGAAAUUCGAUUGAUAUGAUCAGGAUUAAAAAUGUUUUAGUACUUGACGAAAAAAAUUUAAAUUUUUCUUUAUUAUCCUUAAAUAAAAACAAAAGAAAAAAAAAUCAUUCGAUGUAUUGAGAAUGUAAAAUUUGGUGGAAUGAAAAUCUUAAAACCAUUUCCAUCCCAAUGGAAAUGCUUCUAGUUCACUAUUAGUGAAAUUUAUGAUAUUUUGGAUAAAAUGGUAGAAAGAGUAGGAGGGAUGGAUGAGCAGCACCGCCAAAGAGCGAAAGAGCGUAAAAGAAGGGAAAAUCUUCUCUGGGAGAAUCUUAGAAGAAAUCAUGCGUGGACGGCUGAGAUUAAAAGGAGGAAGCCUUUUUUGCCAAAUAUGGGCCAUGCAGAGCCGCGCCAUGGUGUGCAGUGUGCUUGGCUAACCCUCGUGUCUCUUCCAAAAAAAUUUAAUAUAAUAAAACCAAUGUAUUUGAGGCGAAAGAAACGGGUUGGGAACGCAGGCGGAGGGGAAGAAAAAAACUUAUAAUAAUAAACAAAAAAGAAAAAGAAAAAGAAAAGAAAAAACCCAAGCAGCUGCGCUCUUCUCUUUUCCCUCUUCUCGUCUCAACACUCUCUCUAGACUUGGCUCCUCUUUCUCUCCGGGCUUGCCCCAAUUCGGGUGAUUGGAUCUGUCAUUUCUGUAAUUUUCUCAUCUGGAUCUCUCUAAUUCAGCUGUGAAUCGAGCAAUUUUGGUUAUUGACUUUAAUUUUCUGGAGAAAAUUAGGGCGAGAAAGUGAGGGGAAAUGAAGAUUCCCUGCUGUUUGGUGUGCCAGACUCGGUACAACGAGGAGGAGAGGGUUCCGUUGCUGCUUCAAUGCGGUCAUGGCUUCUGCAAGGAGUGUCUCUCUCGAUUGUUCUCUGCAUCUCCCGAUACCAACCUCUCUUGCCCCCGCUGCCGCCACGUGUCGUCCGUGGGGAACUCCGUUCAGGCGCUGAGGAAGAACUACGGCGUCCUCGCGCUAAUCCAGUCAUCCUCCGCGCCGUCCUCGGCGUUCGACUGCGAUUUUACAGAUGAAGACGAGGAUAACGAGGACGAGCUACUUAACGAAGAGGAGGAGGACGAUGAGUCACACCGGCGCCGCCGAUGCAGCCGCGGCUCGUACACGUCGAGCUCCAGCUGUGGACCGGUGAUCGAGCUGGCGUCGCACCAGGACUUGAGGCUGGUGAAGCGGAUUGGGGAAGGGAGGCGCGCCGGAGUGGAAAUGUGGGCGGCUGUGCUCUCCGGCGGGUCAGGGCGGUGCCGCCACGGUGUGGCGGCUAAGAAGGUGGUGGUCGGGGAGGACACUGAUUUGGGUUGGGUGCAGAACCGACUCGAUAAUUUGAGGCGUGCAUCAAUGUGGUGUAGAAAUGUGUGCACUUUCCAUGGAGCUACGAAAAUGGAGGGUUCUCUUUGUCUGAUAAUGGAUAGAUGUAAUGGUUCCGUUCAGUCCGAAAUGCAGCGCAAUGAAGGGCGGCUUACUUUGGAGCAAAUCCUGAGGUUUUGUUCUCUUGCUUGCUUGUUUAUUGGAUGAAUUAUUUGAAUUUUAUGAUUUUCAUUUGUGUGUGAACUUCAUGUACUGGAACAUAAAUCUUUACUUGAUGCAUGCAAGGGAUUGUUUGGAAAACAUAACUGACUCUGGUUUUAGAUGUUACAAAGAAAUUGGAUCUAGGGUUUGAGAUAGUGACUUCCGAUAGUGAAUCUGUGUUUUGUUUGAGGGUUUCAAUGUUAACAUUAUUGAACAUUUACAUGCAUGCUAAAUUAUUAUAAAUUGAAUAACUUUUCACUUUGCUUUCACCAGAGGGCCAGCAGCAAAAUGGGGAAGUGUUACAUUUGUUUGCCUUAUACUUGUUAUUUUGAGUCUAUUGAUGACAACUGCAAAUUUUGGAUGUCUGUUUGCCUUGUUAAUUUGUGUCUAUACGACAGUGGUAAAUGGGAAAAGUGCUACACUUAUUUUCCGUGUACUUGUUAUUUAGUGUGUAUAAACGACAGCGAUGAACUGGGAAGUUUAAGAUUUGUUUGCCUACCUUUUACUUGUUUUUUGGUGUGUAUAAACGACAGCGAUGACCUGGGAAGUGUUAGAUUUGUUUGCCUACCUUUUACUUGUUCUUUUGUGUGCAUUAACGACAGCGAUGAACUGGGAAGUGUUAGAUUUGUUGCCUACCUUUUACUUGUUAUUUUGUGCCGAUUAACGGCAGCAGCGAAGCAAACUAAAAAGUGAUACAUUUUCUUGGCUUUUAAUCAUUAUUCUGUGUUUAUAAACAACUAUGAUGAAUGGGGAAUAUGUUACAUUUAUUUGCCUUGUUCGUUUGUGUCUAUAAACGACAGUGUCAUAUGGGGAAAGUGUUACAUUUUAUUUGCCUGUUACAUUUUUUUUUUCUGUAAAUGACAUUGCUGAAUGAGUAAAUUGUUAAUCUUGCUUGGUGCAGUGACAGGAAGCUCUGCAUGCAUUGGAGCUUAGGUGAAAUUGGCUGUCAUUUGGUGCCAUGACAGCUAUACCAAUGCAUGCGGAGAUGAGGUGAAGAGCGUUUUGCUAUUUGAGCAACUGCUGUACAAUGUGGCACAGAUGUGAAAUGGAUUGUACAUUUGGUGUCAUAGCUAAAAUAUAUAGUGUGGCCAGGCAUGAAGGGCUCUACAUCUUAUUUGAGAUGUUUCAUUAUGUAGUUUCUCUCCUCAUGCACUUGUUCGUGCAUGUUGAAUGCAUUUUCUUAUGUGUAUCACAUGAGUAACAGAUUACUUCAUUGGUGUCAUUUGCAUAGCAACAUUCAGAGUUAGUUUGGACUAGUUUUAAUUUUCUCACCCUACUAGGAUCACUCAAUUAUGAGGCUCAAUUGGUGUACAAUGCAAACCUGUGAGAUUUUAAGAAAGUGGAUCCAGUCAAUGCACCAACUAUCCAUAUUAAUAUUUUAAAUAUAGAAAAAGUCAUUUAUAGUAGGUCUUAGUUUGGAGAUCAAGCUCAUUAAAUGUUUCAGAAUAGGCUAAUCUGGACUUCCACAUAGAAAUUCAUAGAAGCUAAGAACAUAUCUUGAUGGAGGUGAGAUGCUUAUACGUUUUGGAAUUGAUAACAGCAAACUGUGCACAUGGUGAGAAUUCUCAUCUCAGAUUUUAGAGGGUGGAGAGAGAAUGUUCUCUUAGAGUCUUUUAUGGGAGAAUGCAAGCAAUGAGGGGUGAAGAUCCAAUGAGAUGAUUAAUAUCUUGACUUUUGACAUUUGCUCUACAAACCAAACCUUAUUGAUUGAAUUAUAGGUUGAGAAGAUUAGAGAAAAGUAGUGUUUUUGUUUGUAUCAGAAAAUGCAAAUAUUUAUUCCGUAAUAUUGGGUGCCCAAAUUAACUUCACAUUUGAGGACUUUUGGGUUGCCAAGCAAUUGCUUUAAUUUCAAGAUGAAUAUCUAUAAUGGUUGGAGCUUUCAACAGACUGUACUCCUUUCUUAUUAGGCAUAUAAAAUUUAUUUAAGAGGCACACAUUUGGACCAUUAAACUCAAGCUAUUUUGCCCAAAAUUAUAACCAAUUUCGAGUUUAUAAUAAGCUGAAAUGGUUAUGAUGUUGGGGAUAACUCUUCCCAUGUUCACAUUCUGAGUGCUUUUUGAUCGCAGGUACGGGGCAGACAUUGCACGAGGGGUGGCUGAGCUUCAUGCAGCAGGUGUUGUUUGUAUGAAUCUGAAACCAUCCAAUCUUCUUUUGGAUGCCAAUGGUCAUGCAGUGGUUUCUGAUUAUGGACUUCCAGCAAUUUUGAAGAAACCUGCCUGCAGGAAAGCUCAAUCAGAGUGUGAUUCCUCUGGAAUCCAUUCAUGUAUGGAUUGUACAAUGCUCAGUCCACACUACACAGCCCCAGAGGCAUGGGAACCACCAGUAAAGAAGCCGUUAAAUAUAUUCUGGGAUGAUGCAAUUGGUAUAUCUCCUGAGUCUGAUGCCUGGAGCUUUGGCUGUACAUUGGUGGAAAUGUGCACUGGUUCCAUCCCGUAUGUAACACUUCAUUUACUCUCUCCUCCUCCCUCCCUUCUAAUGGUAGAGUUGCUUAACAACAAAAUUAUAUUCUUUGUGCAGGUGGGCUGGUUUAAGUGCAGAGGAAAUCUAUCGAGCUGUUGUCAAGUCUCGCAGACAACCUCCUCAAUAUGCAGGUGUAGUUGGUGUUGGAAUACCUAGGGAAUUGUGGAAGAUGAUUGGUGAAUGUCUACAAUUCAAGGCAUCCAAAAGACCAACUUUUAAUGCAAUGUUAGCAACAUUUCUCCGUCACUUGCAAGAGAUACCUCGCAGCCCUCCUGCGAGCCCUGAGAAGUAAGAAUUCUAAUUUCUAAUCAUGCCAUAUUUUAGUUUUUUAUUAAGACGCUUUUAUACUAGUUGAAAGUAAUGUUUUAAAAGGCAAAAGUCAAUCCUUAGUCAUUUUGCUGAAAUGAGGUAAGGUGUUAGCCAACAAAAUGAGGUGAGGUGUAAGCCUCCAGACAGAAACUUAAACACAAAAGGAAAAAAUAAUAAAUAAUAACAAAUAAAAGUAAAGAAAAAAACUCAAAAAAUUAGAAAAAUGCUAGUAAAUCACUAAAGACAUAAUGACAAGAAAACCAUAAUAUAUACUAAGAAAAUUGAUUGUUUGUCAUUUUUAAUAGUCUCUAAUUAGUUUCUCUUUUUGUAAAAUUCAACUCUCUUGUGGCCCUAUCAAAUAGUCUUCACUCUUCAGCACUACCUUCAAUACCACUAUUGGAUCCUCCAUGGAAUUGUCCUUAUAUCUAAUUUCUUUUCUCCUUCAGUGUAUUGUCUAUCCAUUCCUCUUCAUCAUCCAUCAAUUGCAUUGGAUCUUUCAAUAAUAAGAUAAUGAUUAUGUAUUAGUCCAACCACAACCACACCUAAAAGCUUGUAUAUUCCUUCCUGCUUUCCAUAUGGUCCAACUUGUAUAUUUCUUCUUCUCAAUCUUUCUUUCUUUUUGUCAUAUUUUUUUUUUUCAAAAGCUAAAUGAAAGGCAACUAACUUUAAUUUUGUAAAAAGUUCAAUGCAAGCCUUCAAGCCAAAGCAAUCCCAACAGCCCACAAAAGCAUAAAACCCAUUGAAUAUUAGGUCUUAAGGCACUUAUUAAAUAUAUAUCAGAGACACUAAAGCCCCAAACUCAUUAAAAUCUAUUUAAUUUUUUUUUUUCAUAGGUAAAAAAAAAUUUGAGGCUAUUUAAUAUUUGAUGCCAAAGACACUAAAGCCCCAAACUCAUUAAAAUCUAUUUAAUAUUUGAGGCUCAAACCUCAAUAUUCUCGAGGGCUAAUCCAUUGCAUGUUGCCUUGAGGCAAGCUUCUAGGUGUUAGGUCUCAAUAGCCUUUCAAGACAUUGGUCGAGAUAUCUUUAUUUUAUUGGAAGUGACAUCUCUGGAACUCUAGGUGAGACUGUUGGAGCAAGAAGCAACUUAGCAGCUGCUUCUGCUUUGAUUGGUCUUCAAAAGCAGAUAUUUAGAUGUGUGCAUGUGCAAGUGCUAAUAUGUCAGCUAUUUAACCUGACCUAUAUAUUUUACUUGGUUUGCUUAUCAUUAUGUUUUUUGUGGAAAUACAGUGAAUUUCCCAGACCUCCUGGAACAAAUGUGUCAGAACCAGCGCCUGCACCUUUGGAGGUUUUCCAGGAUAAUCCCAACCAUCUACAUCAACUUGUAUCUGAAGGGGAUUUGAAUGGUGUAAGGUUAGUAAAUUUUGGUACCUACUUGUGCUAGAUCUGUAUUUGGAGUAUCUUUGGUUCUGUUUCUGAUGUUCUCCUCCCUUUCUUUGUUUGUACAGAGAUUUGCUUGCAAAGGCUGCAUCAGGAGGCAGUAGCAUUUCAAUUUAUUCUCUAUUUGAAGCACAAAAUUCUGAUGGCCAAACUGCUCUCCACUUGGCUUGUAGACGUGGAAGUGCAGAACUUGUUGAGGCAAUUUUGGAGUACAGAGAGGCAAAUGUGGAUGUCCUGGACAGAGAUGGGGAUCCUCCCCUAGUUUUUGCUUUAGCAGCUGGAUCGCCAGAAUGCGUUCAGGCUCUCAUCAGAAGAGGUGCAAAUGUCAGAUCUAGGUUGAGGGAAGGCUUUGGUCCAUCAGUUGCUCAUGUCUGUGCCUUCCAUGGCCAACCUGAUUGCAUGCGUGUAGGUUUUUCCUCAAUUACUGGUAUUCAUGAUUCUUCUUCUCAGUUAUUCCUCUUCAAAUUUUUGUUUUGAUAUGUGCGUAUAUUUUCUUCUUUUUUUAAUGACAACAGGAGCUACUGUUGGCUGGAGCUGAUCCAAAUGCAGUGGAUGAUGAAGGUGAAUCUGUGCUGCACAGGGCAAUCGCCAAGAAAUAUACAGAUUGUGCCCUUGUCCUUUUGGAAAAUGGGGGCUGUGAGUCUAUGGCUGUUCUGAAUUCCAAAACUCUGACGUGAGUAUAGUACUGCCAUCCCUUUCCUAAAUCUCUCUCUCUCUCUCUACCACUUCACCAAUUAGUGGCUUUAUUAUUUUUUUGUCAUGUUUUUUUUUUAUCUUUUUUUUUUUUUGAUAAGUAAACAAGAUAUGCAUUAGAAAGGCUAAACGCCACAAAGCAUACAGGGAGUAUACAAGACGGCUACAGCCUCAAAAAGAGAGAGGACCAAAAAGAACUACCUCCCCUUAAGUGGAAGCUAUCCACUCCAAAAAUCCUAUAAGGGAGAAAGACUCCUCACCUAAAUACACUUUGGCCCAAUUCCACAAGUUACAGACAAAAGAAUUCUUUAAUUUCUGAAUAUUCAACGCACCCCCCCUAAAGGCUAACCUAUUCCUCUCCUUCCAAACCGUCCAAAAAAUAUAUAACGGAAUGGAUUUCCAAAUCUUUUUCCUUUUCUUCCCUACAAAUGAACCCCUCCAGGAGAUUAAAGUCUCCUUUACAGUUUCUGGGAGGACCCACUUAACAUCUAUCAACCCAAAAAUAAUAUCCCAUAGGGCUCUAGUCACUAUACAGUGUAGAAGAAUAUGAUUUACAUUCUCUUCUUCACAACCACACAAAAAGCAACAGUUUGGGAGUUGCACCCCUCUUAUCUGGAGUCUGUCCAGAGUGAGCACCUUCCCCCACGUAGCCUCCCAAGCAAAAAAAUAGACUUUAGUUGGCACCCUAUCCACCCAUAUUCUCCUUACGGGAAAUACUGUGGCAUUAGGCUUGUCUAGCAGCCUGUAAGCUUCUUUUACCCUGAAAAGACCAUUUCUUCCCUGCCUCCACAUAACUGAAUCAUCCUCCAGGGAAGGCCUAUGAACCCUCAAAGUAUGAAGCAACUCCCCAACCAUAUCCAACUCCCAAUCAUGGAAGUCCCUCACAAAAACAAGAUUCCAAUCUCCUUGGCCCGAAUCUUGAUCCCACAUCUCCUCAAUCGUAGCAUCCCUAUGCGCGGCAAGGACAAAAAGAUGAUUGAAGCAUUGGGACAACGGAGUGUCAGUGCACCAACUAUCUUUCCAAAAUUUGAUUUUGGAACCCUUCCCAACUAGAAAAGCCAAAUUUUCCCAGCACCAUUCAAAUUCUUUCAUAAUCUCCUUCCAGAUCCUUACUCCAGCCGCCCCACUAGCCUUCUUUGACCUCCAACCAUAAUCCUCUUACCCAUAUUUCGUAGUGAUCACUUGUUUCCAAAGGUUAUCCUUUUCACAAGCAAACCUCCAAAUCCACUUGCCCAGCAAGGCUCUAUUCAGAGUGGCUAUUCUCCUUAAUCCUAGCCCUCCCUUGUGUUUUUCUAUACAGACCGCAUCCCAUUUAACUAAGUGAACUUUUCCCUCCAAGUUUCUUCCCCCCCAUAGGAAAUCUCUUUGGGUUUUCUCCACUCUUUUAGCAACAGACUUGGGCAUUCGGAAAAUAGACAUUUGGUAAAUUGGCAUGCUAGCCAAGGUGCUUUUUAUGAGAGUGAUCCUCCCCCCUUUGGAGAUGUACUGUCUUUUCCAAAGCGCAAGUCUCCUCCUGACCCUCUCUUCCACUCCAUCCCACAUAGAAGUAGCCCUACUGGGGACCCCUAAGGGGAGACCCAAAUAGUGAGAGGGCAGAGACCCCACCCUGCACCCUAACUCAGCUACCAUCUCAAGAAUCUCCUCCACUUCUCCAACUGGAAUGAUUUCGCUUUUGGCUAGAUUAAUUCGAAGACCCGAAGCCGCUUCAAACCAAAAGAGAAUCCAGCUUAGGUGAGAAACUUGCUCUUUGCUCGCCUCACAAAACACAAUUGUGUCAUCAGCAAAAAAUAGGUGGGAGAUAUUCAAGGAAGUUCUACUACCACCCCGAAUGUUGCAUCCCGAAAGAUAUCCCCCCUCCACCGCUCUCCUUAUAAGGACGUCCAGAACCUCCAUUCCCAUAACAAAGAGGUAAGGGGAUAGGGGAUCCCCUUGACGAAGCCCUCUAGUGCUAGGGAAAAACCCAGUUGGCACUCCAUUAACAAGAAUAGAGAAUUUAGCAGAAGACACACAGCUCCACAUCCAUCCCACCCACUUGGUCCCAAAGCCCAUUUUUUGAAGAACCUUCAUUAAGAAAUUCCAAUUGAUGCUGUCAUAAGCUUUUUCUAUAUCCAAUUUGCAAAUAAGGCCCUUUUCUUUUCUCUUCUGCCACAAAUCUAUCACCUCAUUAGCAAUUAAAGAUGCAUCCAGAAUUUGUCUUCCCAUUACAAAGGCAUUCUAAGCAAUAGAGACCACCUUAUCAAUCACUUUUUUGAGCCUAUUAGUUAAGACUUUAGCCAAAAGUUUAUAGAGCCCCCCCAACAGGCUGAUAGGUCUAAAGUCUCCAAGAUCCCCAGCCCCGCUUUUCUUAGGUAUCAACACCAAGAAAGUGUUGUUAANNNNNNNNNNNNNNNNNNNNNNNNNNNNNNNNNNNNNNNNNNNNNNNNNNNNNNNNNNNNNNNNNNNNNNNNNNNNNNNNNNNNNNNNNNNNNNNNNNNNAAGUGUUGUUAAGGCUCCUAACAAAGGAAUUAUGCUCAUGAAAUUCUUUAAACAUCUCCAUGAUCUCCUCUUUGGUAAAAUCCCAAGCGUUUUGCCAAAAGGCUACAGUAAAACCAUCCGGUCCAGGGGCUUUAUCCCCAUUCAUCUCCAUCAGCGCCAAAUGAAUCUCAAUCUCUUCAAAUGGGAUUUCUAGACUCUCUGCUUCUUGCUGGCUGAUGCAACCCACCUGAAUUCUACCAAUAUCCGCCUGCCAAACCAUAUCUUCAGAAAGCAUCUGCUGAAACGAAUUCACAACUCCUUCUCUCACCUCCUGCUCCUCUACUAGCCUCUCCCCAUUAACCUUAAUUCUGUCCAUAGCAUUGUUUCUUCGAUGAGCACUUGCCAUUCUAUGGAAGAACCUCGUGUUUCUAUCCCCCUCCCUUAACCAAAUCUCCCUUGAGUGCUGUCUCCAAUGGGCUUCCUCCAACAGGACCCAUUUCUUGAAGGAGUCUUUAGCUUCCUUUUUUAAUUCAGCUUCCUCCAUAGUCAAGAUUCUCUCACUUUCCACCCGAUCCCAAAAAUCUACUUGUUGUAAGGCUGAAGCUUUAUUAGUUUCCAGCCCUUCCAAAAACCUCUUUGUUCCACACUUUUAGCUUCUUUUUAAUUUCCUUCAUUUUAACAGCCAUUCUAUAGCUAGCGCUGCCCCUGACUUCAAGUCCCUGCCACCAGGUUCUAACAAUANNNNNNNNNNNNNNNNNNNNNNNNNNNNNNNNNNNNNNNNNNNNNNNNNNNNNNNNNNNNNNNNNNNNNNNNNNNNNNNNNNNNNNNNNNNNNNNNNNNNNNNNNNNNNNNNNNNNNNNNNNNNNNNNNNNNNNNNNNNNNNNNNNNNNNNNNNNNNNNNNNNNNNNNNNNNNNNNNNNNNNNNNNNNNNNNNNNNNNNNNNNNNNNNNNNNNNNNNNNNNNNNNNNNNNNNNNNNNNNNNNNNNNNNNNNNNNNNNNNNNNNNNNNNNNNNNNNNNNNNNNNNNNNNNNNNNNNNNNNNNNNNNNNNNNNNNNNNNNNNNNNNNNNNNNNNNNNNACCAUACACUCCCGUGAAAACCCAAGUAGCCCCAUUUUCUGUAGUCUUGAAUCUACAAGACAAAGAGAACUGACCCUCCUCCCAAUCCGAAAUAUCCAAAACCCUCUUGUCCCAGCAUAUCAAAAUGCCACUCGCAGCCCCCUCCGCAUUUAGGGCUCUCCAAUCUAUAAAUCUCCCCGAGCCCAGACUUCUCACAAUACCCUCCGACAUCUCCUGAAUAUUGGUUUCCUGAAUACACAUUAGGUCCACCCUCUGGUUCCUUAUAUAGUUCUUAAUAAUUUUUCUCUUAGAGCUGUCAUUAGCUCCCCUCACAUUCCAAAUUAUAAUCUUCAGCUUCAUUGGGCAACUAUCAACUAAUUCCCUUUGCCCUGUGAAGGACCUUUCUGCUUAUUCCCCCCCUCAUAAUUGACAGAGCAUUCCAGCCUCUUUAGUUCCCUUUCAAACUUGGACUUCUCCAAAAGUUCUUUGCUGUGAAUCUUUUCCCGCCUCUUUCUGAUUUUAAUCAGAAAAUUCAAUAUCUCCUUUUCCAGCCCCUCCGUAGAGAAUCCCAAGAAUUGGCUAAAUUUUGCUAAACUACAGUCUUCCCAUAGAUCCUCUUUCUCAUUUUCGGAAUCUUGAGAACCAGAGACACCAGUAUUCCCCUCCUUGCCCCUAACCUUGUCUCUGUUUUUGUUGGCCUCUCCCAGCUUCCAGGAUCCAUUUUCAUUCUCAACGUUCCCCUCAUAGACUGUUAACCAUGUUGACUUGUCCCCCCAUAAUUCCUCCUCAAUUCCCCUUGGACGAUCGAAAGACUCCCCCUCCGGAGCCCAAUCAGAAUUAGAAGAGAAAAGAAGAGGUGUCCCCAUAACCUGUUUUCCUUUAGGAUGGGAAAUCAGGACAUACCUUUUAGCGUCCUCUUCCAGCGCUCAGUUAGUCAUUGAAAAGCCAUCAUCCCUCUGUUCCCUUCUAAACUCCUCCGGCACCCAGCUCGUCAAAGGAUCCUCUGAAAUGGGUCCUUUUCUGGAGAUAAAACGGCCCAAAAAGCCAGCCUUCUCUAAGAGAACAGUUGGGCCCUCCCUUUCCAGGCCUUCCACCUCAACUAAAGGGUGGCAGCCCAGUUCAGCAGCCCAACUACUAGACGAUGGGCCUGCCUCUGAAUCACUAGCCACCUUUGUCUUAUUUUUUAAAUUUCGGCCCAAAGGCCCGUCUAUUUUAGUCAGCCCACCAUCCUUCUCCAACUCAUUAAGCUUUGGGCCACAUGCGAUCGACCCAGCCACUCUUCCAUCUGAAUAGACCCAAUCCCGGGGCACCGGGCCAUGGAUCUGGUUCCCGGGCACUAGACCCGGCCCAUUCUCCUGCAGAACACUCCCAUCAACUAUCAGGUGCAGUUCCUUGGUUCCCGCGUCUGCCAGUUCCUUCCCCACGCGCUUCUCCGCGCGUGAAUACGAGUCACCCCUGACCUCAUUUCUCUUUUUGUUUUCCGUCGCAGAGAAGAUCCGUCUCACCACCGGCCUAAUCUCCCACCAUAAUGCCACUGUGUAUACCUCCUCCUCUACCUCAAUUUCCAACAUACUCGGUCUAAAAUCACCUCUUAUUUUGACCAGUAUCCUAGCCCAUUGAAUCUCCCCCAUCGACCUUGUCCGCUCGUCAAUUUCUAGAAAGCCCCCACAUUCCUCCCCUAUUUUCUUCAGAAUCCCCGGGUUCCAUAGCGAGAUUGGAAGGCCGAAGAUUUUAACCCAAGCUUCCUGUUCCAUCUCCUCCUCUACCCAACAUCCCGUCUCUGGAUUCCAUAGAUUCAACCCUAAGUGGGCUCCUCCCAUCACUCUGCUUCCCGAGGAGACCACACGGUGUGCCUCUCUUAGAUCUUCAAACUCCAACAAUGCCCUACCUCGUUCCAACUUAGCCAGCCCUAGCUUGCCUUUUAAGCCCCAAGAAUUCGCCCAAAGACUUCCCAACCUCUCCAAGUCUUCUUCUUCCUUUUUGUUGGACUUCCAGCUCGCGACGAGGCAGUGCUCCAGCUUCUGUAAAUUACCAGCAAUCUCCUCCCUAGUGACCUUCAUCUUGAUUGCGUUUAAGCCAUUCCGAUUUGUUCUCAUGACUGCUUCUGCGUAUGAUUUCGCCGGAGUAGCUUUUCUGACGGUCCUUACUUCCUGUAAAUCUGUUCUUCUACCAACCAGCUCUUCCAUUUGACGUACCAUCUCCGCCAUAGCCGUCCAUCCUCUUUUGUCCCUCCUACCUCUCGGUAAGAAGAUACAAAACCUUUUUCGUUCUAGAUCCAUAACCCCCAACCUUAAAAAACCACCCGCUCUGUUGAAACCCCGAGCCAAUGUAUACAGCUUGCCUCUUUCUUUCCACUUCUUUUCCCAUCUCCCUUCUUUUUCGUCUCGUAUACAAUGGAUUAGUCCCUCCUUGAAGAGCCUUAAGCUUUCCAGCCCUAAUCGAACCCAUGUUGAGACCCCCCGCUUCUUCUCCAUAAUGAGAAUCUGACGUUUCCCUUUCCGUUCAUCCAGGGCAAGCUCGAAAGUCUUGGAUUCCACCGUGAAGCUUCGCUUUCGACUCGCCUCGCCGGUCUCAUCGUCGCCGUCGCACGCGCUCUCACGCUCCCUCACGCCCUCUCUCUCUCUCUCGCCCUCUCUCUCUCUCUCCCAUCUCUUUUUUCCUACUAGUCAUGUUUUUUUUUUUGUUUUUUUGUUUUUAUUAGAAUUAAGGAAGAAAUACAAGGAAGCAUGAGGUAUUCUUUGAGAACUAAAAGGAAAAUAUGAGGAUCCAAAGAAAAACCAAUAAAAACCAUCCCAGAAUCUUAAAGAUCCUCUAGGAAUACAUAAAAAAAUUCUAUGAACUUUAUUGUAUCUAGGGCAUAUUAUUCUUUAUAUGUUAUCUUUUAUUUUAGUAAGUUGCUUGUUGUGCUGCGCCCUAAAUAUUUGAAUAUUCCAGACCUUUGCACUUGUGCGUAGCAACAUGGAAUGUGGCUGUUGUCAGAAGGUGGGUAGAGGUGGCAUCUCCUGAAGAGAUCGCUGAGGCAAUUGAUAUACCAAGUGCAGUUGGCACUGCACUGUGUAUGGCAGCUGCUUUAAAGAAGGAUCAUGAAAUUGGUAAAGCUAGAUCUCAGAAUUUUGAGGCUUUUUCAAAUGUAAUUAGAUGGCAACCAUCAUUCAGAAACUGUCAUGAGCUUUGUUUCAUCAAUUAGUGCCAUUCUUAAAUUUCAUUUUCAGCUAUAUUUCUUUUCAUGUUUAUUAAAAACUGAUCAUCACCCCUAACUAAGUUGGUGAUUUCUUCGGGUUCUAAGGAUUGAUGAAAAGGUUUGAAUAGUAAGAUGCCUGCUCAACAACCAUAUUGUGGACAUCCAGUAUAACACUUACAUUUGAAACAUAGUUAAUGGAAACUGGAUCAAGAUUUCUUUUUCCCUUUUUUUUUCUUGUGCAUAUGUGUGUGUCUGUGUCCCUAAUUAGCACUAAAAUCUCUAUUUAUGCUUCCCACAUUUCCUUAUAAGCUCAUUUUUCUCUUCCAUCAUUUUCCCAAAUCAAUAUUGGCUAUUAAUAGUUCCAUUGUUGUGGACCCUCAUUGCUCCAUCAGUGAUUAAAUAUUUGUAUUGUUGAUGAUUACUGCAUUUUUUUUUUUUUUGAAGGGAGGGGGGGAUGGAGUUUGGUUUUAUUUAGGGUAAUAAAUAAUUGGAAUUUGGCUCCUUGCAUGGCUCACUUUUUUUUUUUCUCUUAUUAACUUCUUUUAUUUCCUUUAGUGAUUGCACCUUUUUUUUAAAAAAAAAAUUGAUGCAUAUUUUACCUGUAGAGGGGAGAGAACUAGUACGGAUAUUGCUUACUGCUGGGGCAGAUCCAACUGCUCAAGAUGUGCAGCAUAGGCGAACAGCUUUGCACACUGCUGCUAUGGCUAAUGAUGUUGAAUUGGUCAAGGUAAGCCAAAUAGCUUCCCCUAUAUGAUUGUGAAUGUGACCAUUUUUCUGUUGUAGGUAAGCCAUAUGCCAUGUGCAUGUUGUGGAGAUAUCUACACCUUCGGGAUCUUCACUUUUCUUUUCUUUUUUCUGGUUGACAUAAUUGUUGUUUUGCAAAUCUUUGAGUAGAUUAUUCUUGAUGCUGGGGUCGACGUGAACAUCCGGAAUGUGCAUAACACAAUUCCCCUUCAUGUCGCAUUGGCCAGGGGUGCAAAAUCAUGCGUUGGAUUGCUUUUAUCUGCUGGGGCAAAUUGUAACUUGCAGGUUCUUCACUCUCACUGUGUUAAAGUUCCAUUAUCACUAAUUUGUGUACAUAUGUUUGGUUAAAUUGCUGUUAUUCAUAGUUUAUGAAUGUUUAAUUGGAAGAGAUAUUAUGUGAUGCUUAGAUACAUCAUUAUUUUGUAUGCAUGUUAGACUAAUUUGCGAUAUGUUCUCAGUUACAUAAUCGAGAUGAAUGGUUUGCUUUAUAUUUCUGAUAAUGGUGCUUAUGUUCUUGUAAAUUUUGUAUUUUCCUGUUGCUGGUAAUAAUCUAUGAUGAUCUGAGGUGUGUUUGAUUCUUUAACUGGUAAUUUUUUUGGGCUGCUUCACUUAUUGAAGCCAUGUGACACUCGUACCAUGAAAAUUAACAGUACCUGCAAUGGGUCUCUAUAUAAUCAAACAUAUAAAAGACAAAAAGGAAACUUUACUUCAGUAUGUUUCAGCAUGUGACAGCCAAGUUCCUUCUGACCAUGUACCAAAGACAAAUUUGUUGAGGAACAUGUUUGCACAGUCAGGUGUUUCCCUGUGCUGGUUUUCUGAUUUUCUUUCCUUUACCUUUUCUUUUCUUCACACUCCCCUUUUGCCUACUGGAGACAAAUGUUGAAAACAAGAGCUUUGUCCACCCACCAUAGAAAUAAAAAAAUAAAAUGAAAGAGGAAACAAAAAAAAAUUAAGAUGCAUGUUAACUUCUAUAUUAACUCUUUCUUCUAUCGUCCAUGAGAAAAUCUCUUCUUUUCUUACCCACUUAUGGACCAUGUGCUUGCUUAUCAUUAGCAGGAUGAUGAAGGUGACAACGCGUUCCAUAUAGCAGCUGAUGCAGCAAAAAUGAUACGUGAAAAUCUUGAAUGGCUCAUUAUCAUGCUGAGGAAUCCAGAUGCUGCUGUUGAAGUUAGAAAUCACAAGUAAGUACCAACUAGAAGAAUUGAAUCUUCAUAUGGCUUGGCUUCCCUGGCACACUAAAAGUUUCUUGUGUCUUUUGCUUUAUUUAUUUUAAUUUUUUUUGUUUUAAAAUAUUCAACAUUGUGACAAGGGAUUUUUGUUUUCCCACAGUGGGAAGACAUUAAGGGACUUUCUGGAGGCCCUUCCCCGGGAAUGGAUUUCUGAAGAUCUAAUGGAGGCACUCAUGAAUAGAGGGAUUCAUCUUUCUACUACAGUGUGAGGAAAAGAAUUAUAUAUAAUUGUGUUGCCAGGAAAUUUUAAUGUUUGUGUAUUUGAUUAUGAAAAAACAUACAUUAAUUUUUGUUUUAAUUUUCCAUGGUGUUCAGAUUUGAAAUUGGAGACUGGGUGAAAUUUAAAAGAAGUAUAUCUACUCCUUCAUAUGGGUGGCAAGGUGCGAAACAUAAGAGUGUUGGCUUUGUGCAGAGUGUUCCAGACAGGGACAAUCUAAUUGUGGCAUUUUGUUCUGGAGAGGCUCGUGUAUUGGCAAAUGAAGUUAUAAAAGUGAUUCCAUUAGACAGGGGACAGCAUGUGAAACUUAAACCAGAUAUCAAAGAGCCAAGGUUUGAUUUCGAAGUAGUUGCUGACACAAUAUUGAGUUAGUUUACCACUUAUAUGAUGUUUUCCUUAUCACUAUGGUAAAUUGCUUACACUUAAGUUUAAUCAAGCCAGUUUAUGCCUAUUUUAUUUUGAAAACAUGUUGGGUACCCCAUUCACCAUCAAAGUUUCAUUGUUGAAGUCCCAAGGUGUAUUAUUCCUUUUUAAGGAUAUGAUAUCGUUUACUUGUUCUGAAAAGCUUAUCAGCUAAAAAAUCAUUUGUUUAAGUAAAAGAAUGGUCCUAUUUGCUGAUUCUUUGGGCAUAUAUAGAAGGUUCAAGAAUGCUGGAUUCAAAGGAUCAGCAUUUACAGGCUCAUCAUGAAAUGGUUACUCUAGUAAAAUCACUGUUCAGAAAAUAAAUUAUUUAGAUCAAAUUUCAUUAGACAUUCUUCCGCGAAUCUUAUAUCAAGCUUCUCUAGAUGUGCAUUGUCAUGAAAUAUUUAUAUGUUGUUAGCUUUGUCAAAAUACUUAUUUUUAGAAAUCAAAAGAUGAUGGAAAUUUGGUUUUCAAUUUGGCUUUGAUUCGGAUGGCAUAGCCUGGAUGGCGGUCAUGUAAGAAUUGUAAUGGUUAACAAACCUGAUAAUUUGAUUCUUGUGUAAUGCUCCUGUUAUACUGUUUUGGAUGCUCAGAAAUGUCCUGGAAUAGGUUUUGAUAAAUGAGAGAAUUUGUUCAUUGUUUGCGAAUCUGAUAUACCCUCAACUUUGUAUCUGUCUACUAGUAAGUUUGUUUUAUAACAUGAUAUGCUCUUAGGUAGAAGCAGGAAGUGGAAAGGGACUUUUGUUAGUUUAUGUUAAUAUUACUAUUUUUCUCAGUUUCCAAUCAUUUCUGGUUCCAUUAGCAUAGGCAUAGGCAAGAACGAUGUGUUGCAUGCUGCCUCGUAUAUUGUUUUUACUUAGGAGACACUAUCACCAGAGGUAUUGUAGUUUGGUUGCUUUUUGCAUCAUCUCUUAUAUUUCUGAAAAAUAUGGCAUGUCAGAUGAGCUCAUGUGACCCUUCUUGACUAUUAUGACAUUAUAAUUCUAUGAUUCUUUUGUCAUUUUGAAAGACUUAAUAAUUGUAAGGCAUCUUCCAGUCAGCUUUUAGAUUAUCUGCUCAUGCAGCAGGUUCUGUAUAUUCAUAAUCUUUAACUAGAUUGCAUGGCUAAAGAUGGCAAGUGAUUAUUUUCUAUUAUCAGGUUUGGCUGGCGAGGCCAAUCACGUGACAGCAUUGGAACUGUUCUCUGUGUUGAUGAUGAUGGGAUUUUGCGUGUUGGGUUCCCCGGAGCAUCCAGAGGAUGGAAAGCUGAUCCAGCUGAAAUGGAAAGGGUAGAAGAAUUUAAGGUUGGGGACUGGGUCCGUAUUCGUCCCACUCUUACAACAGCAAAGCAUGGACUUGGAUCUGUAACCCCAGGGAGCAUUGGUAUAGUGUAUUGUGUUAGACCAGAUAGUAGCCUGUUGUUGGAACUGAGCUAUCUUCCAAAUCCAUGGCAUUGUGAACCAGAGGAGGUUGAGCCUGUUGUCCCUUUCAGGGUAAGGAAGAGAAAUUUUCCUUUUCUUGACAAUGUUCCCCCUUCAGUUUAUUUUUCCCCAUACUAAUUGUUAUUUGGUUAUUACAGAUUGGUGACCGGGUAUGUGUGAAGAGGUCUGUUGCAGAGCCUAGAUACGCUUGGGGUGGUGAGACCCAUCAUAGUGUAGGAAGGAUAAGUGGGAUAGAGAAUGACGGUCUCCUGAUAAUUGAAAUACCAAAACGACCAAUACCAUGGCAGGCUGAUCCUUCUGACAUGGAAAAGGUUGAGGAUUUCAAGGUGUAAUAUCUGGUUCUUUAUUCUUUUUUUAAUACUUAAAUUGAAAUAUCCAUGGUGGGAUAAGAUUAAUCUUUUCUUGUGUAAAUUGUUUUUUUUUUUUCCUAACACAAGCAGGUUAGGGAUUGGGUUAGAGUGAAAGCUUCAGUAUCCUCCCCAAAAUAUGGGUGGGAGGACGUAACACGGAAUAGCAUUGGGCUAAUCCAUAGCUUGGAGGAGGAUGGUGAUGUGGGUAUUGCUUUCUGCUUCAGGAGCAAGCCUUUCCGUUGUUCAGUGACAGAUGUAGAGAAGGUGCCUCCCUUUGAAGUGGGACAAGAGAUUCAUGUGAUGCCAUCCAUUUCUCAGCCACGGCUUGGAUGGUCAAAUGAAACUGCUGCUACUGUUGGAAAGAUAGUAAGAAUUGACAUGGAUGGGGCUUUAAAUGUAAGCAUGCUUUAUCUCUUGUUUAUUUAAAUUUCUUGUAUGAGGAGAUGGCUACUGUUGUUGACUACCUGUUGCCUAUCACAAUGCGCCAUGCCAAGGUACAGGGUGCUGGUGGCGUUUCACUAAGAAUCCUGUGGGUGUUUUUAGUUAUUCAUGUGUUCUGCUUCUGCUUAAAAUGAUGGUAGCACCCACACCUUUUUAGUAUCAUUGGAUGGUGCAUUGUGAUUGGCAGCUUCAACUAUUGUAGAAACUAAUAGCUUGUUUAUUUAGUCUUUAGCCCUUUCUUCUUCUUUUCUUUCUUUUGUUUCUUUUUUCGUAAGUAUGCUGAUAGAUAAGGAGCCAAUUUUGAUGAUUUUUACAUAGGUGAAAGUACCUGGCAGACUUAGCUUGUGGAAAGUUUCUCCUGGAGAUGCAGAGAAGCUUUCAGGAUUUGCAGUUGGUGAUUGGGUACGUUCAAAACCCAGCCUGGGAACUAGACCAAGUUAUGACUGGAACACUUUUGGGAAAGAAAGUUUAGCAGUUGUGCAUAGCAUACAGGAUACUGGUUAUCUGGAGUUGGCUUGCUGUUUCCGUAAAGGGCGAUGGAUUACACAUUAUACAGAUGUUGAAAAGGUUCCUUGCUUCAAAGUUGGGCAGCAUGUUCAGUUCCGGAGUGGAUUGCAUGAGCCAAGGUGGGGCUGGAGAGGGACGCGAUCUGAUUCACGUGGUGUUAUAACUAGUGUGCAUGCUGAUGGAGAAAUGAGGGUGGCGUUUUUUGGUCUUCCAGGAUUGUGGAGAGGUGAUCCUGCAGAUUUUGAGAUAAUGCAGAUGUUUGAAGUGGGAGAGUGGGUGAGAAUAAGAGAUGAUGCUGGUAGCUGGAAAACCAUAGGGGCAGGUAGCAUUGGCAUUGUACAAGGUAUAGGCUAUGAAGGAGAUGAAUGGGAUGGAACCAUUUCUGUUGGGUUUUGUGGGGAGCAAGAAAGAUGGGUGGGGCCUACUUCCCAUCUUGAAAGUGUGGAUAGGCUCAUGGUUGGGCAGAAGGUUAGAGUUAAACUCUCUGUGAAACAACCAAGGUUUGGGUGGUCAGGCCAUAGUCAUGGAAGCAUUGGGACCAUAUCAGCCAUCGAUGCUGAUGGAAAGCUGAGAAUAUAUACUCCAGCAGGCUCAAAAGCAUGGAUGCUGGAUGCAGCAGAAGUGGAGCUGGUGGAGGAAGAGGAACUUGGAAUUGGAGACUGGGUUAGGGUUAGGGCAUCAGUCUCGACCCCUACUCACCAUUGGGGAGAAGUCAGUCAUGCAAGCAUUGGGGUGGUCCAUCGGAUGGAAAAUGAUGAGCUAUGGGUGGCAUUCUGCUUCAUGGAGAGAUUAUGGCUUUGCAAGGCUUGGGAGAUGGAAAAAGUUCGGCCUUUCAAAGUAGGGGAUAGAGUGAGGAUCAGAGAAGGGCUGGUGACCCCGCGGUGGGGCUGGGGAAUGGAGACACAUGCAAGCAAAGGGCAGGUGGUGGGAGUAGAUGCCAAUGGGAAAUUGAGGAUUAAGUUCCAGUGGAGAGAAGGGAGGACUUGGCUAGGAGAUCCAGCAGAUAUUGUUCUUGAUGAGACCAUACCUGGCACAACUGGCACUUUAUGAUAACCUUAUCUUUCAGUUCAUUACACAGACUUUUGGUUUCGGGCCUCUCGCUCAUUCAUCAGGGAAGUGAAAGUGGGAGCGGCUGCUGCUGCUAGUGGGAUUGUGCGCUAUGCAGUUGAAGUUGCUUGGAAAUUAUACGAUCAUUGUAAGUGUAUGCUGCGAUGAUGGUAUAGUUUAUUUAUUGUCAAUAAACAGAAAGAGCAGAGAGAUGGAUAGUGAGGAGAACUUGGCUUGCCUUACUGUUAAUGAUAGGAUACAAGAGCAGCCAAGAAAGAGAUAGGAGUAGGCCAUUUUUAUUUCAUAGAUAAAUGACCUUUUUUCCGGUAUAUAUAUGGUUAUAUUUUUCUUCUGUACAAAUUUGAACCCUAUGAUAUCCAGAGCUAUUACCUUUUUUUCCCCCGCUUUAUUAUUGUUCUUGUUUCUUCUCUUCCUGGUCUUAACACCACCUAGAUGGAUCAUCCCCCACCGACACUGCUUCAUUCCAUCUUCCAACACAGCCGACUGGCUGCGGCCAACAGAUCUGCCCAACCAAACUUGACAGCAGGUUCACAAUUCUUUGGAUCAUGUUGGCAAAAGCAACAUCUGAUGCUAGUGUCUGUUGCCAUUUUUGGAGUUCAUAUUUCAAGAAUAGUCUUAUAGCUUCGCGUCAAUUAAAUUAAUAAUACGUACAAAUCAUGAAGGAUAGCAUCAUUACUCUGCACCUGGGAAAAUGGAGUUCCAUAACAAAUUUGACUCCCCAAAAGGUUCAACAAAAUUUCCAACCUUUCCAACUAUGCCUUAGCUUUGAGGCUCGAGGCAAUGAGAAAUCAGAAAGUGAUCCCAUCAGUCGACACCCAACCAACGGUGGGAGGAUGCCAGCAUUUUGAAAAUCCUAGAAAACAUACACAAAACAGCUAGAAGAAAUAGAAACUAUGCGUGAUUAAGAGCAAGCAUCUGUAACAGCAAUAUCGUCGUUACUGUCCACAAGGUAUUAAAAAUGACAAAAAAAAUGGAAAAGAAAAAAAAUUGCCCCCAGAAAAUUGUUUGGGUGGAUGCUUGCUCCUACUCAUGACCUUUUUUCAUGGGUCUUGCUUGUGGACACUUGACAUAUCAAUCUUGAUCUGGGAAAGCCUCCCCUGUGCUUAUCUUGUUUUCAUGCCACUUGGAAAAGCCAUCUUUCAAAGCCUCUCUCAUCCAUGGAUGCCGGCAGUUCUCAUAUGCUUCAGGUAUGGUUAACCAACUUCUCCUUCGGGUGUUCUGCUCUGGCCAUGACUCCAGCUCCUCCUUCACGAACAAGGCAAACAUUGCAGCUUUACAUGAUCCUUCUGGGCUAAACUCAUCUUGGAGGGUUUUACUCUUGAAAUGGUAAUGCCCAAGGAAUUCCUGAAAAAGUCGUGACAGAAACAGGGGUUAGUCCCACUCAGGUCCAAGUAACCGAGUAAAGCACGAACAAACAGAUAUGUUACAGCAUAAGUCUCACAUUAUAAAGAAUUUGAAUAGAUAGGAGGAAUAUAGUUGAGGAAAGAAAGAUCUCAGUUCAAAGGAAUAGCAGAAGAGGGAGGAAAGUAUUUUUAGGACAAAUUUGGCAUAUUCAAGUGGCCAAAACCUCAAGAUCCUAAAGCAAUCAUUUUCCCAUUUUCCUUGAGCCCCAUAAUUGCCAACAUCUGUUUCAGCUGGAUCCAUACACUUGAACCUGGUGUUAACAGCCUUGCACAGAACAGUUUGAUCAAGCAAACCAUCAAGUUUUUUGGAUUCACAGAUGCCAGAGAGUACCGAAAGAGAAAAAGACAAUAAUAUCAUAAUAACUACCAAAAUGGUUAAACUUCGGCAAUUUUCUUCCUUAAAUCAUCCAGGGGUUUCUGGUGGCAUUUUUUUUUCCCUUUUAUGCUUGUUGCUUGCUUCUCUUUUAGUUCUCAAAGAUCUCUCAUCCUUACCCUGUUUCCCUUUACCACCUAAAUAAUAACGAUGACAAUGAUAAUGACAACAAUAAGAAUAAUGACAUAGGCCAAUCUUCUUUUCUGAAUAGUAAUAAUAAUAGUAAUCAUUAAAAUUGUAAUUGAAAAAUGUGAAAUCCUGUUAGACCGGGCAUAGGAAAACUGAGAUUAUGUGCUUAACCAGAAACAAUGCCUAUGAAUCUAAUCCUGAAGCUCCAGCUCCGAAAGCCCAGAUGUUUCAAUGCAACUGCCACUGGUAUGAUUUAUAGCUUGCACAUUGCUUAUUCCCAUAGAUUUCAUUAGCAUUUUCAGUCUUCUUUUAUCCAUGUUGAAAGUUCAUCUCCAUGCAACAAAGCUAUGCAUGACUCCCUCCCUUGCUACGGCCAGUGGAAAAAUAUAUUUGAAAUACAAGAGGAAGAAAAAAUCCUUCUUCCUUAAAAUGACCAAGGCAAAAAAGAUAGUGCAUCCUCCCUCCCUCCCUCCCUUAUGGUAAAUGGAAAAGUAAUAUGAAAGAGCACAAAACUUAUUGAAAUGCAAAAGGAAUAAAAUGUUCAAUACAGUUCAUUCAACUUUGGGCUCUCCCUUUUAGCCAAUGAAUUUGCUUCAAGUUUAUUUUCUCUGGCUAACCAAUUUACUUGGAACAAGUUAGGAAGUGACACAAGCCCCAAAUCUGUCAAAAGUUAGCAAUAUGUCAAUGACCUAAGGUUUCCCCUCCUCAUCCAGCAAUUAACCAUGACCCCCAUCCAAACCCUUAGAGGAGGCCUCGCACAGAUGUCCCAGGGCUGAUUAAAUCUGUUUCAAUUGCAAAGCCAUAACCUUCAGGUUUGGAGAAUGUGGGAUGAUGGUACCUCCAGGAUCCCUCCAAUGCCUACAAUACUUAAUUGGCCAGAGUUUCCAAAAGAGGUCUAAUCAAAAUUAACCUUGACUUUAUCUUUAGGAGGGGAGGGGUCAAGGCCCAUGUCAACUGCACAGGUACAAAGCAAGAGUAUACUACAGUCAUCCAGUCAGCUAAACAACCAAAAGAACUCUCUAAAUUUUUGAAUGCUGAAGGCCAACUCUGCCAACACUUUCACCAUAAAAAUCAUAUAGUUCCUCCCAUUCCAUAUGACCCCAUCUAUAGCAAGUGCGACCACCUAUCUGACUUUCUUCUGAGCACACAAAACCUGCCACAUCUUUUAAUUGUUAAAUUGAAACCAGUCAAUUUAAGAAUUCAUCUAGCAUUUUCAAUCUAAUAAAUAAAUUUCCUACUCUUCCAUCAUAUUAAUAGUUCUAUCCUCCACAUUUGCUUCUGAUCUAAACCUGUCCUUUUUGUUUCCUUUUUUUUCUCCUCCCUCUCUCGUUUUUCAACAUCUCAAAGAAUGUAAUGACCUGAUUAUCCAUAACAAGUUUUAAGAUAUUAUUGAUUAGGAUCACAUAGUGACCUGAUGUUGUAUGCAUUUUCCUUACUAAGGUACUAAGGUAACCUACACUUACAGACAAUGCAAAGAUGACUACUAAUUGUACUAAGAGAUCAUAUAUGGAUUUAAUGGUGACUAUCAUGGGAAGGAAAAUGCAUAGUUAAUACAAGACAAUUCACUGAAAUAGAACUUUGCACAUAAGGGCAUCAGAAGUCAAAUCCAAUGGCAGCAAUAGUCAAAUACAGAAGACAAAUACUAAAAACUAGCAUGUUAAAGAUGCAAUGGAUGAUAAUUUGAUUAGACAGGAUUAAUUUCAGCCCCUAAAAUUUAAAAAACCUUCAGAAACAAUUAGAUAAUUUAAGAGAGAUAGUUAUCAUAUCCCAAGAACUCAAUAAGCUUUUCUACCAAAAAAAUAAAUAAAUAAAGGAGAGAGAAAACUAAAGGUUCUUUUUUAUGGAACCAAACAGACUUUAAAAUCAAAUGGGAAAAUUAAAUACCAUCAGAACCCCCCGGACUCCAGCUUCUUCAAUAGCUUCCCUUAUUGCUGCCUCCUCAACAGUUUCAUCAUUCUCCCAGCCUCCCUAUAACAGUUUAACAAUCAGUUAUAACAUUUAUUCAAUAUUAAAAAAUGACUAAGAUGCAAUUAUCACCAGAAUGAAAUUUAAUAUGCAUGUAUUCUCCAGGUGACAGACCUGCAGUGAACCGUAAAUGACUAAAAUUAUAGCACCAAGCAUCGGUUUCACCAGCUAGCCUAAAGUAAGUUUGUUUUUAUUAUUAUUAUUAUUAUUAUUAUUAUUAUUUAUUUAUUUUUUAUUUAAAAUUUUUAACCAUAUAGAUUCAAAGUAAGAACUGUAAGAAUAAAAAACUCAAACUUAUCUACAACCCUAACAAAGCCUUAAAUACAUGUAUCAAAGACAUGGAAGGCAGAUGAGUGGCAAAUUAUGCACUGCUUAGCCUUGGUGUUUACAAAUCUAGGAAUCAAGAUAUUAAACCAACUUGCCACAUAUGAAAAUCUCAUAUCCAAUAUAAUAUGAUUUCAGAUGUAUUUGGAAUCCAUUUUUAAGAUUUCACGACACCAAAUGAUAAAUGUUUUUGCUUGUGUGUAUACAUAGAAAAUAGCAAAUCACAAUUACUUGUAGUGCAGUAGAUCAAAUAAACAAGCAAAAACAUCAUUCCUUAGACAAUAUAACGAAAAGAUAAUUCUCAUAACUGCGUACCUUUGGAAACAAAAGACCUGGACCACUGGGUGAAUUGAUCAUAAGCACUUCAACAACCUUCUCAGAAUUUUCAUUGCUUCCCUCAUCAGGAUUUCUAUGCUUAAAUGGAAUGCACCUGUCAAAAUUCUCAUGAGUUAACUUCUGGAAACUAGAUUGGAGAGUAGCAUCGCACAAAUGUUCAAAAAUUUUUGAUCUGACACCUAGGAGUAAGAUUAUGCAAAGUUCUUUAAACAUUGUUCAUAAAUAAAACAAGCUACCAUAUACAGAAAGAGGCCAAUAAACCAAUCCGCUGGGUUCUACUCAUCCAUAUGGGAGGAGAAAAAUGGCACUACAGAGGAAAUUGCUAAUAGAACUUGAUCGAAAUCAGUUUCAUCGUUGGCUAAAUUAUGCACCACUUGAUUGUUUUAUAAGAGGAAACCAACAAUUGAUACAAACUUUGUUGAGAUGUGGCAGUAAGCAUCCAGCAACUCUAAUUCCAUAAUUCCAUAAGCUGAGUCUCCCCUCCCAAAUAAAAGGCCAUUAACUAGCACAAACUGUUCUUUUCACAACACAGUGCCAACGAAAAUAAUUCCAUAAGCUGAGUCUCCCCUCCCAAAUAAAAGGCCAUUAACUAGCACAAACUGUUCUUUUCACAACACAGUGCCAACGAAAAUAAUUCCAUAAGCUGAGUCUCCCCUCCCCAAAUAAAAGGCCAAUCUAACAGUGAUGUACCCCUCUACAAUAUCUUCACCCCCAUAUGCAGUGCCUUGUUCUCACUUUUUAAUGUCAUCAAAACAAAUCCUGUUCCUAUUCAAAUUAUAAAUCAAAAUCAUGUUGAGGAUUAAAAGCAGGAAUAACAUAAAGAUAUGUGUCAUAUCGAGUCACCUAGGAAUCUGGGCAAGGAUAAACUGGGUGCCUGGACUAGCACUUGGCUACCAGAAGAGAAAUUGCCUACUAUAAUCCAGCCAUCUUGCCAAGCCCAAGUGUAUAAGAGAGACAGAUGACCCAAAAUCAUGUUAUCUAAUCAAACUCAUUAUUUACCAUGUGGACAUAGGUUAGAACCACCAGGGAUUAAAUCUUCAUCAUUUGCUUUUGAUACACCUAGUAUUUCUUUUAACAUGUAUCAAUACUUUGUUUGAAUAUUAAGUUUCAUAAAGGUUAGAAUAAACCACAGUGUUACCAUUAAAACACCCUUGUCUACUAAAAUGUUAAGAAACUGGAACUGUUUCCCCAACAUAUCCCCACCCUCACACACAAAUAAAUAAAUAAAUAAAAAUCUUUCCAUGAUCUACUUUAGAAAUAACUGGAAUUGGAAAUCUGCCUACACUUUUACAAUCCUAUUCUACAAGUCAUUGUGGGACCAACCUCAAAUCACAACCCAACACCUAUGGCUACUCAUAUCCUCUUACUAUUCCACAUGAAAAGCUUUGUUCACAACAAUUGGCCUCUUCCUCAAAACAUUUUCUUUGCUUAAAAUUCCCAAACCUUCCACCCCAUUAAGCAAGCAAAACCAUUUUUAAAAAUGCAAAAGAUGAUACUUAAAUCAUGUUCCAAAACUCCCCAAAGAAAGUCCCUUUAAAAUUUUCAUUCCAGUGUAUUAAUGAAGGCAUGGUAAAGAGUAGCAUAGUACAUCAAAGUACUAGUAAAGCAGUCCCAACCAACAUCAUCCUCCCUUUAAGUAAAUGCACCCCCACCAUCCAAACUCCACCCAAAAAUGUAUUCAGAAUUCAGAUAAAUCAUUUCAAACUAAAUCCAACAACAUAAUUGGUGAUUCAAAGGGAAAAAAAAAAAAAAGGAUCCCACCACACACCCAAAUUCAAUCUCCUCGUUUGGAUCCUUACCCAGUUUGACAUACACCAUAUUCACAAAUUUGUAAUACAUUAUCAAGAAUACAUACUUUUCGGGCAUUUGCAGUAUAUUCUGGCUUAAUCUACCAACUCUAUCAAAACCCUACAAUUAAAACCAACAAAAACGCCAAUUCUUACUUCCAUUAACAAAAAUGACACAUACCCACUUACCCACCAACAAGUCAAAGGUUAUUCAAAUUAAGUUAUAUAAAAAUGAAAGAUAAAAAUUGAAAAUAAAUAAAUAAGUAGGUGGCUCCCAUGAAAAUGACCUUACAAACAUAUACAUCACCAUCAACAAUGACAGCAACAAAUCAUAAGACAUAAAAAUAAAUAAAAGAGUACAGUGGGGGGAAUUUGAUUACCCGGCAAUAAGGCGACAGCCGGCUUCGUAGCGCUGCUGAUGACGACCUGUACGGGCAACCAAACCAGACAUGCUCAGUAUAAGAGAAAAGGUUUUUAUUCACUAUGAACCCAGGUGGUGAUUGGCCAUUGAUGUCGCGGUUAUGCAGAUGAUUCCGCUUGAUAAUUCCACCAUUGUUGAUGAGUACUGCGGUUGUGAUGAACCCUUCAGAGCAUGAUCCAAUGGCUGAUAGGGUUUCACUCUGUUCGAAAGAGAGAGAGAGAGAGAGAAUGAAACUCAGAUGUGGAAAGGAGGAUUGCGAGAGCUAGAGAGAGAAAGUAGCGGAUCGAACGGUGAGACUAGGUCAAAGGUCAAAGUCUCGACGCCGCAUUUUAAGAAGUCAACCGGAGUUUGCUACUUUUUGCACGGAAGGGUCCUGAUCCUCCGAGGUUACCUGCUGAAGCAGCCCCAUCCGUCCGAUCAGAAAUUCUUGCCGUUUCUACCUUUUCCCAACAUAGGUGAUGACGAGUUCCAUGGGCUAAUGGGCCUCUGAGUCUGGCCCAACCUAGCCUUAUAGGCAUAAGCCCAGAAUUUUCUAACUUGUAAACUUACCAUUUCUUUCAAAAUUUUCUUUUAAUUGCUUUGUCCACAAAAAAGGCCUUGUUUGGGAAGAGUUGAAACUUAAGCCAGGUCACAAUUUACUUUAAAGGGCAAUAUCGAUAUUGAAACGUUUCUACUAAACAUGAAAGAACUCUUAUAUAAGCCAAAAUAAAACUUCUAUAAGAAGCAACAUUUUCCUAACUUUGAUAUAAUACGCGAUUUGCACAAGAAGUAAUAAAAUACUUGCACUAAUAGCUAAAUUCAAUAGAAAUUGUCUUUAUAUGAUUUCCAAUGAGAUCAUAAAAUAAAAAAAUUGUAAAGAAUUCAUCGGGAAUGCCAUUCCCAACGCUUUCCCGAGCAGCUCGAGCCUCGAAGUAACGGUGGUCGUAGAUCACGAUGUGGGGGGCUCCCCUCCACGUGUCACUUUCCAAUCCCAACACCUUGGCGGGGUAGCGCAGACAUGCAAACGUCCAAAUCAUUCCAUUCAGACCAUGAUCAAUUCCAUUUGACAACAAACAUAAAGAGGCCCUUUCCCUAUAAGGCCAGACGACAUGGGGAGACCGGACCCUCCAAACAGACGAAACCAUCCAAUCAAGCCUUCAAGGCCCAAUGGCAUGAGUAAUCAUUCAUACCUGACAUGAGAAUGGCUUAUGAGACCUCUUCUAACCCUCUAGUCCAUGUCAAUUAAUUGCCUCACACAACCCCAAGUCAUCAAUAGGUUGAGGGAACAGGCGGUUGUACGGUUAAAGAUCAUGGCACGUCAGUUGAUGACACCUACUAGCCACCCAAAAUGGUGAUGAUCACCCUGCCACCUACAAAACAAUCAUCAUUAUAAGGAAAGUUAAAGUGCUUAGUUAACACUACAGUAGCACUUUCUUUAGCACUAUAAAAACCCUCUAAAACCACAAACAAGGUACGUAGAGAUACACCGACUCACUCUUUCUCACUAAGGUCGCUUGAGCUGUCUUUUGCCCGACUUAAGCUUUGGAGGGGCAUGCUCGGACCACCUAUCCGGACAUCCCUUGUGCAGGAAAGGAGUUUACUCAGUCUCAUUAGUGUUGGGGCAAAUAGUCUGAGAGACAUGCGAAAAUAGGAAGACUAUCCAAUCUCCAUUAAGUUGGACGAAUCCGACUUUAGUUGGUUUUGCAUCAACAUUGGCGUCGUCUAUGGAAACGAUUAAGAAUGUCAACACUCUCUAGAAGCCAAUCAUUAGCUAUGGGUAGCGAUGACUACUUUGACUGGCGUGAAAGAAUGGAAAGACGCCAACGAGAGAGUGAGCGACAGGUACAAUCCCUACUCUGCGAGAUAAGGAGACUCAAAGAAGAGAAUGACGAGUUUUCUGCCCAAGUGUUGUCAUCGGGCCUCUCUCACAACUGACAACAAAAAGGUCAGCGAGCAACCUUAAGACAAAAUGACGAGGUGUCUUUUCCCUAGGAACGUAAAGUCCCUCUCUGGUAGUCAUGAAAUACAGCUAGAAGAGAAGCUUUCACCAACCCGCUAGGUGCAGUUGGACGAAAGCUCCGACUCUACCCAGGUGUCAACAAGAAGGAGGCGCAACAGGAGGUCAUGUUUGUUUGACGUAAUGCAAGCCUGGUUGGGACCUCAAUCACUUGGCAUAGGGGGAAAACCUUAUGUAGUAGAAACUCUAGAGGCUCGUUUGGGUCCCUCAGCCGCAACAAUCAUGUUAGAAUGGCCCUCCCAUCUGCCCUGACAGUGGCAAGUGGAGACCCCAACGGAUUGGGCUCCACUUGGCUCCGUCAACUGACGACUGGACGACAUGCUCUCCAUGCCGUUUGGCCCUCACAUCAUUAACUAUGAGCCCUCAAGGGGGUUCAUAGUACCAAAAUUCACGACAUACGAUGGAACAAGCGAUCCAUUCGAUCAUAUCAUGCACUAUAGGCAACUCAUGACCCUAGACAUAAAGAAUGAUGCACUGUUAUGCAAAGUCUUUCCAACCAGCCUACAUGGCUAGGCUCUCUCAUGGUUCCAUCGCUUUUCGAAGAACUCCAUGAACAAUUUUUGAGAUCUAUCGGAAGCCUUUGUGGGACACUACCUAUGUUCAACUCGCCACAAGCAAAACAUAAGCACCCUACAGAACAUCAAGAUGCAGGAAAAUGAAUCCCUCAAGGACUUCAUGAAAUGGUUCAAACAAGUUGUGCUCCAAGUAGAGUCUUGCAGCAUGGACACCAUCUUGUAGAUCUUCAAGAGAAGCAUCAAUCUGAGUACGUCGUUCUUUGAGUCUCUUGCCAAAAAGCCACCAACAACGAUGGACGACCUAUUCAAACGAGUAAACAAGUACUUUAUGCUCGAAGACAACAUCCGCGCAGCUACUUAGUAGGUCCUAGUCACCAAUCGUUCGACUAGAAACGACCAUGCAGGAAGCUCAAAUCCCUAAAGCCAAUUGAGACAAGUUAAUAAAAGGCAGGACAACUAGCAGCAGCUGAGUCAAGCUAGCCUGACCCUCCUCAAUAUCUCAUGCGAAAAAUUCCUCCCAAUUAUUCGCGAUUUGUCUGAUUUCAAGUGGUUGGAGCCGAUCAAGACAGAUCUGGCUAAACGGGAUCAGAGCCAUUAGCCUAUCACAAAGAUCAUGGCCAUACCACGGAGCAGUGUAGAAGUCUCCACUAUCUAGAGGAAAGACUAAUCAAGGUUGGACACCUGAAACAAUACAUCCGCAUAAGUGGUGGACAAAGGGAAUCGACCCGAGAUUUGGCCAUACAAGCCCCCACAACUUCAGCAGCUCCCAGAGCUAUUAUCAACUACAUUCACGGAGGCUCCACUGAUGAAAAAUACAACUCCAAGUGGAAAAGGCAAAAGUUGCUUCAUGCGGCCUCCGUAAGGGAACAAAUCAAUUCCAUUCAACACAACUUGCCAAAUGGAAGUACACGCCUCGUUGAUGACACAAUUACCUUCCCUCCGAUAAAUGCUAACUGGGCAUUGCAGCCACACGAAGACGCCCUGAUCCUAACCUUGGGAAUAAGCGGGUUCAAUGUAAGAAGAGUUCUAAUUGAUCAAGGUAGCUCGGCUGACCUCUUACAAAUGUCGGCUUACAGGAAAAUGAAAUUCCUACUAUCUACCCUAGAAAACCCAAGGUGAAUACUAUCUGGGUUCAGUGGGACCACAACAGCUUCUCUAGGAAACGUUGUAUUACAUGUCCAAGCUGGCCCAAUCACCUUAAAUGUACAAUUCUCGAUGGUAGAUGAUUUAUCCUUUUUCAACGCCAUCAUGGGACGCUCAUGACUUCACAGUAUGAAGGUCAUUCCCUCUACAUAUCAUCAUAUGGAGAGCUACCUCAACAAGGACGAACAAAUCGAUAUUUUUGGCAAUCAAUUGGUUGAGCACCAGUGCUAUCAAGUAGUGCUUGAAUCCGGACACCCGACUAGUAAUGAGCCAUGCCUAGAUGAGCAAUAACAAUUACUAAACCUGGUGGAGAAGAAUCUACUUGCAGUUGACCCACUCCAACCACUACGUCUCUCAUGCGACAUUGACCAAGUUACCUAUGCCAACUUCCUUUUCAUGUUAGAUGAAUUGAAACUAUUUGAAAGCAUGCUUCGGUAGACCAAAGACAUAUUCACCUAGACUCAUUCUAAAAUGACAUGAAUCCAUCCAUCUAUAGCCUCACAUCGACUCAACGUCAUACUUUCUUCACGACCCAUCCACCAAAAGGUUCGAUGCUUGCAUUCAGACAAGCAGAGGAUCAUCCAGGCUGAGAUUGACAAAUUGCUGACAACCGGAUUCAUCAGGGAAGUUGAAUAUCCAGACUGGUUGGAAAAUGUGGUGGUUGUUCCAAAGAAGGAUGAGAAAUGGCGAGUCUGUGUCAGUUACACCAACUUGAAUGAUGUUUGUCCAAAUGAUAGUUUUCUUUUUCCCUGAAUAGAUCAAAUAGUAGAUGCCAAUGUCAUGCACGAAAUGUUCUCCUUCAUAGACGUUUUAUUCAGGUACCACCAGAUCCCCAUGUUCCAACCAGAUGAGGAAAAUGCAGUCUUUGUGACACCACACGGGUUGUACUGCUACAAAGUUAUACCAUUUGAGCUCAAGAAUGUUGGCACUACUUAUCAGAGGUUGAUGACAAAGAUCUUCAAACCCUUGAUCAAUGGAACUGUGGAAGUCUACAUUGACGACAUUGUGGUGAAGAACCCGAGGCAAACACGCCCAACACCUGGAAGAAACAUUUCGCCUAAUGCGGACGUACAACAUGAAGCUUAACCCGACUAAAUGCGCUUUUGGUGUUAGCGCGAGUAAGUUCCUAAGAUUUAUGGUAACCCAAAAGGGAAUUAAAGUUAAUUUGGAUUAAAUAAAAGUCAUCCUUGAGACACCUGCCUUGAAUAGUAAAAAGGAGUUGCAACGUCUCACAGGUAGUCUAACUGCACUAGGGCGUUUCAUAGCCCAAUUUACAAACAAACUGAGGUCUUUCUUCCUCACACUCAAGGGGUCAAGUGCAAUCGAUUGGACGGAUGAAUGUGGGCGAGCAGGCAUUCGAUGAAGUCAAACACUAUCUCACUAAGCCACCUAUUCUGAGCAGCCCUCAGUCGGGUGAACAACUCUACAUGUAUUUGGUCGUGUUUGACUGUGCAAUCAGUGUUGUUCUAUUUUUUCAUGUAAAAGACAAAGAACAGAGGCUCGUUUACUAUGUGACCAAAACAAUGGUUGAUGUAGAAACCCAAUACUCCAUAAUAGAGCAAACGACCUUAGCCAUGAAAAGCGCCGCCUAGAAACUCCUCUCAUACUUUCGGGCCCACCAAGUGAUUGUACUCACAAAUCAACCACUCAGAAGCAUCUUGCAUAAACCAGGUCUAUUCAGACGAAUGUUGAAGUGGGUUGUUGAGUUGAGUGAGUACAAAAUCAAAUACCAGCCAAGAUUAGCAUUGAAGGGACAAGUCAUGGUCGACUUUAUAACUGAAUUCCCCUAAAAACCAUCACAUCUAAACGAGUCCCCUGGGAAAAGAUGGUGGAUACUUCAUGUGAACGGAACAUCCAUGGCCUUCGGUUUUGGAGUAGGCCUGAUCUUACAGUCACCGCCUAGGGAGUUGCUAGAGCAAGCUAUCCGACUCAGCUUUCCUGCCUCUAAUAAUGAAGCUGAAUAUGAGGUGGUCUUGGCCAGACUAGAUCUUGCCCUUACUUUAGCAGCAACCAAGUUGGAAAUAUGUAACAAUUCUCAACUAAUCGUUGGGCAAAUUCAGAAAGAGUGUGAAGCAAAAGACGAAUGCAUGACUCGCUAUCUCACCUUGGUAGAAAGCCACUUGGGAAAGCUAGGCAAGUGGGCAGUUAGACGUGUACCCCAGACAAAAAAUUUAAAGGUUAACGCACUAGCCGGAAGAGCUACCACUCUUCCUAUAAGAGAUGUCGUAAUGUUGCCCGUCUACCUCCAGGCCACAUCCUCAGUUGCGUCAGUACCAGUAUGUAGUAUUGUUGAGGCGGACCCCAACUGGAUGCACGAAAUUGUGAAAUAUCUCCAGACGGGAGAACUACCAAGGGAUGAGAAGCAUGCACACAAGGUUUGCGUACAAGCCGCCCGCUUCACCCUAAUCAAUGACAGUCUUUAUAGACGAUCUUUUGGAGGACCAUAUCUAAAAUGUUUGAGCAAUCCGAAAGCGCAGUACGUCCUAGCCAAACUCCACGAAGGUGUGUGUGAAAAUCAUACAGGCGGGUGAACCUUAGCACAUUGCACUCACACGCAAGGAUACAAUUGGCCUACCAUGAAUAAGAUGCUGAAAAUUAUGUUAAGAAGUGUGAUCGGUGUCAGAAGUACGCUCUCAUCCUCGCAUGCCUUCUAAAGUUCUCAACCUGGUUACGAGCCCUUGGUCGUUUGCAUUAUGGGAGAUGGACAUAGUUGGUCUCUUACCCUUGGCAACAACACAAAAGAAGUUUCUACUCAUAGCUACUGACUACGUCAGCAAGUAGGUAGAAGUAGAAGCCUAUGAUAGCUUCAAAGACAAGGACGUCUCCAAGUUCAUCUGGAAAAACAUCGUUUGCCCGUUCAGGGUUCCACAAGUAAUUAUAGAGGACAAUGGGCCGCAAUUCGACAAUAUCACCUUCAAAAUCUUCUGCUCGAAGCUAAAAAUUAAGAAUCUAUAUUCCAUGUCCCGCUAUCCUCAAAACAAUGGGCAAGCAGAGGCAAUUAACAAGACCCUACUGACUGCACUUAAGAAAAGACUGGAAUGAGCCAAAGAAAAAUGGGUAGACGAAUUGCUCGGAGUUCUGUGGGCGUACCAAACAACAUUCAGACGACCUACAAGAAUCACUCAUUUUGUCCUUGCCUAUGGAAUGGAAGUUGUUAUUCCAACUGAGAUAGGCAUGCCCACCGCCAAAAUAGUCGUGCAAGGUUAAAGAGAUGACAAUCAAUAACUUGAGAAAUAAUUGGAUUAAGCAGAUGAGGUGAAGGGAAACCCAAUCAUUUGGAUGGCCUCCUAUCGACAGAGAGUUAUUGCCCAUUACAAUAAAAAGGUCUAACCACGUAUUUUCCGCACCGAAACCUUAGUCCUCAAAAGAGUCUUUGAGAACACGAUUAAGGUGGGAGUCGAAAAGCUUUAGGCUAAUUGGGAAAGGCCCUAUGUUGUGACUAAGGUUAGGGGCUUAGGGGCAUACCAUCUCUAAACAUUGGACAACGUACCCCUGCUCCGCCCUUGGAAUGUAUCCAACCUAAAGCAGUACAAUCAAUGGGAUUGGCUUAUGAAAAAUAAAAUGUACGUGAAAGAAAGACGAAAAAGACAAGUAUAUCUGUAUUAAAAAUGUGAAUGUUCAUUACAACCUCCAGUUGAGCCAUCUUCGGACAGAAAAAAAAAAAGAAAAAAUAUACAGAAAUGAUCAGGGUCAUGUCUGUCCACCAAAGGGACUGGCUUUAGUAGCAUCCUCAUCAUAUGAAGAGUAGUUGGGGGUACCCUAGGUGAUGCUAUGUUUCUUCAUGCAACACCGGUAGCCGAAAAAAAACAUGUCAUCUACUUGCUUUUGAUACUCACCCUCCAGCUCCUCUUUUUUUAGCGGCAAACCCCACCCGGAGCUCUUUCAUCUCCUGCCUUAGUCAUGUGUUCUUCUCUUCGGCCUUCUUAUGCCUAGCCUCCAUCGCCUCUUAUUCCUCUGUCAACCAACGGGACUCAGCUUUAGCUGUCUCUUUCCUUUUUUCUGUCUUCCUUAGCAAUUUGACUCCUUCAUCAACAACUUUCCGAGCAACAGUAAACUCGUCCUCCACCGAUUUUAGCUUGGCACAGAGUUCUUCAUUGUCGUCCAUGUUAUGGGCAAUGUACACUCUCAUAGUCUUAGUAGCCUCUAGUCGUUUGAAGAGCAUAGCACGGUGCUGCAUCAAAUUGCAGACGUUGGCCACCACCUGAGAUGGCAGCAAGAAAUUGUUAAGAAAUCAAAAGACUAAGGCACCGAUAAAAGAGGGAAGAGGCUUACCACUUCCGUCGUCUCAAUGGUUGUAUAAUCUUACAUAGGCAAGAUGCGGGAGACGACGAAUUCUGGGGUGUCAAAUGGAAGUCAGGCCACAAAGAAAAUGUUGGGAUCGCCAUCUAAGUCUACCGAGACUCGCCGGGUGGCCGAAAAGAGUACUCCCAUGUUGUUCAUAGGAGCCUCCCUCUCUGUAAAGCAAGGGAUCUGCUUCAUCAGUUCGGCUAUCUCCUCCCGGUUGGGGGUGUGAGGCACUUAGGGACGAGGAGGGACGGAAGCCACGCACUUAAUGGAGUCAUCAUUGAGUUCAGUCGGACUAGUGGAGGGCCCCCUAGCUCUGGGCGAAUGCCUCCCCCAGCAGAGAAUGACCUCUUGUCCGGUGUAGGGUUGGUACCUGCAGUAGCAGCCGAAGGCUCUAGCGUCGGUACAAUAACCAAUACUGGCUCCAGGUAGAGAAUCUUCGAGCAGGGCUUUUUAGGAGAAAGGGGAAUGACCAUGAUAGAUUUGUGUUAGCCCAAGGGUUCUCCUAAUCGGGUUUUGAUGAUAACAAACCAUGGUUAAGUGACUAAUUGGUUUAAUGGUUAAGAAUCUCAGGCAUAAACUUGAAAAUUCAUCAAAUGACCAAAUGGAUAAAAGAUUGAGUCUUUUGGAAGACUUGUGAUCAUAGGAAACGAAUGCAAGAUGAAUGCAUGAGUGCACUUUGGAAUUUCAUAUCGUUUUAUGCAACUUAGAAAACUCAGUUUAUCAUUUAAAACUUCGAUUUCAUUAAAACCCGAGUUUUAACAAAUGUACCUUAGGCAAAAUGUUUUAAAAUUGGCAUAAUAAUUCACCUAAAGACCUUGCCUAAGUGUUAAAAAAGAAGGAAUUGAAAAAGAUAGGUUUUUGGGGCCAAAAGGCUCAAUCGGUCGAGGUCCGGUCGAGGGAUGCCCAAAAUCUUCUCUCUCUCCUAGUAGCCUUCUCUUCCCAGUCGAGGCAACAAUAACUUGUCAAGCAUUAAAUGCUCCAACGGCUAAUGAACCGGUCAACCCCUAACUCGACCGGUCGAGGUUACCUUUUGCUGUUUUUGGCUCCCGAGCUUAGAAACUUAUAAAUUGAGAGCUUCACUUCAUUUAUUGAUAAGAGAACACUUGCAAUCAAUUGUCUACCUACUUGUUCUUGACCAAAAAGCUCUCAUUUCUUUCCUAGUGCAUUAAAUCAUCACUUGCAUAUCCUUUAUUUUCUCAAUUGGUAUCAGAGCUAGACCUCUUGUUUUAAAGACUUAAUCAUCUAAGAGGAAAUGAAUAUUCCAUCAAGCUCAUCUCAAACUGAAUUUUUUUUCAAAACAUAGAGCUCCAUUCUUUACGGAAACCGACUAUCCCUAUUGGAAAACCAGAAUGACUUGGUACUUACAAUCAACUGAUUUAGAUGUAUGGGACGUCAUUGAAGAUGACCCAACUUUUCCCACUAAACUAGUUGAUGGAGUUUUGGUUCCAAAACCCAAGUAAGAAUGGAAUAAACUUGAUAGAAGAAACGUUCAAUUAAAUGCUAAAGUCAUUUUUACUUUGCAAUGUGUUAUGGAUAGAAAUAAAUAUAAUAGAAUAUGUCAAUACAAAUCGGCUAAAGAAAUUUGAAGGUUGCUUGAAAUAACUCAUGAAGGAACAAAUCAAGUGAAAGAGUCAAAAAUUAAUUUACUUGUUCAUAACUAUGAAUUGUUUUCAAUGAAAGAAAAUGAGACUAUUGUUGAGAUGAUUACUAGGUUCACCGACAUUGUCAAUGGUCUUGAAGGUUUGGGAAAAACCUACAAGGAAUCCAAGAAGGUGAUGAAGAUAUUGAGGUCUCUCCCAUUAAAGUGGCAUACCAAGGUCACCGUAAUUCAAGAAGCAAAAGACUUGACUAAGCUACCUAUGGAAGAGCUCAUAGGGCAUUGAUGACAUAUGAGAUUAACUUGGCAAAGAAGCUAUAGGAGGGUGAAAACAAAAAGAAGAAGAACAUAGCUCUCAAAGCUACAACCAAGGAAAAAGAAGAUGUUGAAGAAGAAAAACCAAGUGAGGAAGAUGAUGAUUUAACCCUCAUCACAAGAAAGCUUAACAAAUACAUGAGGAGUGAAAGGUUUAGAGGAAGAAAAUUCAUCUUUAGAAGAGACCCUUCUAAAAAGGAAUCCUCAUCUCAUGGUGACAAGGAGAAAUGAGAAGAGAAAAGAGAUUUGGUGUGUUUCAAAUGCAAAAAAUCGGGACACAUCAAAUAUGAUUGUCCUCUCUACAAAAGUGAAGCCAAGAGAAGACUGAAAAAGGCAAUGAUGACCACUUGAAGUGAAAGUGAAGAAUCCUCCGAAGAAGAAAAUGAGAAAGAAGUGGCAAACAUGUGCUUCAUGGCAAUAUAUGAUCUUGGUGAGGUAAACUUUAACUUUAGUGAUGAAGAUAUCCAUGAUGUUUUUGAAGAAUUAUAUGAGGAUUUUGAAAAACUUAGUUUGAAAAAUAAUUCUCUUAAAAAGAAAAUUCAAGAACUUGAAGAAGUGAAAGAAAAAUUUUCAAUUGUUGAAAUAUCUAAAACUCAUCUUGAAAAAGAGAAUGAGAUUUUGAGAAGUGAAAAUGAGAUUUUGAAAAAGAAAAAUGAAUGGUUGACUUCCUCUCUUUCAAUUUUCUCUUGUGGAUAAAAAUCUUUUAAAAUGAUCUUAGCUAGUUAAAAAUGUGUUUUUGACAAACAAGGACUAGGAUUCAAAUCUUCAAAAAAAUCAAAAGUAUUUUAAAAACUACUUUGUAAGAGAAUCCGCAAGUGCAAGUCCUUCUACCACUUACAAUUUUUGUGGAAGAUGAGGGCACAUUAGUAGUACAUGUCCCUUAAGAAAUGGUUCUCAAAAGAAUUCAAAUGCUAAAGCUAAAAAGGUUUGGGUUGAAAAAUCCAAGGUCACUAACCCUCAAGGACCCAAAAAGAUAUGAGUACCUAAAUCAACUUAAAUUUUAUUUUGUAGGGUUCAAAGAAGGAUAAGUAGUUCUUGGAUGGUGGAUGCUCAAGACACAUGAACGGGGAUGAAUCCAAGUUUGCUUUCCUUACAAAGAGAAAGGGAGGAUACGUUACCUUUGCAAACAAUGCAAAAGGAAGGAUCAUUGGUCAAGGCAACAUUGGUAAUGACACGUCCUCUCUUAUUGAAAGUGUUUUAUUAGUGGAUGGUUUACAACAUAAUCUUUUGAACAUAAGUCAACUUUGUGACAAAGGUUUUAAAGUAUUUUUGAAGCAUCUCAUUGCAUCACCAAAGAUAUUCAAAAUGAUAAAACCAUCUUCAUGGGUCAUAGAUGUGAUAAUGUUUAUGCUACAAAUAUUUCAAAAUAUGAUGAUCAUAAUAGAUGUUUUUCAAGCAUGCAUGAUCAAAGUUGGUUGUGGCAUAGGAGGUUGGGACAUGCUAACAUGGACCUCAUUUCCCAACUCAACAAAGAUGAACUUGUUAGAAGCCUUCCUAAAAUAAAUUUUCAAAAAUACAAAGUUUGUGAAACUUGUCAAAUGGGAAAACAAAUCAAAAACUCUUUUAAAAACAAAAAUUUCAUUUCAACAACUAGGCCUCUUGAAUUGUUGCAUAUGGAUUUAUUUGGUUUCUUUAGGACACCAAGCCUUGGAGGAAAAUCUUAUGCAUUUGUUAUUGUGGAUGACUUCUCUAGAUACACUUGAGUCUUAUUUUUAAGUCAAAAGAAUGAAGUCUUUUAUGAGUUUUCAAAGUUUUGCAACAAGGUUCAAAAUGAAAAAGAUUUUACAAUUACUUAUAUAAGAAGUGAUCAUGGGAGAGAGUUUGAAAAUAUUGAUUUUGAAGACUAUUGCAAUGAGUAUGGUAUUAACCACAAUUUUUUGGCUCGUAGAAUUCCUCAACAAAAUGGGGUAGUUGAAAGGAAAAAUAGAACUCUUCAAGAAAUGGCUAGAAUCAUGCUAGAUGAAAACAAUUUACCAAAAUAUUUUUGGGCCGAAGCGGUUAACACUUCUUGUUAUGUUUUAAAUAGAAUUUUAUUAAGGCCUAUUCUUAAGAAAACUUCCUAUGAGCUUUGGAAAAACAAGAAACCCAAUAUUAGUUAUUUCAAAGUCUUUGAGUGCAAAUGCUUUAUAUUAAACACCAAAGAUAAUCUUGGAAAAUUUGAUGCGAAAUCGGAUGUUGGGAUUUUUCUUGGUUACUCAAUGUCAAGUAAAGCCUUUAGAGUUUUUAAUAAAAGAACCAUGGUUGUAGAGAAGUUCAUCCAUGUUAUUUUUUAUGAAUCUAACAAUUCUCUCCAAGAAAGAGAGAGUUUGGAUGAUGAUUUAGGCUUGGAGACCUCCAUGGGAAAAUUACAAAUUGAAGAUAGAAGGCAACAAGAAGAAAUUGUAGAGGAUCCCAAGAAAGAAGAAUCACCUUUGGCAUUACCACCUCCUCAACAAGUGCAAGGUGAAUCAAGACAAGACCUUCCUAAAGAUUGAAAGUUUGUCAUCAACCACCCACAAGAUCAAAUUAUAGAUAAUCCGUCUAGUGGGGUAAGAACUAGAUCAUCUCUUAGAAAUAUUUGCAAUAAUGUUGCUUUUAUCUCUCAAAUUGAACCUAAAAAUAUAAAUUAUGUUCUAGUUGAUCAAAAUUGGAUGAUUGCUAUGCAAGAAGAGUUAAACCAAUUUGAAAGAAGUGAAGUAUGAGAAUUAGUGCCAAGACCUCAAAAUCAAAGUGUUAUUGGAACUAGAUGGGUCUUUAGAAAUAAAAUGGAUGAAAAUGACAUAAUUGUAAGGAAUAAAGCAAGAUUGGUAGCCCAAGGUUUUAAUCAAGAAGAAGGGAUAUAUUAUAAAAAAACCUUUGCUCUUAUAGCUAGAUUAGAAGUCAUUAGGAUGCUACUUGCCUUUGCAUGUUUUAAAGACUUUGUUUUAUAUCAAAUAGAUGUGAAAAGUGUUUUCUUAAAUGACUUUAUAAAUGAAGAAGUAUAUGUUGAACAACCACCCGGUUUUCAAAGUUUUGACUAUCCUAAUCAUGUUUUUAAACUUAAAAAGGCACUUUAUGGUUUGAAACAAGCACCUAGAGCAUGGUAUGAAAGAUUAAGUAAAUUUCUUUUGAAAAAGGGUUUAGAAUGGGAAAAAUUGACACAACUCUUUUCAUAAAAACAAAAAAAAAUGACAUGCUCUUAGUGCAAAUAUAUGUUGAUGAUAUCAUUUUUAGAGCUACUAAUGUCUCUCUUUGUGAAGAAUUUUCUAAAUGCAUGCAUAGUGAGUUCGAAAUGAGCAUGAUGGGAGAACUUAACUUCUUCCUUGGACUUCAAAUGAAGCAACUAAAGGAAGGAACCUUCAUCAAUCAAGCAAAGUAUAUAAGAGAUCUUCUCAAAAGGUUCAACAUGGAAGAAGCUAAAACAAUGAAGACUCCAAUGAGCUCAUCCAUCAAGCUUGACAAUGAUGAGAAAGCUGAGUCCAUCAACUCAACUAUGUAUAGAAGCAUGAUAGGUUCUUUGCUAUAUUUGAUCGCUAGUAGACCCGACAUCAUGUAUAGUGUAUGCUUGUGUGCUAGAUUUCAAUCUUGUCCUAAAGAAUCUCACUUAAGUGUCAUAAAACAAAUUCUUAGAUAUUUAAAAGGGACAAUGGACAUAGGCCUAUGGUAUCCUAAGGGUGAUAACUUUGAAUUAAUUAGAUUCUCAGAUGCCGACUUUGCUGGUUGUAAAGUUGAAAGGAAAAGCACUAGUGACACUUGUCAUUUCCUAGGACAUUCACUUGUUUCAUGGCAUAAGUAAGAAGCAAAAUUUGGUAGCCUUGUCAACGGUGGAAGUCGAAUACAUAACAGCCGGUUUGUGUUGUGCACAAAUCCUUUGGAUGAAACAAACACUUAGUGAUUUCAAUUUGUUUUUUGAGCAUGUUCCUAUUAAAUGUGAUAACACUAGUGCCAUAAACAUUUCAAAAAAUCUCGUGCAACACUCUAGGACUAAGCAUCUAGAGAUUAGACACCAUUUUCUUAGAGACCAUGCACAAAAAGGUGACAUUACACUUGAAUUUGUAAGCACAAAAGAUCAAUUUGCCGAUAUUUUUACAAAACCUCUAAGUGAAGAGCAAUUUGUUGAUAUUAGAAGACAACUAGGGGUGAUUUCUUUAUGAUUAAAUGAUUGCCUGAUGAACUCUUGUUGAAUAUACCCUAUGAUUGCAUGAAUUUCAUAUCAUAUGCAUCAUAUAGAAUUACUCUUAGGAAAAAGGUCAAAUUUUGACCAAAAAUCGAAAUUCCCUUGGCAUUGGACAUAAAAAAUUGGGGAUUUCAACUAAAAAGGGUAGGGGGGAUCACGAGACAAGAAAAAGCAAAAAAUUGGAGCGUUGACCAAGCAGUUCAUCGGGGUUGGGAAUUUAAAGAGGCUCCUACGCUUCAUUUUCUCCACUGUUCUCCUCCAUUCCUUGAAGACUCUUCACAUUCUUGCUUCUAAAGAUUAGUUUGGGCAAGAUCUUGGACUGUUUGUAGGCCUUGGAGUUGAUUUUGGGACAUUUUUUAGGCUAGGGUUUCCGUUUUGGGAGUGAUUUCUCUCUGACCGCGCGCCUCAGCUAGGUUCAACUCCAUUUCCGUGCGCCUAGAGCUUCUGGUUGGAUUUCAUUCUCUCUUGUUUGGGUUUGUUCUCUCUUCGGACUUCAUUUCUUCAUUUUCCGUUUUUCUAAUGGAGCCUAGGAGAGAGAGCCUUUAGGGCUUAGGGCAAGCACCCUGCUGAGCCAUCUCAGCUUGAGCAGACAGAAGCUCGCUGAAAGGCGAGGUACGACACGACCCUCUUCAAUUCCGUCAAAGAAUAUUAGAGAUACAAGUAAAAAUUUGCCCAGAAGAAAGUCGUUCCAGGGAUAAGUAUAAAUUUCUCUCAACUUCGGUACUUUAGGUUUGAAGGACUUUUCAGUAGGAUGGGAUGACUUCCAAUUGUGACGAUUUUCGAGCCGAUCUUCCCGACUCUGGUGCGUGCAUUUUAUUCACGGGUGACCUAUGGACUUAGAGGACCGGUCAUGUCCACUGUUAGAGGUGUUGAGAUCAGACUGAGCCUAGAGAGCAUUUGCCGCAUUUUCGACAUCCCUUCAAUUGGACUCUGGGUGUAUGAGUCCAAGGUUUGGCCCACUGUGCCGGGUUUUGAGCUUAGAGAGGCUAUUCAGAGGUUGUGCGGACUUACAGACGCCUAGGGAAUGGGCAAACCAUCAGCACACAUCCUGACCGUGACCAGCCGAGUCCUUCAUCAUAUGAUCUGCUCCAUCUUAUUGCCACGAGACGGACAUCGAGACGAGGUCUCCUACCUUGAGGCAUUCAUUAUGGACUCAAUUCUGACAGGGAGACGGAUUCACGUGAGGUAUCUGAUGAUAAUUGAUAUGAUAUCUUACUGUGAGAGCACGACUCGAGUACUCCCCUGUGACCGCUUCCUUACUCGAGUAUUCAAGGAUGUCGAGGUCGAUUUGAGCAGAGAGACGGACUUCAAGACUCUUACUAGUUAUGACACUUACGAUGAGCAAUCUUUGGGGCGGAUGAAGUUCAAGAAAGCCCUCGAUGGCUCUUGGAUUAGGAGAGUUGAGCGACCUCCAGCAUAGGCCCGGGGACAAGGACAGAUGCAUCCCAAAGUAGAGGAGGAGGCCGAGAUCAGAGAGAUGGAGGGUGGGUUAGACCCUUAGAGGGAUUUUGAGCACAGAGAGCUCGAGCUUGACAUUCCUCUUCCACUUCAAUCAGAGAGUAUUCAUUUUGAGGCCACUUUCUCAUAGCCUAUGAUGACUGAGUUGUCUUACACUGCGGGGCCAUCCUCUCAGCCAUCAUUCACCAAGCUUCCUCACACAGAGAUACCAUCUUAGGCACUUCACGCUCCUGAUCAUGCGCCUUAGAUGGAUGUAUUAGCUCAGAUCAACUCACUUGAGACUCGUAAAGAGGAGCUUGCUUUAGUCAAUGAUACUCGAUUCUACUCUAUGGAAGAUCACAUAGAUCAGUAUCAGACUGACUUCACUUCUUGUUUUGAGCACUUACAACAGAGAUUUGAGUGUAUGGAUCAGUAGCAAGCUACAUUCAAGCAUCUCCAGUAGAGUAUUCAGCACAUUGAGAGUUGCCAGGAGAGUCAGCAUGAGGAGAUGAUGGCUUACCUCCGCUCCAUGUUUCCACCUCCACCUUCUCAGCCUUGAGUUUAUCUAGAGUUCCCCCCCAGUCUCUUUUUUUAUGUUGCCAAAGUGAGAGAAAUAUCUAGGAUCUAGGAGACCCUCAUGCAUAUCAUUGUCAUAUCUAUGUUGAUUAGCAUAUAUGUUAUGUUUUCGUGUACAUGUGAGGUUACCAUAUAUAUAUGAUAUGCUAUUUUCAUGAUCCAUUGUUUCCUAUUCAAAUUUUCAUGCUUUACAUUGUUUCCUAUUGAAAAUUGAUUGAUUGAUCCAUGAUUGGUUUGAGGGGGAGAUUUUUUUUCUCUCCUAGAUAACCAAGGUUUGUCAUCAUCAAAAAAUGGGAAAUCGUUAGCCCAAAGGUUCUCCUAAUCGGGUUUUGAUGAUAACAAACCAUGGUUAAGUGACUAAUUGGUUUAAUGGUUAAAAAUCUCAGGCAUAAACUCGAAAAUUCAUCAAAUGACCAAAUGGAUACAAGAUCGAGACUUUUGGAAGACUUGUGAUCAUAAGAAACGAAUGUAAGAUGAAUGCACUUAGGACUUUCAUACCAUUUCAUACAACUUAGAAAACUCGGUUUAUCCUUUAAAACUUCGAUUUCAUUAAAACCCGAGUUUCAACAAUGUACCUUAGGCAAAAUGUUUUAAAAUUAGCAUAAUAAUUCACCUAAAGACCUUGCCCAAGUGUUAGAAAAGAAAGGAAUUGAAAAAGAUAGGUUUUCGGGGCCAAAAGGCUCAACCAGUUGAGGUUAUGGCCAACCAGCUCAACCGAUUGGGGAACCAGUCGAUCAGUUGCCCUUGUCCGAUCGAGGAAUGCCCAAAAUCUUCUCUCUCUCCUAGUAACCUUCUCUUCCCGGUCAAGGUUAUUCUCUUCCCGAUCAAGGUCAGAUCGAGGACCUAUCGAGGUCCAAUCUAGGCAAUGGUAACCUAUCAAGCAUUAAAUGCUCUAAUGGUUAGUGAACCGGUCAACCCUUAGCUCGACCGGUCGAGGUUACCUAAUGCUGUUUUUGGCUCCCAAGCUUCGAAACCUAUAAAUUGAGAGCUCCACUUCAUUUAUUGAUAAGAGAACACUUGCAAUCAAUUGUCUACCUACCUGUUCUUGACCAAAAAGCUCUCAUUUCUUUCUUAGUGCAUUAAAUCAUCACUUGCAUAUCCUUUAGUACACUUUUGUGUGUCAUCCUAACUUUGUCUUGUAUUUGAGCUAUCCUUAAUCUAGGUUGAGGGAUUUAUUCUUAUAAAAACUGAGUGUUAAAGCCUUCAAGAGGUUUGAAUCUUGAAAAGAUUGUGUAAGAGCUCAUUGGAGCCGAAAUCUAAGUGUAAGAAGAUUGGAAGCUUGGUUGAAGCUUCAACUUUCACUCGGUUAGGAGAUUGAGGAGAGUGGACGUAGGCAAGGAAGUGUCGAACUACUAUAAAACCCGAGUUUGAAUUCUCUAACUCUAUCUCUUUAUUUUGUUCAUAUUGUGCUUGAACUUGUUGUGUUUGAAAAGAUUUUAAAAAACCCAAUUCACUCUCCCUUUUGGGUGUUUUUCUUAAUUAAGCAUAGCCUUUAUUUUCUCAAUUUGGAUAGACGUUUACACUGCCUUUCCUUGAAUCUGGCUCUCAGGUUCGCAACCAUGUCCUCUUCUUCCUCCUUUUCACAAACUAUACAAGGCACCACUGGCUCGACCUCUGCCUCCAGCUUGGUGCUGGCAGUUGACAGGUCAACCUCUAUGCUCGGCUCAAUGUUGGCGACAGAAGAUGAAGAUGUAAAAAAAGUUGAAGCAGAAAGAGAAGGGAAUGCGCACGACGGAUUUAGUAGCCUUUGAGCAAGCUAAAUGAGAUGACCCUUCUUCUUGGCAGGAAGACGGACGAUAGAGCUGAAAGUCGGGCGGUUUAUGGAUGGAGUUUGCCUUAACGUCCUGUCCUGUCGUUUUUUCUCCCUUUGCUCUAAGCGGUCCUGGUGUGCUUUUGAGUCUGCCACGCGAGCAACCUCAUAACAAGGGAGGUCUUCUACAUGUGAUGCUCGUCGAGCACCAAUGACCGGAGAGCCAAACGGGGAAGUACUGGGGAGGAUGAACAACUUGGGCUCCCUGACGAUCGUCUGCAGGUUCUUAUCCAUCAAAAGAACCUGGUGGUUUGGCUUGGUUGCAAAUAUUUCAAAGAGCUUGUUGAACUAGUCAAAAGAGGCCUUUUCCACCCACUCCACAAGCUGACCCCUUCUGUCCUUGUCUGCACCACACAAACAAAAACAUUAGUGUGAAACCAAGGUUUGGUUAAUCUUGAUUUUGAUUAUAACAAAACAACGUUUAGAACUAAUAAUUAUAUUUCAAAUAUGAUUAGACAAGAUGAUUUCCAAAGUGGUAAUCACAAAGACAAAUCAAGCCAAGGAGAAAUCAUGAAGAAAAAGACCACCUCAAAGAGAAGUGUUUUUCAAUACCCAAGUUUCAUAAGAUCUCUUUGUAAAAUUGUUGGUACACUAGGAUUUCCAUGCAUUACAUUCUUUACUUAUGCACUAAAAUAAUCAAAGAGUUAUUUUGUUUUAAAUAUUUUAAAAUUUGGAUGAUUUCAUGUUUUCAACUAAAACCUUGUGUUAAAUGUUUUUCAAACUCAUUUUAAAAUGUUUUAAGUUGAAAAAAUUUGGUUGUUGAGCCAAAAAUGGCUCAAUCGGUUGAAUCGGAUAAGGAACCGAUCGACCGCUAGCUCAACUGGUCUAGGUUUGGGUUGACCCCCAGCUCAACCGAUCGAGGUCUGGGUCGACCCCUAACUCAACCGGUUGAGGUCCGGGUCGACCCCCAGCUCAACAAGUUGAGGGUGUAAAAAAUUCUCUUUCUUCCAAAACGGUUGUUCAACAGAUCAAGGUUGAACCUCAGCCGGUCAAGGUCCAACGGUCACUUGCCAAGCAUUAAAUGCUAACGGCUAGUCAACCGGUCGACCCCUAGCUUGACCGGUCGAACACCCAACGGCUAGUUUGGUUUUUUUCUUCUAUAAAAAGGCUCCAAUCUUUAUUGUUUCAUAAGCUUAACCUUCCCAAACCUUUCUUGAAUAUAUUUGAGCCUUGGAAGAGUGUUUUUUAGUGCACCAUCUUUCUAAAACUUGCAUAUCCUUAGUGCACCUUUCAAUCUUAGUUUUAUUGUAUCAUUUGAGCUUAAAGUUUUUGUACUAGGAUUUUGUGAGAUCAUUUAUUUGUAAAUCUUUGAGAGGAAGUUUCUCAAGUGUGAGGUAUCACUUGAAGGGUUGUUCAAGAGUGAGAUAUCUCUUGAGAAGUGUAAAGAGUGCUUGGAGCCAAAAGUCUAAGAGAGUGAAUUGGAAUCAUAAUCUAAUUAUAGGCUGGGUUGCGCCGAACUACUAUAAAAUCUUGUGUUUGCAUUAUCUCUUCCCUACUCUUUUAAUUUAUAUGCAAUUGUCUUUAUAUUGUUGAUUAUAUAUUUGCAUAUAAUUGUCUCUUACAUUCACAUAGUUUACAGUUGAAUUAGCCCAUUUUUUCUAACAAUCAGUAAUAGGUUCACAACCAACAGCUACAAGGGAUGGACAAAGGUUACAGGAACGUAUCCUACUCGGGAUCCCUAACAAGCGUCGAUGAUGAAAUUCUCUGUCCGGACCCUCAUAUAGACCACCCCAGGGAUCGGAAACAAGGAUGUGCCCCUUCGUCCUGCCCUUAUUCGAAUUUGGAAGCCAUGUCACUAGUUGGAGAGAGGGAAUAUGAGCGGACAAGUUGAACCUCUCUUUUCGGCUCAUCUUGAUCGUAUAGACAAAAAAGACCUUCAACAAAGAGAGGUCCAGAUGGUAGAAUAUAUCUAGGACGCUGCACCCCAUCAGCACCCGGACAAUAGUUGGAUGAAGAAAGGUCGGAGGGAUCUUGGUGAAAUAGAAGAACUAUUUGAGAAGAGAAGGCAGAGGGAAGCGGAACCCUACAUUGAACUGAUCCUUGCUAAAAUAUGUAGCAUUGUGAGAUGGUUUCUCAAUGGGUAUAGGCUCGUCAUCUACCAAGAGGAUGGAGACGUCGUUCGGGAUAUGAAAACGGUCCCAAAACUCCUGUUCUGAUAGAAGAUCAAUUGGGCAUUCCGGACCAGGGCAACCAACUUUUGUACAUUUCCGACCACCUUUCUAGCCCCUACCGUCUGUGCUGGUGUAAGCGAUACCCCCUAUCACUGACAUACUGAGAAGCUCUGGGCUGCGUGGGAACUUGUGCGGCAUAACGCAUAUUGUUAGAAAACAGUCACCUGGUCCAUCCGCCGUUAGACAAUGCCUCAACUAUACAACAAGGAACUUAAGCGGAACUAAAACCCAAUUUCAAGCAGGCUGCCUAAACCAAACUUGCAGAACAAGCCCUAGCCCUAAGAAAGGUCCUCCCCAUCAUGCCAUCACAACAACUAUAGGCCAAAAUGCCUAAAUGGACCACUUAGGGCACCAACAGGAAAAAAAAAAAAAAACAAAAAACAAAAAGGUAAGUAUGAAAAGCCCUAAGUCUGAUAAGACACUACCAAACACCCCCUUCAAAAAAUAGUCACCUUCUCCCAAAAUACAAAAGCCCUAGAGAACGGACUCCAUGCUGCCCAUUUCACACCCAAAACUCAACAAGCCCCAUUACAAUCCCAAAAGCAAACAACAGAGCAGAGAAGAAUAAAUGCGAGGGAAAGCAAGCUUACUAAAGUCAAGGAGAGAUAUCCAUUAGCAAAAGAGAACCCGCUUGAAGCAAACCCAAGAAUAACAGCAAAACGUCGGGGAAUGAACGACGACCGACGUUACAACAGCAAGGAUGCAGAGACUAGGAAAAUAGUGCUCCAAAAUAGGAAUAUUCAAAAAGUAACCUAAAAGGUGUGAGAGUCUCCUAUUUAUAGGAGACCAAAACCCUAGGGAUCCCAAAAGAUAGGCCACUUGGAAGCACAUCCUGAAGCGACACGUCGCCUGACAAGUGACCUUGGUGAAUGUGACCCGUCUUUAAUUCCCCAAGUGACAUCCCAAAAAUGCCUAAGUGACUUGAAGAGACACAUAACCCGUCCAUCUCUACCUGAACAUAGGUAAACGGAUUAAAAGGGGCAUUGUGGAGGGGUUCCCCUCCACGUGUCAUUUCACAUGUCACUUUCCAAUCCCAACACCUUGGUCGGGUAGCAUAGGCAUGCAAACAUCCGAAUUAUUCCAUUCAGAACACGAUCGAUUCCAUCUGGCAACAGACCUAAAGAGGCCCUUUCCCCAUGGGGCCAGAUGACAAGGGGAGAUCGGACCCCCCAAACAGACGAAAUCGUCCAAUCAAGCCUUUAAGGCCUAAUGACAUAUGUAAUCAUUCAUGCCUGACAUGAGAAUGGCUUAUGAGACCUCUUCUAACCCUCAAGUCCAUGUCAAUUAAUUACCUGACACAACCCCAGGUCAUCAAUAGGUUGAGGGGAUAGGCGAUUGUACGGUCAAAUAUCAUGGCACGUCAACUAAUGGCACAUGCUAAUAGCCCAAAACGAUGAUGAUCACCCCACUACCUACAAAACAAUCAUCAUUACAAAGAAAGUCAAAAUGUUUAGUUAACACUACAGUAACACUCUCUUCACUAUAAAAACCCUUCAAAAACACAAAUAAGGUACACAGAGAUACGCCGACUCACUCUAUCUCACUAAAGUCGCUUGAACUAUCUUAUACUUGACUUAAGCUUCGGAGGGACGUGCUUGAACCACCUAUCCGAACAUCCUUUGUGUAGGAAUUGGGGUAGAUACUCUGAGAGGCAUGCAAAGGGAAGAAGACUGUCCAAUCUCCAUUGAGCAGGACGAAUCCGACUCCAAUUGGCUCCACAUCAACACAUAGAGCGGGCAUGCUAUGAGCUCCAUAUCAGUUGGGUAAGGAGAUGCAAUCAUAGUAUGGACUUGUUUAUCCAUUAUUACCUAUGAGGCAAUAAUAAUCAAUUUUAAUUUAAUUUAACAAUAACAAUUAAUUAUACAUUGUACUGAAUUAAUUAUACAUUGUGCUCAACUUCACUUAGAGCUGAGCAAGUGAUAAAAUAGAUAGCAUAUUGAAACCUAAAAUGGUAGUACUGUUAUGUAUCAUACUCUACUCCUCAUAAGGCCCUCUUCACUACAGAAACUAAGCCAAAAACAAAAAAAAACAAAAAAGAACUAUCACAAACAUAUGGAUUUAGUCAUCACCCUAAUGCCCUCCCUUAGUUUUCCGUUGCCAUUGUUGUUGUCGUUGUUUCCGUUGUCGUUUGCUCCCCAUCGGCAAUUUCUUCAUCACCAGCAACAACCUCCUCUUCGGUGUUCAUUUGGUUAGGGGGAGGUGGCAGCACUGUUAUCACCAUCUCUAUCAGGUCUUCAAUCCCUUCUCCCAUCCGCUUCUCGCUUUCCUCUAUAAUCUAUAUACAACAUAAAAUAUUAAACAAUUUUGCAAAUGAAAAGCAAGGAUAUUCUCUAGCUACAAUGCAAUCUUUGGUCUUAUACGGAGUACCACGGUAUGGUAAUGAGACAAGAAAGUUAUACAUCGAGAUGAUUACAAGAAUUUAAUCUUAAAAAUAAUUAUAAAUUUGAAUUUAAAACCCACAAGAAUUUAAUGGAGAACAUACAAUUUGAGAAUUCCAAAAGGUAAAACUAGGGUGCAAGAUGAACAAGGAGUAUCAACAAUUAGAAACUGAACCCGAUAUUUAAAAUAAGAAGAAAAAAAUAACAUGUUUCAAGAGUUCUGGAGAGUUAUUUGUCAUGUUAUAUUGUAACUGUUCUUUUUAUUAUUAUUAUUAAAAUGCCUGUUUUAGUCAACUCCCGCUUGAAAUCUUGGGCCUAGUCAGCUGUCACAACCCACACUUAUAUCAUUCAACUAGAUAGUGAAUUACAAAUGCAAGCACAUUUCCUUUUUAUAACUUAUAAAAGGUGAUUAGAUAGGUUCAAAGGCUAGGUACAAGAACAAGACAAAAUUUACCAAAGCUUUCCUUAUCAUUUCCAUUAAGGAACUUCUUUAGUAGGAACUGGCUGUGAAAGCUUAGUGUAGUGUGCAAUAUCCUCUACAUUUUCUUGAAAGCUUUUAACAUACUGUUCUGAUUUCAUAGCUUGAUACAUUGCCUUUAGAAAACAGAAAUUUUCAGAUCAUGAACACCUUUGGUAGAGAGAAAUGAAUUUUUAAAACAUCCCACCACUUCCUUCCAUUGAUUCGUUUAAUGAUGGAAAACAAAAGGAGAGGGUAGGUUUCUUUCUUGGUUCAAUAAACUUUUACCUCACAGGUGAAGACAUUUGGAGAGAGAACUAAUAAUUUAAGUUCAAAAAUAAAUAAGUCAAUAAAUAAAACAAGAACGACAACAACACACAACAAGCAACAAUCCAAGAAAAAUUACCGGGUCAAUUUCAACUGGUGAAGCUGGCCUGAUAUUGAUUAUAUUGAGGAUCUCAGCCUUUGCAAGGUCAUACUUUUUACAUUUUUCCAACAACUCAUUAAUGCUCUCUCUUGUUUGAUUGCAAGCAGCACUCUCAACCAGAUAGUCAUAGACCUAUAAUAUAAUCUGGACUAUCAGAAACAUGAAGAUUCACAUCAUUUAAUCCAAUAAAAACAAAAUCAGGAACCAUUUCUAACCUUAAACUCAGAUGCUGCUAUGGGGGCAAUCACCCGAGUGGGAUCCUUUGCAGCACCUCUAGACCGUAAAAAGUCAAGUACUUCAAAAUUGGUAAGUGCACCAGCAUUGGCUUUUUUUCUGCAGGACAUUUAAACUUUGUAAGAUAACCAUGCCAUCAAAUAAAUGAACCUGAAAGAUCGCUGGAGGCUGAAAUCACUAUUAUAAAAUAACCAACUAGCAAAACCAGAAAAUAUAGAACCUAAAGAAUACUGACAUCUUCAUCACUGGGUAAGACUAAGGGUGAAACCAAUGAGCUUUGAAUAUUAUUGCUCCUCAAGCAUCGACAAGCAUGUGGGAACCAGCUUCUGUAUUGAUCAACUCCUUCAUUUCAACAAAAACUUAAACAUGUGAAGUUCUAAACAAAGCAACAAGAAGUCACACUCCACAGAAGAGACAAAAUGCUAACUCAUGUUAUAUUCCUAUAUUAUUUCAUAAAAGCAACUAAAAGUUUCAAGAUCAAAUGACAGAUUUUUUAGCUGUCCCAAAAUUUCCAAAAUAUAGCCAAAAAAACAAAAAGAAAGAGAGAGAUAGAGAGAGAGAGAACAAAAAUCGAACAUUUCAUAGAUCAACAACAUAUCAACAAAAAUGUCACAGGAUUAAUUUAAUUGAAUAACAAAUCAACCACUAGAAAUAGUUAUAAGUUCAUCUAAUUUUCAUAAAGUUCCAAUAGAAUCAGUGUGAGAAUGAAAAUUGCCUAGAGCUCUUCUUCAGUUGGGAAUAGAAUAAAAUUAGGGUUAGCCAGUUUGAAUAAAAAAAUUAGAUUUUACAAAUGCAGUUGUGGAUUUUAAACCAAGUCAAACUACUGUUUAACUUGGUCUACUUACAUGUCAACCAAACUAAAUAUAUUACAUUGAUUCCCAAAAUUUGAACCUAGUACUAAAAGUUCCCAAUGUUAGAUUAAAGAAAAUGAUGAGGGGCUACAUCCAAAAAUAAACCUCACCCAAAAUUAAAAUAAAAUAAGAAAUGAUUUUCACUAAUAGUGAUGAAUUAACAUGACAGUGAAAAUCAUUAAUUAGUGAAAAUUUUGGGCUUAUUUUAAUUUUGGGUGAGGUUUAUUUUUUGAAAAUCUCUAAUUUAGUUAGGGCCUUUUUCGGCCACCCAAACCCACCCAAGGACGAAGAUAUGAGAGAGAAGUCGGGUUGGGAAGGGUGGAGAGAGGGAGAACAGAGCAGCAAAGAAAACCCCCUUCUUGUUUGGUUGCCGAGAAAUUCUAACUUUUUUCUGCAAGAGCUCCAGGUAUUUCCAUUCUUACUGCUUUGGUACAUUCGCUAUUCGAUUGAGUUUAUCUCCUGAUUUUUCGGUCGCGAUGUUGUGGAAGUUCAUAAAUAUUCAAUCCAAUUUUUAUUUAUUUUUCUUUUUCUUUUUAAUUUAGAAUGUGCUAACAAAAAUUUGGAAUUUCAACCAUCUAAAAAUGAAAAAAAAUUAUGCAAAUUAAGUGAAGAUAAGAGAAAGGUUUAGUUAGAGGAGGUUAAUAUCUUGAGAAAUUUAAGCAAUGAGUAGAGGCAAAUAGGAUUGACUACAAAACUUGAGAAUAAGAUAUCAGAGACGUGGUGGAGAUAGAAGUUUGAGCUAAACUUAAUCUCUCUUCUACUUUUCUACCUUCCAAUUCUUGUAAAGAGUGAAUUUGAACAUCUAGUGUUUGUCUUAUGCUAGAUUGUUUGCUUAGAAGAAAACAAUGUUUGUUCAUGUGUAGUGCUUUAAGAUUUCUUCAAAUUUUUAGGGUAAAAAAUUCAAAUCAGUCAAAAGAUAAUAUGAAAAUUAUGGGCAACUUUGAGAAAGCAUGAAUUUCGAGUUGCAUGUAUUUUAAUGUUAUUUAAAAUCAAUGGGUUAGGUUUAUUAACUUCUAGAACAGAUUUAUCGAAAAUGUGUACGCAUUUUUAUAUUUGAUUCCAACAAAGGAUUUGAAUUCGACCCCUUAAAUCUGAAGCUUCUCAGUCCAAAUCCAAGUUUCCAAGCCCAACCUUAAUGUCUUGUGCUAAAUAAAAACCAGAUAUGUGUCUAACAGGUAGAAGGACCAUAUCACUUAUAGCCAUUAUCAUUCAAUCAGUCUGUAGAUUGGAUUUCCUGAAUUGCAAGACAUCAAAAGAAAUCACUUGAGCCAAUUUUUCACAAGCUUAAUGAUUAAAAUUGUUGUAUAUAAGUCUACCAAUUAUCUUCUUGUGAUACACACAUAGGUUAGACAUUUUAAUACACCAAAAAAUAUACUCUUCUGAGCUUAAUGUUGGAAGGUUUUUAAGAGAGUUUUCUUUUUUCCUUUGAUAAGUAAAGAUGUAAGAUUAUAGACAUGGGCCAAAGAAAUAGUGCAUCAAGGUAUGCAGGUCUUUACGAGGGUCAGUUUUGACAAGAGUUAGAAGUCUUUUACUGCAUUUGAACUGCGUAGAGGUAAUCACUAUGAUCCUGUUUCAGCUAUAAAGAAAACUUAAUUUAUAAUAAGCUUAUGCAAGGACAUGAAGGUACACAAACUAUUUUCCUUUUAUUUUUUAAUGAACAAUUAAGUGAACCAAAGAAAGGAGUUGAUUAAAAAUAUAAAAUUUUUGUUAUACAAAUUCUGUUUUAUGUAUUCCUAUGCUAAGUUAAAUAUCUCCCAAUUUUUUUAUGUGAUGUUUAAUGUAAUAAGAAGCUGAAAAUAUAAGCAAUGUGCCUGGAAGUGAAGUGUGUAGAUCAGUAGAUUGAAUGAAAAUGACAAGGGGAAACUUUGGUGGCCAAGAAAUUAGUGGUUUGAAGAAAUAUUUUGGUUGGGUAAUGCUACAAAAAUAUGCUUCUAGGAAUAUCUUUGGUUGAGAAACUCUUAUUAUUUUCUUAGUGCUAGUUUCUUCCUCCCCAUCUAUAUCUUAUAACUUCAAUUUUUGCUGCAGCUUCUUAAAGCAAGGUAUUGAGGAACCUCUAAUAUUUGCUUUAGCCCAUGUCUAUUUGUCACUCGCAUUUUCUAACAUGAGAGUUUGGUCCUCAUCACCGUUAGGAUUGUUCUUAGGAUUGAGGAACUAGCUCCUUCUUUAAUGCUAUCUUUGCUUCUAUCAAUUCAGUUCCUUUUAUUCCUGUAAGUUUUAUUUGGAAAUCCAAAGCCUGACCAAAAGUGAAGGCCUUUGCAUGAGUUGUGGAAAAUAAGAACAUCAAUACAAAUGACUUGCUCCAACAAUGAAGACCAUACAAAGCACUUAACUCGGAAUGAUGUAUCAUGUGCAGGGGGAGUGGGGGAAUCUAUACAUCAUGUUGUUUUUUAUUUUUAUUUUAUAAGUAAACAAGAUAUGCAAUAGAAAACAUCAUGUUGUUUUUUAUAUUGCCCUGUAGCAUCAAUAUUAUGGUGUAGAUUAUUUCCAUUUGUAAGGAUUGAUUGUGUUCAACCUAGAAGGAUGGAGGAGAUAUUGAUUAUGUCCUUUAGAGGUUUUGGGGGAUUGCCUACAGUCCUCUACCCUAUAACAAGGAUGACCAUUGAUUUAUUGCUUUGUGACAAUUUGGAAUAGGAUCUUGAUUCGCGGUGUGAGGAACUAAUCAAAGAAGAGUUUGGGGAGGACUGUAAUUUUGAUGUGGAUGAUGCUGUUCAAAAGUUAGAGAAGUUAGGCAUUCUGGACCUAUCAUUUCUGUAAGUUGAUGCGAAAGGGCUAUCAUACCAAAUCUUAUUCAAAGAAAAUGAAACCAUCAUAUACAAAGUAAUUCAAUUAUAUGACUGAUUGCAUUAGUUGUUUUACUGGGACCUUGAUAAGGGACUUCAAUAUUGCUACAUACAUGAUUUGUCUGUUCCUCAAUGGAAUUAUUUUAAGAAAUUGCAUGGAGUAUGCUUAUGGAAAGUCUACGCAUUUCUACAGGCACUUAUCAUCACACAUAUACAUACUAAAGAAAAUAAUUUAUAUAUAUUUAGGGAAACAUAAAUUAUUAGGAUAAAUUUAGUUCUCAGUAAUCAGAUUGAGGGCUUUCUUAGAAAAAAUCUCAUUGAUGUUCUUGACCCCUGUUGAUAUAUUUCUCUGUUUCACAUCUUGCCUACAUCUCUCCCUUUGUAGAUAUAUGAGAGAGGGAUAGGGUUGGUUUCUGUCUAAUCUGACUAUAUGUUGAUUUCAGGACACAAUUGGAAGGUAUUACUGUGUUGGAUUGAAGCAUGCUAAUGAUAUCAUCGGAACAACCACAGAGGAGCUUGUCCUCAAGGCAAAACAGGGUUCCUUGAUUUCCUGAUGCUGUGUGGCUAAGGACCUAAGGUAAGCUUGCUCUCUCUCAUAUGCAUAUCAAGAAUAAUUCAAACUUGUGUUUUUUGUAAUUACUCUUGAAAAUUUAACACCCUAAGAGACAUCUGCAGGUGUUAAUUCUGCUAUCAAGCACCUAAGAGCAGACAAUUCAGCUUAGAGGUUUUCCAGUUCUUUUUUUUCUUGUUUUUUUCUAUUUUUUUUUUUAUUUAAUGGGUUCUUUCUAAAGGCACUUGUCUAUUAAUGUAUGUAAUUUGAUUUGACAAGUUUAUUCCCAUUCUUUCUUUUCUCUAUCUCUCUCAAAGGAAAAAAAACAACAAAAAAAACUGUGUGCAUGUAAUUUGGCAAGAUUUCCAGAUUGUGAAUCUGUCCAGGAUGCAAAAGCCUACUGUUAUGCUAAGAACAUUCAUGUUGUGUUGGAUGGAAUUUUGGGAAUGGUUUCUUUGUGGAAUCCUUUGUAAGAUGACCGUCAGCAGCGAAAUGAAGAGCCACUUUUUUGCUUCUUUGUGGUUGUUGCCUUGUUGGGAAUAUAGGACAUGAAAGCUUGGGUUUUGGCAAUGCCAUUCCGGAUGAGAUCUCCUCAUCCGGAUUCCACCUCCUUCCCAAAAUGCAUUCCAUUGAAUUGCCUUGACUGACACCGGAUACUAGACACUAGUCACACUAUGUAGCAGGACAAAUCUGUAAAGAACUACUAUCUCUGCUCAACUCCAAAUUGGAGAUUCUAACUCUAGAAGGUUGUACAAUGCAUGGUACUUCAAAGAUUGGUGCAGCAGUAUUAUAAUUACUAAAACUAACUUGUUUUUUAUUUUUUAUUUUUUCCCUUGAAUCUUGCAGGAUGUGUAAACCUGGAGCUUCUUCCAAGAGGCAUUUACAAGUGGAAACACCUUCAAACUUUGUCUUGCAAUGGCUGUUCAAAGCUAGAGAGAUUUCCAGAAAUCAAAGGCAAUAUGAGAGAGCUAAGGGUGCUUGAUUUGUGUGGAACAGCUAUAAUAGACUUACCAUCAUCAAUUACAAAUCUAAAUGGUCUUCAAACUCUCCUACUUCAAGAGUGUUUAAAGCUCCACCAAAUCCCUAAUCAUAUUUGCCACUUAUCAUCAUUGAAAGUAUUGGAGUUGCCACUUAUCGGUAUUUUGUGGAGAGGUAGUAGGUGUCAUUCUUGAAUUCACUGUUUUUAUCAGCUCCAGGAUGCUAUUGGAGGCUCUUGAAAGCAAUCGGAGGUACUUGGGUUGUUGAGGCCUUAGCCGGUCAGCAAAGGCCAGACACCAGUAGAGGUGUUCACAUUUUCUACUUUCAGCAACAAGAAUGUUACAUUAUGUUUACCUCUGAAUCACCUUAUGAUUUUUAUAUUCAAUAUUCUUGUUCUCUCUUCUUCUGAAAUGGGCUGAUAGCAGAUUACUUAACCUGAAGCAGGAACUUAUGAAGAAUCUGGUUGGAUUGGGCACACAGGAAAUAGAGGGAGUGAUGGUACUUGCAGUCACAAACAGGCCUUUUGAUCUUGAUGAGGCCAUUAUUGAAAAAGGUCGAAGCUUAGAGAAUCUUGAAUUUAAAACCUCAAAAUUCAUCCUGAUCUAUGAGAAAGCAAUCUCCUAGAAGGAUCCACUAAUUGUGUGGCAUAUUAACUGCCAAGCAGCCUUGGUUUUUCUCUCUAUGUACACAUCUACACUUAGAUGAUGACUACAAAAGCAACAAAACAAAUCCAACAACAGUGCAUCACUGUGAACUUUACAAAGAUAGAAUAGAAACCACACUCAUAAACAGGGCAGCUUAUAACCCUGUUCGUUAAACCCAUCUAACAGAAUCCAAGAAACAUUCCAUAGAUUAUAUAUGAAAAUAUAGGCACAUGCUAUAAGAGUCUACAGUCUCACUGCAGCAAGAUCAUCAGAGAGUUUAAAAGGAUGGAUAUUCAUGGAUCAAAGCCAAAAAUUCAAAAGUCGAUCAUAAGGACAGGAUGCAUAAACAGAACCCAAGUAAAAUUCAGCAAACAAAGCAUCCACAUACCAAUCAGAGAAAUGGUGUAAGAGAGUCUGAACAACUAAUUCAAAAGGGUUGCAAAGAUAGAAAUUAAACUCCCAACCACCCAUUGAAUACUCCUAAUUUGGUCUUGUUGAGACAAAAAAAAAACCCAAAUACCCGAUACCCACAUUCUUUGUAAUCUCAAACAAAAUCAAUAGCCUAUAAAUCUUUUCUUAAAAAUGAACUCAAACAAAAGAAACACCCACUCAGCUCCUCUAACAGAGCCUAGAAAUCCUAAAAUUAUCUUAGGACCUGCAACACGUGAACUCAAAAACCCUAAACAGAGCACUUACAUAUGUGAACCAGAAUAGAGAAUGAGAGUUUUAGAGAGAGAAGUACUGGGAAAUGAGACUCGACUGCUCUAUUAAAAUCCGAAAAUCCAAAAUAAAUUUGGGUUGAGGGUUACCUUCAAUCAGAUCAACAAUGUCGAAUGAAAGUGAAGCGUCUUUCCAACUGUGUAGUCUCGGAUGGAGAGCGAUUGAGGAGGAGAAUGAAGAAAUUACCGCUUUGGGGAUGAGGUGAGGGUUGAGGAUGCCAGUUGCAGAAAGCUUUGAGGGGAUGGGUGGGCUAAGGUCGGGCGUCGGGCGUCGGGCUUUGAGGGGAGGUUUCAAACAAGGAUGAAAAUUUCUGUUCUUUUGGCCGAAAUUUCGGCGAAAUUUCGUGUUUCCGAGGUCGGCGAAACGAAAGAGGGGGGCGAAAUGUCGACGGAAGAAAUAUCCGUAAAUUUCGCCAAAAAUCGCCUCCGGUUGAAAAUUUUCGGAGAAAAAUCGUUUUGUUUCGGUUUAUUUCGGCGAUUUUUCGGCAAAAAAAACAGAAAUUUUCCUACCAGUCCAGCCCGCGCACAGGAUACAAAAUCUGAUCAUGAUUCGCAGGCAAAGCUUGUGUUUUUCAGCCUGGCUCAAAAAACGUGGAUUUAGGGUUCGUGAAAUUUAAAUCCAAUGGCACAACAGCAAAGAGACCCCUAAAACAGAUCCAGAAAACACAGGGAGCAAAAGAAAAGCAAUUUUUUUGGUUUUCUUUGGGGGUUUUGCAUGGAUUUUCUCGGAAAUCAAACGAGGAUGAAUUUUCCCGGAAAUCGAAUGGGGGAUGGAUUUUCUAUGGAAUCAAACGUGGGUUGCAAAAAAAAAAAAAAAAAUGUUUAGAUUAGUACCUGCGAGGAUUGAGAGUGGCAGAGGAAAAUAGGGCCUUUUUAGGGAUUCUGUCGGAGGGCAUCUUCAGAAAAGGGCAUGCCCGGGUGAGAGAAGUGGUGUGGCCCUUUUGAUUUUCAGAUUUAGUAGAGAUAAAAAAAAAAAAAUGGAAACAAAUUGUGGCCCUGUGCAUUGAUGGUCCAAAUUGAAGCUUAAUGUAAUCAAAUGAUCAUAAUUGAACCUCAUACACACUAUUGAUAUUUACUAGAAUAAGUUUUUCAUAAAAUUUUAUAAUAAGUGUAUAAGUACAACUGACAAUAUAAUUAUAUCUAAUAUCGUGAUUCACAAAUCAUAUAUAUAAUAUAUAUAUAUAUAUAUAUAUAUAUAUAUAUAUAUAUAUAUAUCAAAUUUUUCAAUAAAAUAAUUUUAAAUUGUCUAUUAUACUUCUAAUUAUAUUAUUACAAGGUUUUUUACAUUUUCAUGAAUUUUGAUCAAUUUUUUGCUUAUCAAAAAUUUUUUCCAAAAUAUCCGUUGAUAUUUCGUCGAUAUAGCCAUAAAAUCAAAUUACCGAUAUAUCCGUAAUUACCAAUAUUUUUAUCAUUGGUUUCAAAAACUGGCUUUUUUAUUUUAAAAAAAAAAGCCAAAUAUUUUGGCUUUUUCCAUUUAGCCAAAAAAUUUUAAAAUUUAGUAAUAAGUCAUUAAAAAUUUUAAAAAACAAACAACUUAAAUUCUAAAAGCAAAUUGCUUUCAGUAAAAAACCAAAAAAAUAAACACCACCUUACUCUAGUAUAUAUUGAUUCUUUGAAUGUCUUAGUAAAAAAUUGAUAUUUUAACAAAUGAUAAAAAUAUUCUUAUUGAUUGAGGAUGUAUUCUAUGAUUAUAUUUAUUAUUUUUAUUUACCAUAUAUUUUUCUCAAAUAUUAUUCAUAUAUGAAAUUGCAUACGUUAUCUCAAGAUGAACAAAAAAAAAAGUUCAUUUUGAAAAUUGUGCAACCACUCAAAGAAUUCUUUGAGAUAAAAGACACAUUUUUCAAAUAAACAUUAACAAAUGCUAAAUUUAACACCAUAUCAAAAGUUAUAUGCUAAUUGAAGGCUAUAAAAAACAAAUAUUAUGCUAUCAAAUGAAGGUAGAUUUUAUCUAAAUGAUGCUUUAUAUAUUCUAACAAAUCUAGAAGAAAAAAUUAUUCAGCGUUAAAGAUAUUCAUAGAAAUAGGUAUUUUAUUGAAACUAUGAAUGAAGGUAAGUAGAAUAUCUUUAUAUUGUCUCUAUUACUUCUAAUUAAAAGCACAUAGUAGAAAAGUUAUUGACUUUCUCCUUUAGACAAAUAUGAGGCUGAUUGAUCAUAUGUUGUUAUAUAUUUUAUUGCAAAUACUCCAAUGUGAAUUGAUGUCCUUGCAUGACAACUAAUAAAUGAAUCUAGCAAAGUCCCGAAGUGUGUUAGACUUACUGACUUAAAGGAUAUAAUUCUCUGAAGAAGGAGAAUACAAGGAAAAAUUAACACUCUUGAAGAAUUAAAAAAAAAAAUGGUUGAUCAAUGACGAACAAUAGCCCUCAAAGAGGCACAAAUAAAACAAAUAACUCCUAAAGAGACAUAUUUAAUAAGUAGCCCACUAAAGAAGUAUAAAUUGAAUGAGUAGCCCUUGAAGAGGCAUAUGCAUCUUACAAUAAUGAGAUCUUAAUAAGUUAUUAACAACUCUUUCGCUUUUCAAGUGGCUUUUGAGCUCAUAAAAAAUGAUUAAGAUCCCGAACCUCAAAAUAUGAAGAAUCCUGACAUAAAAAUGAUUGAUUAAAAUGGAAAGAAGUUGAAAGUAGUAAAGGAAAAAAAAUCUUCUCUUCUUAUUCAUUAUGAGUUUAUACAGAGUAUUUAAAAUACAAAAGAAUUGAGAAAAAGGAAUUAAUAUUCCUAACCUAAUUAGAGAUUUGAUAGCCUAAUUCUAAACCUAAUUUUUAUCAAUUAAAGAAUUAUCUAAUGAAUAUAUAUCUAACAGCUAUAUAGAUAGUUGUAACAUAUACAACUAUACUAGUCAACUAUAUGAGAGUAAUUAUAGAAAAAAUUGAGUGUAAUUAGGUUCAUAUUCAAACUUAAAUCUUCCAACACUUCUCCUCAAGUGGGUGCAAAGAUAUUUUGCAUUCUAAGCUUGUCUAAGAUAUGAUGAAAUGCCAAUCAAUUUCCACAUUUUUUGUACAAUCAUAAUAUAUCGGGUUAUGAGCUAUAUUAAUAGCUAUCUUAUUGUCAUAAUACAAUAUCAUAGGAUCUUUUAUCUUGAUCUUAAGGCCAAUGAGCAUAAUUAUUAGCCACAAUGGCUUGCAAAUGCCUUGAGUCAUAACUCUAAACUCAACUUUUAGACUUGAUAAAGUAACAAUGGGUUAUUUCUUACUUCUCCAAGUGAUGAGAUUACAUCCUACAAACAUAUAAUAUCCAUUUGUUAACUUUCUAUCUACUACAGAUCAUGCAUAAUCUACAUCAGUGUAGGCUUCCAAUCUUAAAUCAUCAUUUCUUUGAAAUAUUACUCCUUUACCCAAGGUAGCCUUUAGAUAUCUAAUAAUUUUGAAUAUAACUUCUAAGUGGGAUUUUAGUAGAACAUGUAUAAAUUGACUGACUAUACUUAUAGCAUAAGCGAUAUUUGCCCAUACAUGUGAUAUAUAAAUCAAUUUUCCCAUCAUUCAUUGAUAGGUGCUUCGAUUUGUUGAACCUUCUUCGAUUUUCUCCCCUAGCAUUUGGUUUGCCUCAACAAGAGUCUUAAUUGGUUUACAUCCUAGCACACAUGUUUCUUGUAUAUAUAUUUGUUGCAAGAUAAAAUCUCUUAUUCAGAUCAAGCAACUUCUAUACAUAGAAAAUAUUGUAGACUUUCCAAAUCUUUAAUUUCAAUUUCAUUUAAUUUGCUAAGUAUGUUUUUAGUUUUAUAAUCUUCUAUUAAUCAUCUCUAGUGACUAUAAUAUCAUUAACAUGGACAAAAAAUAUUAGUUAUCUUCUCUUGGGGAGAAGGCUUUAUGAACAAUGUGUGUUCACCUUGAAUUUGACAAUUCCUUCUUUUUACCAUGGAUUUUGCAAACCCCUCAGACCAUGCAUAUAAGGACUAUUUGAGUCCAUAGGGAGACCUUCUAAGUCUACACACUUUGCUCAUCAAUGCUUUGUGAACAUAUAAAAGUGGGACGCCCAUGUACACUUUUUUUUCUAGAUUGCCAUGAAGGAAGACAUUUUUUAUGUCAAGUUGUCGUAAUAACCAAUCUAGAAUAGCUACUAAAGACAAUAGAAUCCUAAUGGUGUUCAUCUUGGCUGCUGAUGCAAAUGUAUCUUAGUAGUCUACUUCAAAUGUUUGAUUGUACCCUUUAGCGACUAACCUUGCCUUAUACCAUUUAAUGGUCCCAUCAUCUUUGGAUUUAAUGGUGUGGAUCCAUUUACAUCCAAUUAUUUUCUUCUCCUUGGAUAAGUGUACGAUUCCCCAUGUUUUUAUUUAUUUAUUUAUUUUAGAAGGUUCUCAUCUCCUUUUUCACAGCCUCCUUCCACCGUUUCAUGUUCAGUGUUUCAUAAACUAUUGUAGAAAUUUCAUGGAAUGAUAUUUUGAAAGUGAAAGCACGAUCUUGUGGGAAUAGUCUCUCAAAUGACACAAAGUGAGAGAUUGGAUGUUGAGUGCAUGAUCGAGUUUCCUUCCUAAGAGUAAUAAGCAAAUCCAAAUCAUUGUUAGCAUAAACAUCAUGAUUAACAUUUUCAUUACUUGAUAUCAAGUCGAAAUUUGGGACUUAUGGAAUGAUAAAAAGUUUUUUUUUCCUAGAGUACACCUUCAUAGUAGGCAUAUUGGACCUCAAAUUCUCUAUUUCUAUAAGAAUCAGUGAUGUUUUUACAUUUCUAAAUUUUUAGCAAAUGUUAUUUCUAGUGAAGGGUUUAAUAAAAGUAUGGUUUGAGACUCUUUUGUACUGAAAUUGUUUAAGGACACUAGAAGUACUUGGUUUUGAUUAAGAAAACUUGAAAUAGUUUGGUUUUGAGCAACAUUCAAAUUACUACUUCCUUUGUUCCCAUUGUCAUAAAAAAACCUAUCUAGGACACAAGUGAGGUUUGAAAUUUAACUUAUGCUUGUCUAGUUGGUGGAUGAUAACACUUUGCUUCUUUUUUUUUGGGACCUAGAAAUAUACAUUAAAAAAAAACCUUAGAAUCGAAUUUACUUCUCAAAUGGUUGUGAACAAGGAUGAAAAUAUUGAUUUUGACAAAAAUAUAUUGAUAACUUGAUUUUACAAAUAUAUCAAGAUAUAUCGAAAAAUAUUGAUGGAUAUUUUGACACAAAAUAUCAAUAAAACUAAAAUUAAUUAAAACUCAUUAAAAUAUUAAAAAAACCUCUUAAAAAUUAUAUAUAUUAACACAAAUAUCAAUAAAGAAGUGGUUAUAUUUGUCAAAAUCAUCAUGAUAAAGUGUCAUGUGAAAAAAAUAAAUUUGUUAAUUGUUAAUAAAUGAGUGUUGGAUAAUACUACGCUAAAUAACUUUGAACAGUUAUGAGAUUUUCAUUGUAUCGAAAUUUAAUAUAAAUGUAAUUAUAUUCCUCAAAAUUAUCCUAAUGAAUUUUUGUUUUAAAAAAAUUAAUAAAUCUUCAUAAAGUUGCUCUAAAUUCUUAAUUGAAUAAGUCUUUUGUCCAAUCCUAUGAAAAUUACUUAUCUAACCCCUCCUUUCUUUACUUAACUUCAAAAUUUUAUAAGUUAAUUUUCUCCAACAUCUUUAUAAAUCCUUUUAUUAUUUGAAUAUUAUAAUAUAUUUUUUUUAAUUUCAAAAUUUAAACUAAAAAUAUAUUGAAUAUGUCAUUAACUACCAUUACUAGCAUUUGAAACUCCGAAUUUGUAUUAACUUUAGGUGGUGUUUGUUUUUUUACUUAACUCCAAAUAGAACUUUAAUGUUUAAUAGUAUUAAGUAUUAAAUUGUUUGUUUUUGUAAUAUUUUAUUUUUAUUAAGUAUUAAAAAAUAAAGAAAAAUCAACAUAUUGUUUUUUUUCCAUUUAGUAAAAAGUUUAUAAUAAAUUAAGAAAAAGUAGAAAAACAAAUAAUUUAAAAUUUAAAAACAAAUUAUUUUCAGUAAAAAGUUAAAAAAAAUAAACACUCUUUUUAAGUGUUUUGAAUUAUAAAUUUACCUAAUUAAUCCUUUUUUUUCUUUACCUUUAAUAAGGUAUGUUUUCAAUUUAAAUUUCAAAAUAAUAAAUAAAUUUAUCAUAAUAUUUAAAUAAUAAAAAAAUUAUUAGGAUGGUAGAAAAAUUAACUUAUAAAAUUUUGAAAUUAGAAGAAAAAUGACUCACCAAAAUACGAAAGUCAAAAUCUUUCUGAAAAUAAAUUCCUAUUUAAAGAGUGCAUAACCUUAUGAAUAAGCUCAUAUUAAGUCAUCAAAUUUUGAAUUCACCUCAAGAUUCUUCUUGAAAGGUAAGGGGUAUGAAUAAAAACCAUUAUAUAUAUAUAUAGUAAAGGAAAGAAUUCAAUAUAAAAUAGAGAACCAUCAUUAUUAUCUUAAAAUUCUAAUUCGAAUUUUAUUCUUUGUUAAAUUACUUUUAUCAUAUUUUAAAUUUAAAUUAAAUAAAAUUUAUAAGAAUGUUCAAAAUUAAGAAAUCCCUACAACUUUAUAACUUUUGGAAAUUAAUAACCUUUAUUUCUAAUCCAUCAUUAUGCUAUUGAAAUUUGUUAUAAAUAAGAGAGGAAAAAACAAAAAUUAUUUCUAAAAGCAAAGAAAAAAAAACAUGUAAAGUGAAAAAAAAAAAAGGAGCAAUAGGAGUUUGACAGGAGGAGGGGGGAGAAUAUGGAAGAAAGAAGUGAAAAAGGUCAAAGAUAGGGGGCAGAGUCAGAGGAGUAGGGUGUGUUGGAAAGUGAGAAGUAGGGGGAGCCUGGAGGGAGAACACAUACAAUGUACCACAUUAAAGCAGAUGAUGCCCAAUUCUGAUUCGUAUCUCUAUCUACUUCCACAUAUAUUCUCUCUAUACAAAGCACCCAUCAUUCAUCAUCAUCAUCAUCAUCAUCAUCAUCUCUCCCUCUCCCUCUCUCCCUCUCUCCCUCCCUCUGACCACCCACCUUUGAAGAAAAAAAAAAAGACUCCAUUCUCUGAACCAGGACACUCCCUCAUUUCCUCAAUCACCAGCAUUCUUGGAUUUUGAGAGAAUCUUUGAAUCUCUCUCAUUUUCCAAUUCAAUCUCCUCUCCUCUCCUCUCUCUCUCUCUCUCUCUCUCUCUCUCUCUCUCUCUCUCUCCCUUUCUCUCUUCCUCCACUUCAUCAGCUUAUGUGUGUUGCUCUCCUCCGCCCAUUCAGCCCAUUUGCCACCCAUUAAGGGGUUCAUCUUUAUUUUUAUUUAAAAAAAAAAUUCAUUGUCAUUUUUGAGUAAUAUAAUUAAAUUUUGAUUUUUACAUCUAAAAUGGGUAAAAGAAAAAGUGAUGAAUAUAGCCUCUAUGCCUCUAUGCUAUUAAAGUAGAAAAUCUAAUCACAUCUCUUUGAUUAGUUGACUAAAAAAGAGGAAGUUGAUUUAUACCUAAAUUUAAUUUGUUUAGAAAAUAUGUUGGUCAAAAAGACAAAAAUAACUUUAAUAAGAUUUUUUUUUGUCUCUGCCAUAUGUUAAAUUUCAUUUCUUUUUUAGUAUGUGUGGAAGACAAAUUCAAAAUUAUGAUGGUGGACUAGAAUUAGAAGAGUAGUGGAAAUCAUAUCAACUAGGACUUCUUUUAUUGGGAUUUCGCUUCUUUUAUUCUCUUAUUCACAUGCUUUCUUUCUACUUCUAUUAAACUUGUCACGUUUAAUUCCAUACCUAAUUCAUCUAUUGGACCCUUUUUUUUAAUAAUUAUUUAAAAAUAAUAAUUAUACAACAUAUAUAAUUAAUAAAAGUAAAGUAUUAGAUAUAAAAUUAUUUUUAAAACAUUAAAAACAUUUUGGGUUCCAAACAUACCCUUAUUCUGUAAAACAUCAAAAAAUAAUUUUUUAAAACCAUUCUCAAAGAUUAUUUUUUGGAAUAAUUUUUUAAAAUAAUUACUAUAUAAGACUAUAAGAUAAUGAAAAAAAAAAGAAAUAAUUUUAAUAUUUAUAAAAAUGAUUUUUUUUAUUUUUAAUAUGUAUAUUAUUGGUAUGCAAGAGAUAAGAACGACCCUUUUAUUUUAUUUAAGAGCUCAAUAAAAUAACUUAUUUUUAUCUUAAUAAAUUAAUAAUAAUUUAAAGAGCAUAAAAAUGGAUAAAUAAUAGAAGUUUAGCAUAUCUUCCUCCAAAACGUAGCGUUUUGGCCGAAUAUAUGGGGAUCUGUAGGUGUGAUACUGUCUGAUUCGGACCACAGUACGAAACCUGAUUUCCAACAACAUUCAAAGACCCACAGAAAUAAUAAUUAAAAUAAAUUAAAAGGAAAAUAGAAAAAAAACAAAAAACCACGUUUUCACUCGUACUAUUACUUUCCUUCAAAGGCAAGUUCACCGCAUCAUCAUGAGAUUAAGACCAGGAAUGGACGGCGAGGAUCAAAUCACGCUCAUCGACCUCUAUAAAUAGGCAGUCCACCCAGCCAUAUCACACUCCGUCUCUGAAAAACCACCCCAAGCCCAACAACCACACCUCUGAUACUGGACGGUAGCCGGUGGCGAGAGAAAUGGUCAGAGGUCCGACGAGACAGACAGUGAGAGAAAGCAAAGGCAUUACUAUUCUACGAUGGUACGGUUCUUCAGUGUGGGGUCCGUCGUGGUGCUGGCGGUUCUAGCCGCGUCGCUGGUGGUCCUGCCGUUGAUGCUGCCGCCGCUGCCUCCCCCGCCGCUGAUGCUUCUCUUCUUCCCCGUGGGCAUUAUGGCCGCCCUCAUGUUGUUGGCAUUCUCGCCGACGGACGCCGCCGGACACGUGGCAGUUUGGGCGGUGUAGGUGGAGGAAGCUGGUUGGGUGGCUCCGAUUGUGGUUACAAUACUUUGCCUUGUUUUUUUUAACAAAGUUCAGAAUCAGUGGAUAAUGAUUUUGUCUCAGUGCUGACGUCAUUAUUGUUGUUCAUCUUUUGAAAAUAUAUUAGCUGAAAGCAGAUUCAGAUUCAGAGUGUUUUGUUUUUGUUUUUGUGUUUUCAAAAUUAGAAAGUGAUUUAGAAAAACAAAGCUUAAAACAGCUGUGUAUGAUGAUCCAUGAAUGAAUGAAAGAAAGAAAGUAAGAAAGGAUGAUUCAGAAUUUAAAUGGAAUGUGAUUUGUGAAAGGAUGGAAGUUUGGUUGCUGUUUUGAAAACAAAAAACAUUAAAAACAUGUUUGAGAAAUGGGAUGUAUUUUUAUUUUUUUGUAUUUCUUGUGUUCUUAAAAACCAUUUGAGAAAUAUUUUCAUUAUUUUUUUAUUGUUCACGAAACUGUAGGUGAUUUUUUACUAUUUAAGUAACUCUUUUUUUAAAUAAAAAAUUAUAAUUAAUUUAAAAUUUUUAAAAGAAAUCAUUUUAUUGAUUUAAAUGAAUUAUACAUAUAAAAAUUAUUUAUAUAUUUAUAAUAUCAAAUUAACUAAAAAAAAUAUUUCAUUAAUUAAAAAAACAGCUUUUAAGUAUAUUUUUUAUUUUAUUUAUUUAAAAAAAAUUAUUAAUUCUAUCAAAUGCAUUUUUUUUUUGUUUUUGAGAACAAAAGUUGUUUUCUGGAAUUUAGGUUUUAAACAUAAUUUAAAAAAAAAAUCAAAAACUAUCCUUAAAAAAUGUUAUCAAAAACUGUUUUUUAAAGAAUAGCUUUUAAAAACAGUAAACAAAUAGGCCUAUUUAUGAUUUUGAGAUGAUUUGAAAACAUACUAUUUUCUCGUGCAUCAGCUUAGGAAGCAGUGCAGAGAGGCAGUGAAAUAGGAUUUUUGAAGUUAAAAAAUUGGGCGGUGAGAACUUGAGAGCAACAAUAAAGUAGGAAAUAGAAUGGAUUUCUCGUUUGUUCCAAAGAUCCAAACAGAUCUUUAAAGGUUGAUACUCUGCUUCACAUUUAAAAAUGGUCUUUUCUUCUUAAAAACAGAUCUUCUAUUUUUAUGACUCAUUGUAAAAAGGGGAAUCUCUAAUAAAAAUUCGUUCAACUUUCUUUUUACAUUCUAUUUUCUUUUCCUUCUUCUUCUUCUUCUUCUUCUUUUACUUUAUUAUUUUACAACAUUAUUAUUUUACAACAAACAAUAUGUUCUCUUUCUUAUUUAUUUUGAAUUAAUUGGUUAAAAGAUAUUAAAUAAUCCCCUAUUUAUGAAUUUAAUAUUUUUCAUGUUUUUUUCUUAAAGAAUAAUCUAUUUUUGAUAUAAAUGUCCUUAAUUAUUUUAAAUAUUUAUACAUAAGUUUUAAAAGAAAUGGUUAUUUUUAUAAGAAAAAAAUAAGAGCAUUUUUGUCAAAAUGUGGUAAAAAAAUGAUGAAUGAUUAAAUUUUCAAAAUGGAGUUUUCAAUAACUCUUCUAAUCAAAUAAUCUAUUUAUUUUUCCAUUGCUUAGAACUAAAAUCUUGAAAUAUGAUUUUCUUUGAGAAAAAUUUAAGGAAAACAAAUAAAGAGAAAAAAAUAAAUUAGAAGCUCCUCAUUUUUUUUCUAGAAUCAUUUGUUUUUCAUUUAAAAUCUUUAGAACUUAAACAUUGAUUGAAUUAAUACUAGAAAAUCAUAAAACUAAAAAUCAAUCUAAUAAGAGUACAAUUAAAUGUGAUUAUUGGAAAUGUUUUUAGUCUAAACAAUGUUUUUUUUAAAAAAAAAAAAAACUAGUGUUUGGUAAAAUUUAGGAAACACUUAUGAGUUUGAUAGUGAUUUUAGGAAGUAUUUUUAGAUUUUCUAAAACUUGAAAAUUUUUAUCUUGCAAGUAUAAAAAAAGUUAAGAAAUACUUCCUAGAAUCACUACCAAACACACGAACAUGUUUGGUAGUAAUUUAAGAAAAUGUUUUUAACAUUUCUAACACUUGAAUAAUACAAAUUUUAAAGUGUUAAAAAGUUUGGAAACACUUCUUAAAAUCAUUACCAAACUGGUUAUAAAUAGUGUUGAAAAAUCAUUUGUAAUAUUUUAUAGAGAAACAUAAUAUGUGAUUCUUCCAAAAAUACUUUAAAAAAAACAUUUUCAUUAAAAACUCUUCAAAAGAAAAACGCUAUUAAACACACUCUAAAUACCAUAAAGUCGUACUAUAAAAGCGAUUUUGAAUGAUUUUAUUAGCUUCUCUUUACAAUGUAAUUAAAACAAAAAAGUAACUUUACUAUAAAAAUUUAUGAGUUAAAUCUCAUCUAAAAUGACUUCAUUGUUUUUACUUUGUAUAUAAUUGCAUUUUUAUGAUUUUUUUUUCAUUCGAUAAAUGAAUUUCAAAUUAAAGGAAAUUUAAUAUAUUGUUAAUGAGUUUAGUAAUUUUUAAAAAUAUCUUAAAAUAAAAUAAAAAAAAACCAAAUCAAUGUAACAAAAUAAUAUAAGAAAAAACCUGGUAUAAAACAAAUUAUCUUUACUAUUUUUCCUUUGCAUAUAAACAAAUAAAUUCUAAAUCAAAAGAGACCAAUAAAUCAAGGAAGACAUAAAGGUUGUUUGGUAAAAUCUAAUAUUUAUUAUUUAAUUACUUAAUUUUACCUUAAUUUAAAUUAUUAUUAAGUUAUUUACUUAAAACCUAUUAUUUGGUUUUUACUUUAAAUAUUAAAGGUCUUUAUUAACUUAAAAUUUAUUAUAAAUCAUCGAAUUGACAUAAUCACUCUUAUGAAUCUUAACUAUUAUUUACACUGAUUAAUUUUAACUAAUAUCUCAUGCUAUUAAUUUUAAACAAUGAAUUAGUUUGUUAAAUAUUUAUAUUUAAAAUAUUACAAAUACAUAAAAUAAUCAAAAGAUAUUUACUAUAAAAUUCAAUCAUGGAUGUAGAGUUAUACUCAUAAAAUAGACACUCACUACAUAUGGGUAAAUGAGAUAAAAUAAAUUUGACAUUAAAAAUAAGUUAAUUAUUUUGACUUAAUAUUUAAAAGUUAUUAUUAACAAUAUUAAGUUAUUUUACUAGAUAUGUUUAAUCUACUUAAUGAUUUAAAUUAAAUUAUUAAAUCAAUAAAUUAACUUAGCAAACAACCUAUUAGAGUCCAUUUGAGAGUACUUUAAAAAAAAAUGCUUAUAGUUUAAAAAGAACUUUUGAAGAAAAAUUAGGUGUUUUGACAAAAUUUGGAAAACUCUUUUUAAAAAAUUGAAAGAAUCACUUAUAGUUUUUCAUAGAUAAACAUUUGAUAAAUGAUUAUUUUAAAAAUAAUUUUAGAGAAAAUAAUUCAACUAAAAGAACUUCAAAUAUAAAUACUCCUAAAUAUGCUCUUAAUGUUUUGUUUUUAUUUUUAUUUUUAAUUUUUUUUAUUUCUAACGAAUCUAUUAAUUUUUAAUAGUAAUUUGAAAUUUAAGUUACUGAUUCAAUUAAUAGCGUACUAAGUAAAAUUGAUUCAAAAUACUUUUUCUAUAAUUGAGCAGUAUAUAUGUACAUAGAAUAAAAAAGCUUGAGUAUAUAUAUUUUUAAAAGAUUUCACUUAGUUUUAAAUUCAUUUUAAAUAAAAUAUUUUAACCAUUCUUAUUUUAAAAGAUUAUUCAUUAUAUAGAGAAUUCAAGUAUGAAUUUACAAAUGUAAAUAUCCAUAUUUUAUAAUAUCUAAUAAAAUAAUAUAUUUUUUUAAUAAAAAUAUUAUUAAUGAUUUUAUGAUAAUAUUAGUAUUCAUACUUUACUAAAAAAAUAUUUAUUUUUAAUUAUGAAACCAUUUUUUUUUAUUUGUAAUAAGACUUGAAUUGAAUUUAAUGGAUAUUAACAUAAAUUGAAAGUAAAAAUAAAAAUAAAAAUAAAAAUAAAUUAUUAAAAUAUAUUUACUUAAAUGAGUUUUUUUAUUUUUUUAAGAAAUAUUUUUUAAAAUAACUUUUCAAAUACUCUUAUUUUAGAAAAUACAAGAAAACUAUUUUUGUUUGUUAUUUAAUUUGAAAGUAAUUUUUAAAAAUAAAUUUUAGAAAACAUGCCAAACUAACAUGUACUUUCCUUGCCUUUUCACUUUGAACUAAGCAUAACAAAUCAUGGAAAAGAAAUAUGAUAUCAAUGAUAUCAUGUCAAGUUAAAAAUUGACACAAAAACUUGAAUGAUUAGUUAGUGAGUAAAUGAUAUAUCAAAUUUAUUUGAAUUAUACUCUAACCAAAGUAUCUCAGCUGAAUAUUUAUGAUUUUAGGCAAUAUUUGGUUUAAAAAUUAAGUUGGAGAAAAAUAAAUUACUUCAAAAUAGGAGAGCCAUUGCUAGGUUGCAGGGUGGGAAAUCCAUCCAUUACAUACUUGAGCCUACCUUUGAAAGCGUCGUAACAAAACUGCAAGGGAUUUAAGAUGUGAUAGCAUAGAGAUUUCAAAGAAGACUAGUCAUGCGUACAAAGGUAACACCUCACAAAAGAAGAGAAAUUUACUUCGAUCAAAAGUAUGUGAUUAAGCCUUCUAAUUUAUUUAAUGUCUCCAUUUAUCAUUACAAGAAGGUGAUCUUAAUAUUAGAGUAGAUCCAAAGAGAUAUCGUUUGGAGUGAGGGAGCAUUUGUAAAAAAGACCUUAUUGGGUAAAUUGGCUCAUUACAGACUUGGACAAAAAGAAUGAAAGUCUUGACAUUAAAAAUUUAUUUACUCCAAAUAAGGCUUUCAUUGACAAAUAGAGUUAAAAUUCACAAUUAAGAGAGUCACCUUGGGAAUGGGCCAUGAUGGAAAAGUUUGAGGAAGAAGAGGGAAGAUAAUGCUUGAGGGGUGUGAGGGAAGGUUUUGGAGUGGGGGUGUGCAAAGUAAUUAGAAAUGAUGAGGGUUUUUAAAAGUAUAUCUCGUUUCAUAGUUGGUAAUAGAAGAAUAGUUAAAGUUUGAAACGAUAGAAGACAUGGUGACAUCUUUAGAAAAGUUUUUCCCUUUUCUCUAUAGCCAUCAUUAAAGACUCUAAGGUAGUAGAGGUGUGGAAGCAAGUAGGAGAGGGGUUAGUAUGUAGUGUGGUGGCCUAUCUUUGAAAGAGCAUUUCUUGACUUUAUUUAUUAUAGUCAUCGCUAAAAACUCUUGGGUGGUAGAGACAUGGGAACAAGUAAGGGAGGUGGAUUAAUGGAGUUCCCACUUCUCCAAAGAGUUCUAUGAUUGGGAAUUUGAAAGAGUAGAGACCUUUUUUAGAAAAUUGCAAACAAGCUCAAUUACAAGAGACGAGUGUGAUAAAAUAGAUUGGAAGAAAUCCAAUUAUGACAAGUUAUCUAUCAAAUCUUUUUACUUAUCCUUAGCCUGUGGAAUACGACAAUUAACCAUUUUCCCACAAGCACAGUUUGAAACUCUCAAACUUGCUUAAGAUUAAGUUUUUCAUUAGAAUAUUCAUCUCGACUUAAAUAUUAGAUUACAGGGCUCUACAAUCUCAUCUUCAUACAUUUUAGAAGAUUAAAGAAAACUACCAAAAAAAAAAAAAAAAAAAACCAACUAAAAACAACUACAAAAAACCCCAAUAAAAAACAACCGCAAAAAAAUCCUAACCAAAAUUCCACCACAAAAAACUUCAAUGAAAGUUCCGAUAGAAAAUAAUUGCGAAAAACCUCCAAUGAAAGACAAUUACAAAAAACUCCAACUAAAAAAAAUCAUAAAAAACCCUAACAAAAAAAAAAAACAUUGUUGAAGUUUAAAUAAAAUUUUAAAAAAACCAACAAAAAACAACCUCAAAAAAUCUCAACAAAAAACAACUUAAAAAAUCUCAACAGAGAAGCCAUUGCAAAAAACAACCACAAAACCCCUAACAUAAAGAGAAAUUAAGAUGAAUGAUAUUAAAAAAGAAAUAAGGAUGUGAGAGAGUUGUAGUUGAUUUUUAUUCAUUGAUCUUCAUUAUAGGUUUGGAAGUUCACUAGAAGAAAAGAGAGCGUGUAUGUAUGAAAAAUGAGAGGAAAAUGAUUCGAGCAUGAGAGGGAAAUGACAUUUUUGAGGAAACAAAAAAGGGUAAUAAUGUCCAAAAUGGAGACUAUUCUUCCAAUUUUAAAAAUAUUUGAAGUUUUUUAACCGAAUAUCUCUAAUUUUUAAUAUAUUAUAAUAUCAGAAUAUUAAAAUAUAAAACACCCAAAAUUUGGAUAAAGUAAAUUAUAAAAUUUUAUUUUAUUGUUGAAUAUAUCUUUUUAAAUAUGAUUAUGCCAUUUAAUAAAAUUAGAAAUAUUAAUAUAUUCAUAUGUUAUCAAAAUCCUUUAAUAUGUCAAUACCAAUGAUAAAAAAGAUGAAAUAUCUUUCAGUUUUUUAAUAUUAUAAUAUUGAAGUAAAACUUAAACCAAUGAUCUAAUUGAAACAGAGGAUUCAGAUGUAUUUUGCAAGUCCAAAAGUAAAAUACAGAGAAGGAAGAAAGAAACAAGAAGAAAGUAAUAGGCUUGUAGCAGCAAUGACAGUGAAAGAGUGGUACACUUUUAUUAAACUUCAAAUCCAAGUCAAAGGAAUAAGUCCACAAGUACAGCAAACAAUAAGAUAACAAGAAAGAGGAAUGAUAUACACAAGCUGCAUACAUUCUUAUUCCCAAAAGAAAUUUUGGUUACCUCAUCAGCUGUUGAGUCCAGAGUUUGUAGUUGUGGGCUGUGGGCAAAUAUUUACAAGCAUACUGAGAAUUCAAGGGCUGCAUGCAAUGUUCAGCAUGGACAAAUUAUUCAACUGUGUGUAAUAUAAAACAAGAUAUAGGCUUCAACACAACAGAGGCAAUAACAUUUGAGCAGCCCAUUUUUCUGCCUUUUUUGAUUCAGCAGUGCAUGGGUUUUUGAGGAAGUUUGUCUUCAGUCCACUUCUUCAACAGCUCUAGCGCAGCUCAGGGCUGACCAGCAUCAUGGACCUGUUUAUUUUUACAUACAAACCAAACCACCAUGUCAGCACUAGCAAUCAUCUACUUCCUUCAUAAGUCUACUGCUAUGUGAGAAAGAGCUGGUUUGAGAGAGAGACCUUGAGGAACAGGUCUCUUUCAAGUGUAUGCAGCAAUGCCUUGGCCACCUCUAUACUUUCUGACAUUUUUAUUUUCCAGCUGAUUUCAAACACAAAAAGAAGAAAAGGAAGAGUGAAAUCUUAGAUGAGUGAUGCUGAAUGCUAAACUUGUAUAAGGGUCUAUUUGGCAGCAGAGAUGAGAAUGCUCUUAUUUUUUUUUUCUGAGAAUGGAAGAAAUGAAAAUUGAUUAAAAACAUGUUGAAAACAUGAAACAUUUCCAAAAAAAAAAGAAAAAAAAACAUGUUGAUAACUCAAAGUAACAUAUUCAUGCUUGCCAAUCUUCAAUCUUUUUGAUCACUUUUAUAAUUGCAGAAAAGAAAGGCCUAAUAAGCAUUCACCACCUUCAUCAUUCUUUUCUUCUUACCUGAGAGAAGAAAUUCUAAAAAUGAAGCACUAAAUUUAAAAAAUGAGGCAGUAACUUAUCCGGCUUACCCAAAAAGUGUUUAGAAAACAGAUAAUCAUGAAUUGUUGAGGUCAAGAACAUAUCGACAUGCAAAUAUGUUUCUUGAUUUUUGGAAAUUUUGGGUUUCACCUGCAUCUUCUUUUUAUUCUUUCUUUCCUAAAUGUAGAGAAGAAACUUCCACUCUUAAUCUGAAAAUGAACUCAGUAUUGGGGCAAUGAAAACAGGAGCUGCACAUUGUGAAUGGGCAAGGCUUACCUUACUGAAAAAAGGGGAAGAGAUAUCAUUGCCUUCAUUUCAAGCAGCCCAUAUGAUGAAUAUCUAAUGGCAGGCAAUGGAUGUGGGAUGUCUUGAUCUGAAAUAAAGAAGAACAGGUCAGUUAAGCAUGUGAAAAGAGUCUAAACACAGUUUUAGCUUUAUGUUUGUUCUAUUUAUUAAGAACAUAAAAUCAUAAGCAAAUUUCAAUAGAACAGUAGAACUAACCAUGCUUGUGUGGAACUGAGGCCAAUGAGUUAAAGAGAAAAUGCCAAUUAGUAACAGCUGCUAAAGCCAUCUAUUCAUGAGAGGACAAACUGGAACUGGGAUUGAGUUCCAAAUAGCCAUACCACACCUGAUUGAGUUUCCUUUUUUUUUUUUUUCAUGAAGAAAACCUGGAAUUCAUCUGGAACAUUGUUAUCAGUCGCUUAUCUCAAGUCUUGGAAGUGUUUCAGGAAGCCCUUUGGACUGGAGCUUAGGGUACCUAUAGAUGGAUAUACUUUCAAGAGAAGGGAGGUUUUUGAAAGCCAGAGAGGCCAUGGAAUCCAGUUUACUAAUCAAAAGUUUGCUUAAGAGUUGUAGGAAAAAGACAGCCAUCAUCUGAUAGAGAAGCCAGACCUGGACAUAGGCUAGAAAUAUACAAUGAUGAAAGAGAAGUAAGUGAGCCUGUCCUGGUUAGCACACAAUCUCUGAUAGAAAGUGCUGCAGGGUUGGAGGCCAAACUGCAGAGUCCUCUUCUUUUCCUAGUUAGCACAAUUUUCUAAUUUCAAAUAUUUAAGAUUGCAAGGCUGCCCUUGUUCCUCCAAGGGUGCAAGUCCAUGGCACUGCCAGAUCCCUAUACAUUCAAGACCACCGAGGAGGCAUUCUAAUCAAAACCCGCUCUGCUACAAAGAUGUCACCUCCCCACACGCUCUUACCACUGGUUUUUAAAAUAGGAAAUUUCUUGAUUUUAAGCAUUGAGAGUGUUCCGGGCAACAGCCCUUUCCUUUAGCAAACAUGGCCAGAGAAUUUCAAUGGUAUCAAAAGUAGAAACUAGAAUUUCAAUGGUAACAAAGUACAAACUUGUAUUUCAAUACUGUCAAAAGUAGAAAAUUGUAUCAAGUUCAUAACAAUUGUCUUUUAUGAAUGAGAUGGACUUUGCUUCCAUUUUUGUGAUAUAUAUGGAAAUAAGAUUCAAUGAGUUUAUUCAUUUGUGAAAAGCAGUCUCUAUGUAGGGAUGUGAACUAUCUUGGACUGAUUUCUAUAUUUGGAAGCGUGGCCAUCAACAGCCCUUCCUUUGGCAAAAUACACCCAAGUUUAGAUGGCUCCUAGUACUCCAAGAGGGUUAAGGCUGUGGAGCCACAUGGAUGGAAAUCCUAAUUCAGUGGUCUAUUAAUUGAUGAAAUCUAUGAAUAGAUUGUAAUGACACCAGCCAUGUGGAUAUUGUUCUCUUUGGCCCUUUGGACCUUUGGGUGACUCAAUAGAGGGGUACCUCACAAUUUAUAAUGUCCUGCUUACAACCAUGUAGAUAUUGUCUGCUUUGUACCCAAGGGGUCUUCUUGGCUUUAAAACAUGUCUACAUUGUUAAGAGAAACUUAUACAUAGUGCCAACUGUCAAGAAGUUUUUCUCUUAUCUGAUGUGGGAUAUCUUAUAGAUUAUAUUUAGAGGAAGCACACACAUACUCUGUAACAGUGAUGAAAUUUUGAAGAGAGGAGAGUUUAUGCAUGCCCACUUGGACAGGGCUCGAUAUUCCUGCAGUCCAUGAUGCAAGGUGAUACUAGGUUGAAGCAACAACCCCAUUUGAACUAACCAAAUCUAUGACUUGAAUUAAAAUUUGCAAAAACGAAAAAGCCACUUCUUUAGGUUGCUGGCCUUACUAAAAACAUGUUUUGGAUAAAAAGAAAGAUGGCUAAACACUACAACCAACUUCCAAGAACCUUUGGAACCAGAGCAAGCAAAUGAUCUCGACAUAUCGUAUUAUAACCUUAUCAUUAAUAAACAUCAAACACUGCAUAAUGCCAUGCCAGUUUCAAAGAUUCAUAAAUGUAAUGCACAUUUAUAAAGAACCAUAUUUAAGGCAUUAUAUAUGCUUGUGUGCUUAAAAAUGACAAACUCUAUAGGGAAACUUUAAAAAUAAAAGAAGUCUUACCAGAGUCAGCCAUGAAAUAGCAUUUCUGGGCUGAAGUGACCACAGUCCACAAUACUGCAAAAGAUGAUAGAAUUCCCAAGGAUCUUUAAUCUUGAAAAUAAUGUAUCCUUGUAAUGGAGGAUUAUGGACAAGAGCAACAUGGAAAACAAAAAAUUUAAGAAGAAAUACCAAGCCAUGAUUGCAGCAAGAAAUGAAGAACAUACCAGCAAGUGAAUAGGCAGCAGUUAAUGAUUAGGAAGUUUUGCAUCUAAUAAUAUUCACCAUUUCUUUUUUUUUUUCCUUCCUACAAAUUGAGAAGAAAUUUCUAUUAUUAUCUAAAAGAGGAAUCGAUAUUGGAUCAAUGAAAUUGGAAGCCAGGUAUCCUAAAGAGGCAGACAUACCCAUUUGUUUGCAUUCAUUUCUUUACUAGGGAAAGAAGAAUCCUUAGGAAGAACAAUCCAUCAUAUUGCAUAUAAGAAGAAUUGGAAACACAUAAGAAUAGACCAAUUUGGAGGCCAUGAUGCUGAUAAAGGUGGAAUAGAAUGUUAUCGAGGUUUCCUUCAUCUGAAACAUAUAAGUAAUAUACCAAUUAGGCGGGGCAAGAGGCUGCUGGAAGUAUGUGUUAUUUAUAGAAAGACAAAAUUACAUUAGAAUUAAUAGAAAGGUAGAAGUAACUAUGCUCACCCAGAACUGAGGCCGAGAACAAAAAGGGGAAUCAGAAAUUUAAUAGAAAGCCCCCAAUUAAUACCUGCAGCCAAGCCAAAGUCACCUAUACAUCAAGAGAAUGGAUCAUGUCUCAUCUCUCUCUCUUCUUUUUUCUUUGUUCACCCUGUCAAUACUUGCCAUAUCCUUAUUAAGCUGGAUCCCUGUAAAUGUGCAAUGAAAAUUGGCAGUCCAAUUAGCAUGGAAAAAACAGAGAGAACCUCAUACAUAUAUAAACAAGAGCUCUUUUCAGAUAGUUUGUACAUAGUUGCUUUAUAAUUACACUCCAAGUGGUUGAAGGAGUAAGUUCAGAUAGAAAUUGGAGUAAGAAACAAUGUAAAUAUUUAUAAAAUUAGAAAUGUUAUACCAUGAAGCUAUUUGGAUAAGCAAUGCAACAUUCCUCAUUCUUUCAUUCAACACCAGCUUUUUAGCCCUUUGUUGCCAUGGUUAGCUUAAGAUUCACUGACUACCAACAUAUGUUUACUUCUUUCAUCUUCUCCUCGAGAAGUUUAAGAAUGAAUAUGAUUCUUUUCCUUGGUUAAAAGAAAUGUUUCAAGUUUCAAAAUACAUUUUUGUUCCACAACUAAAAAAUCCUAACAUUUGAAUGGAAAUUCACAUCUGGGUAUCCAUGUCUAAGUCCAUUAAAUAUACUUCUAAGACAAUAAUAUUAAAAAUAUGAAAAUAAAAAACUUCAAAAAGAAAAAGGAAAAAGAUAAACAAAGAGAAGUGAAAACCAGGUUGUACCUGAAUGAACAAUGCAAGGAUAGGGUUGAAUGGCUUUCUGUUUCCAUUCUUUUUCCACCACCCGUAGAAUACUUUACUCUGCCAUCAAUUUUGAAUUUGGGGAUGUGGGCAAUGGAGGGAAAUUUCGUUUCUUGAAGAAGAGGACAGCCGAUGAUUUCAAGACUUGCAAGUGUUGUUGUCCAGAGUCUUAAGGAGUGGAGCCUAGGGCAGCACCCAAUAUAUAGAUGUUGAAGGGAGAUGAUGUUUUUGAGUUCCAGGGAGGUCAGGGAUUCCAUAUGGUUGAUAUGGAGGUUUGUGAGAGAUGUAGGAAAAAGGCACUUAUUGUCCCAAAGGGAAGCCUUGCCUGGAAACAUUUCCCAAAUCUUCAAUGUUGAAAGAGAGGUGAGGGUGUGGAGGCCCCACUCAGAUAUGGGCGUCUUCAGAUUCUUGCAAUUUAUAAUUGAAAGAAAUUUUAGGUUGGGGGCCAAACCCUCUUCUGGGAAGGACUUCACUCCCGGAGAAUUCUCCAUGUUGAAAACCUGAAGAGAUGUGAGGCUCUUCAUUUGACGCGGCAAGCACUCGAGAUUCUCACAUCUCCAAAUACGGAGCUCUCUGAGGUUGGGGGCCGAAAACCCUCUUUCUGGAAACCCUCUUUCUGUGAAGGCAUUCUGGUAGGAUUUUCAGAUUGGGAUAACCCCUCAACUCCAAAUACUCAAGAGCUGUAUUAUUGGGCCACAUUUUCUCUGAUACUGGCUCCAAGUUGGAGCAAUGCCGAAUCUCAAGCCGCUCAAGGGUGGGGGGUAACUCCCCUCUUGGGAAGAACUUGAGAGACUUGCAAUCAUGUAUCCUCAGUAUUUGAAGACAACAAUCGUUGUUGCUGUGUAUGGAAUUGCGGUGCAUCAUUCCAUCUGGUAGAUACUUUAGCCGUAUACAAUCUGCAACCAUCAGUUGCUUGAGGGUGGAGGGUAACCUACCAUGUGGAAAGCAGAUGAGAGAUGGACAACACCUAAUCUCCAAGGAUUCAAGGGGACAUGAGCUGUAGUUAUGGGGCAGCGACCUCAGGCUCCUGCAUUUCUGCAGCACAAGACGUCUGAGCAUGGGCGGCAAACCUGUCUCUGGGAAUGACUCCACUGCUAGGCAUCCCAUCAUUUCCAGCUCUUCAAGACAAGUGAGAUUCUGCAAUCCAUUUUGCAGGCUCUUCAGGUUGACGCAUAUCUUCAACAUUUUCAGAUUGCAAGGCAGUCUUUGGUCAUCCAAUGAUACAAGCCAGUCACAGCGGCCAAUCACUGCGCUUUCAAGACCACUGCAAACCCACCUAGAUGUCAGCUGAUCACCAUUAUCUGCAACCACCCCACUUCUCAACACCAUAUCCUUGCAUUCUUCUAUAUUUAGUUCACCUAGAGAUGCAAAUCUUGAGAAAGACACUGCCAGAUUUCGACAUUUAGAGAUGUCAAGUUUCACCAAGGAUGGCAGGCAAUCAGGCAACUGUCUAACUAACUUUGAGCAUUUCCUUAUGGUAAGGUCUCUUAGGCGUGGAAAUAAUUCAACUCCUUCAACUGCAUUAGGAAAAAACCAGUCUUCCCAUUUCGGCAUAUUCUCAAACUUUAGAAACUCCAGGGAUGGAAAAGGCUGGGCAAUCCCUCCAUAGAAUUCCACAUCUAUGGUUCUAAUAUCACUCAUCCCUUCAAUAUGCAAGGUCUUGAGUAAGGAUAAUUUGCCGAGAGAUGGUAACGAGGUGCAUCUCCUGCAAUUCUUUAGAAUUAAUUGUGUCAUUGAUGGGAAUGAGGGGUCCCUUAUCCAACCUGAAAAUGUUGAUCCACCAUAAAAUGCCACUGUGAGCCUUUUCAAGUUUCUAGGUGGUCGUAGCCCCUCUAAAACAAUCAUCUCAUUCAUUCUUUUUCGUGAAUUACCAAAAUCACCGCCCCAUUCCAUUGUCAACUCUUCAAUGUAGUGCUUUUCUUCUAAAUUAGCAUGCAUUGCAUCUCCAGUAUCCACCACAUUAUGCAACCCAGAAAUGGAAAGCUUCCCUCGAAGGUCCUGCAAGUUCUUCAAUUCUCUUAUUCUCAAACUAUCACUUUCUCCCACAAUGUAUUUAGAUAAUGUUUGCAAAUUUGUGAGUUUGCUGAUGGAAGGUAUCUCCUGUAGUUGACUAGUACCAGAAAUAUCAAUAUGUCGAAGGUUGAUUAAGCCUCCAAUCACAAGAGGCAACUUAGUGAGUCUCCAACAAUCGGAUAAUAUUAAUGUCUGUAGAUUGUAAAGAUGACCCACGGAGUCAGGUAACAUUUUUAUUGAAGAGUUGGACAAAUUGAGAUAACGUAGAUGUCUCAAAUCACCAAUUGAAUGUGGUAGCUCUCCACUUAUGUAAUAGCCACUUAAAGAUAAUUCACGUAAACAUUUAAAUUGCUGUAUAAAGUUAUUUAUUACCUUAUUUGAUAUGAAGUGAUAUCUAGAAAAGGCAUUCAGUGGCAAUGCAACCAGUGUUCGCAAACACUUCAUCUUAUGAAAGACUUUGAAUCUUUCAGGCAUCUCAUACUCUUGACUAUUGAAAGAUAAAUGACGAGCCUUUUUAAAAGUGGUGGAUUGUUUGUUAUUCACUAAUAUACCCUCCAAAUUAAAGCAUGUUUCUCCUGCUAUAUAUUUAGCUAGAUCAUUGAUUAGGUCAUGCAUCACAAAUUGAGAUGAAUUGUGAUUAGAUUGUUGAAAAAAUGACCUUGACAAUAAAUCAUAGAAGUAUUUAGAACCCAAGUCUUCCAGCCGGGUAUUUUCCUUUGUUUGUUGAAGAAAACCCUCGGCCAUCCAUAAUUGGAUUAACUCAUCCUUGUCGAAUUCAUAGCCUUUCGGAAAUAUUGAACAAUAGGCAAAACACUGCUUCAAAUGAGAAGGGAGAUGAUGGUAGCUUAACUUGAGAGCAGGAAUAAUGCGGCAUUUGUCUUUGGGUAGAUCCCAUAUCUUACUUGUUAAAAUAUUUUCCCACACAUCAUGACUUACUUGGUUGCGCAACAUGCCACCAAGGGCCUUUGCUGUCAAAGGCAAACCCUUGCACUUUCUCACUAUUUCCUCACCAACUUCUUUCAAGUGCGAAUGAACAUCAAAGUUACUUUUCCCUAAUGCUUGUUGAGUGAAUACAGAUAAACAAUCUUCGUAUGAUAACUCCUGAAGACGAUAAGCUGGGAGAGUUCGAGUGAUUGAUACAACACCUUCAUUGCGAGUUGUGACAAUAAGCUUACUACCCGGUGUCCCUGAUCUCAUUGGCAUGCACAAAAACUCCCAUGAAUCAUGGUUCUCAUUCCAUACAUCGUCUAGGAUAAGAAGAAAUUUCUUCCCGGAAAGGUUCUCCCUUAAUGCCAUCUGAAGCAAAUUAAGAUCAUUAACAUCCUGAGUAUUCGGAGAAACUGAUUGUAGAAUUGUUUUCGUGAUCUUCAAGACAUCAUAAUCAUCAGAAACAUAGACCCAAACUCUCAAAUCAAAAUGAGCUUUUACUUCAUCAUCGUUGAAUGCAAGUUGGGCGAGAGUAGUUUUGCCAAUACCAGCCAUACCGACAACAGGAAUCACGCAGACUUCAUCAGUACAUGAAUCAUCCCUGAGUAACAAGUUGGCUAUGGCUGCUUUAUCCGUUUCCCUACCAUAAACACGGGACUCAUCCACUAAAGAAGUGGUGGGAAGUAUUUCCCUUGUUUUGGUAGACCUCUUCCCAGCAAUAUUCUCUGUUAAAUGGAGAUCAUUUUUUUGUGCAGAAAUUUCUUGUAACCCGGCGGUGAUCUUCUUGAAUUUGGACCACAUCUCCGCAUUAAACUUAAUAGAAUUUGGAGUGAAACUAGUACAACAAGAAGGGAUGAGGCUCCGUAACUUACUUGUGCUAGGUUGAGUGCCAGAAGGAAGGGUUUCCGCCAUCAAAUUGCGUCGCAAAGCUUCAGUGGCGAAGCUGUCCAAGAUGUCCUCCACAUCAUAAGCCAAGUCUCCGAGCUCGUCAAGCCACAUCUUCACCAGGGGGUCCGUCAUAUGCUUCUCCUCUGCGUCAUGGAGGACUACAUAGAUCUUCGUCAAAAUUUUCUUCCACUUGUUAAGCUCAGAAUGGACGUGCUCUUCGCUAGCGAAAUUCCAGAGCUCAGGGGAGGUGACCAUGUCAAUCAGUUUCUGGAUGAGACCAGACAAAACAGCUUCCCCAACAAAACCAGCCAUGAUUCUUUGUUUGUAAGUAGAAAGGAAUUAAUCAAAGAAAGUCUCUGCAGCUCUGAAUAAUGGUUUGUAGGAGGAACCCAAGGGUUUUAAAGGAAGUCUCCGCAACUCAUAUUGUUGAGUCAACACAAAAUAUCUCUAAGGUUCCAUAAAAGGGAAUGGAAUUAAUGCACAGUAGAAAGUGGUUGUGGCGAGGGCCCACAUGGUGUGGAUGAAGUACUAGAGUGUUGCUCCACAUGGGGCUGGUUCCUAGAAAAUAGAGAAAGUUGUGUUUGCAAGUAACAUGACAAUCAAACUCCAAUCAGCUAGAAUAUGAGAUUUGACUAUCAAAGGGGAAAAUAUUAUCUUUUUUGUGCACUCUUUGCUGACUCCAUUUUAUGUUCUUAGAUUGCCCCUCCGUGCCUCCAUGUUAGUUGCAACUUUAUCUCCAUAUCAGCAACAAGCCCUCUAUGUCACAAGAGAGACUGAAAAUUUAAAAAACAGAAAAAUCUGAAUUUGAAACCUAUGAAAAAUCACUUGAUUUGACAACCGGCUGUUAUUUCCCUAAUUUGAAACCUUUCUUCUCUCUGAUUUGGGAACAUUUCUCUCUCUCUCUUUCUCUCCCUCUUGGUUUCAUCACCCACACAAUCUCGAGACCUAUCUAAAAUUUCCCAAAUAUUGUCUCAUUUAAGAGAAAAAAAAAGCAAUAAUCCAAAACUCCAACUUGCAUGUUUUUUUAUUGUCCACAUAAAAGUGCAACGAAAUGGAGCAUUCCAUCCUAAGAAUGUGUGGUUAAAAGACGACUUCAAGAGGCGCAUAUGUGAUUGUGAGUUUACUACAGCAGCGCAUACUCGAACGGAAAGUUGGAAUCCAAAAUAUUGGCUUCGUCAACAAGAUAUCUCUUACUAUCAUUGAGUCACAUUUUGCCCUAACCCUAAAUUGAAAUUGGAAGGUAAAUAAUUUUUAUUUAUUGUUCUUUAGUUCCUUUGUUUGAAAUGGAGCACAUCAACGAUUUUGGAGUCGUUGGUGGACUUGAACUUUUGUGUUGGGUUGUGGAAAUCAUAUUAUUCCCAAAAUAACCAUAUGACAUACAAGUUGCAUUGAAUCCAGAUGGAACUCACAACAUAUCCGGUUGCAAAUCGCAUUAUUAUUUUAGGGAUUGUACUUUAGGUACUACUUUAACGGAGCUUAGGUAGUAUCUUAGUUAAACUUGGGUAGUACUCGUUCGAAGCCUUGGAACUUCAAUUUUGGACAUUACUUACUUCAUUUGUGACUCUUAGAGCAUGCCAUUAUGUGAUUAUUUAGUGUGAUGAAAUGGUUCACCUUUCUUAUUUUGGAGAUUGUACCUUAGGUACUACCUUAAUGGAGAUUAGGUACUACCUUAGUUAAACUUGGGUACUACUUGUCCGAAGCCUCGGAACUUCAAUUGUGGACAUUUCUUACUUUAUUUGUGACCUAUAGAGCAUGCCAUUAUGUGAUUAAUUAGUAUGCUCAAUUGGUUCACCUUUGUUAUUUUGGGGACUGUACCUUAAGUACUACCUUAAUAGCCCUUAGGUACCACCUUAAUCAACCUUAGGUACUACCUUAAUCGACCUUAUGUACUACCUUAGUUAAAGUUGGGUACUACCUAUCUGAAGCCUCGGAACUUCAUUCGUGACCCUUAGAGCAUGCCAUUAUGUGAUUAUUUUGUGUGGUCAAGUGGUUCACCUUUGGUAUUUUGGGGACUGUACCUUAGGUACUACCUUAAUAGCCUUUAAGUACCACCUUAAUCAACCUUAGGUACUACCUUAACCGACCUUAGGUACUAUUUUAGUUAAAGUUGGGUACUACCUAUCCGAAGCUUCAGACCUUCAUUUGUGACCCUUAGAACAUCCCAUUAUGUGAUUAUUUAGGGGUUUUUUUGGUUUCCAUAGGCUGAUAUGGAAAUAUUGGUAAAAUAGAAACCCAUCUUAACAUUUACUUUUUGUUUGAAUGAUUCACUUUUGAAGGGUGAUUCAUCAUAAGGCAAUGCAUGAGAUGAUAAUGACAUGUCAUUUGCUGCUAUGCCCUCGACUGGAGUUGAAGAUGCAUCAUCACAAACUAAUGAAAUAGGUAAUUUGGACUAUAUGCUUAUCUUUUCAAGUAAUUGUGUUAAAUUUUAUUUGCAGUUGAUGUAACCCUUGUAAUCUUUAUUGGUUUGCAUCUUUGACAAGAAUGUUAAGAUCUUUGUUUUCAAUUUUCUUGUACUCAACCAAAUAACAAAAGUUAACAUCUUUAACAAAAAUGCAUUUCCUUGAAACAAAACCGAAAAAAGUGCAUCCAAAGUUCAAACAACCUCAUGACCAUAAUUUUUUAUUGUAGUAUGAGCACUUGUUUUGCAGGAAAUGAAGACUGUAAUCCACCAGCUGAAGAAGAAAGAACCAAUGAGAGAGACAUCGGUUUGGACCAAAACCCGCUUCACUCUCUUCCACACUUGAUCAACUCCUCAACACUAAUAGAUAGUCUUCUAAUGCAAAAACGCAUGAGUUUUUGUAGGUGGAUCAAUGAUAAUGAGCCUAAUGAUAUUUGUACCAAGCAACUCAUACUAGCUACAAUGAUGCAAUUGAAAAAAGUGAUACGUGAGAUGGAUACACACAACAAGAGCAGGUGGGAUGAGAAGCCUGAAUGAAGACCUUUUUGGUUGUUCUGUAUCCUUUUUAUGUUUUCUUUCUUCAGGAGAAGAUGACUCUAUUAUGUUUUUUGUAGUUUUUUUAGAUGAAUGUUAGUAUGGUUCCUAUGGAGAAAGGUUAAAAAAAAUUGAGGAAAGAAAAUAAAUGUUUUUUUAUUUUAUUUUAUUCCCAUUGUCCUAAAAAAAUAUAUUGGAAAAUUUAAUUUUCUCUUAUUUGGACAUUAUCAUGGAUGAUCAAACAAAGAUAACAACUUUCUGAGAACAGGAAUAAUACAGGGUGUACAAGAAGAUUUUUUGGAGAAUGUCUGGAAUGUAGGAGGAGAUGCCUCAGACAAUGCUUGGAAUGUUGAAAUGUGAAAUGGAAAUGACAACCAAACCCACUGUACUUUUCUCACAAACCAAAUGCACCCAAGACAAAUGACACAUUAGAAUCAUAAGGAACAAAACAUAAGCCACUUUCCUUAUUUUAAGAAAGAAAACUUAGGAUUUGUAUGCAAAUUGUUUAAAUAAUAGUUCUUAUUAUUUAAAAUAGAAAAUAGUAUUUUUACUUAGAAAAUAUAUUUAAUAAUUUUUUUAGAAGAUAAAGAAUGAUAGGAGGAUUUGUGUAUUGUAUAAAUGUAUGGUUUCUUUUAGGGAAAAUAAGUCAAUGAAAUUGUUUUUUCAUUAUUUAAGUUCCCAAUAAAGGGUUUUUUUUUUUUUUUUUUUUUUUAAGGUUUUGAAAAAUAAUAAAGAAAAAAGAAUUCCUAUAAUUUUAUCGUCCAUGAUUAAAUUAUAGAUGAGGAAAAUUUCUUUGCCCUUCUUCUUUGUUUUAAUAUUUUUUAAUUACAUUAUUUUUGCAUUAUCCAAAUAUAAUUUAUAUAAAAAAACAAACAUAAUUUAAAUAAUUAGAAAUUUAUUUUUACUUAUAUUGAAAAAAUUUGUACAUAUUAGCUUUAAUUUAAAUUUGAAAUAUGCUAAAAUUUAAUUUCCCUAGAUACAGUUUUUAACUUUACAUCUCAACUAAAAUUUAUUCCUAAGCUUAUGAUGUGUUAAAAAAUCUCAAAUUGUCUUAUGUUGUGAGUUUUAACAAACAAAUUGUCUUAUGUGCCAAAUGUUUGAGUCAUCAUUUUUAGUUUAACAAAGUUGAUAAUAAUAAUCACAUAGUACCUAUGAACACUACGAAAAUAUAUUACUAGACAUUGAUAUUCAUAACACAUUUCCACAACCUAUGUUAAACUAGAUAUUACAAUAAGCAAAACACAUGCUAUAAAGAAGCCAACAAAGAAACUGAUUACAUAUGUAUAUGAAAUAUUUUGCAAGGAAUGCUUAUCAUCAAAUGCAUGUUCAGACUUUGGUUUGCCAGCUGAUGAACAUUCAUUACUUCUAUUCCAUCUUGGUGCAUAAAACAGCUAAACUCGGACAACUUUCUCUCUAGAAGUAUAUGCUUUGUAAACAUUCCCUUUAUAAAGGAGCACAUUCUUUUGACAUUAAACCCAAGAAUCGUACACUCCAUGUCUGCCACCUGCAAACACUACAUACUAUGUUUGCAUGUUCAUCAUCUGAUGACACAAUUGUUGUUGGUUACUUUUUGAUAAUCAAUCAAGUAAUGACUAUUGCAAAAGAUAGUACAAAAGGUAUAUAAUUCACACAUGUAUACCAUAUAUAUUUUAGGAUAAUAAUAGUGAUGAUUAACCACAAAAUUCAAAAUAUAACAAGUAAUGUGUGGGAUUCAAGUUCUAAGGCUUCAUAUAGGUAGUACCCAACUUUAACUAAGGUAGUACUUAAGAUUAGUUAAGGUAGUACCUAAGAUUGAUUAAAGUGGUACUUAUGGGCUAUUAAGGUAAUACCUAAGGUACAAUCCCCAAAAUACCAAAAGUGAACCAAUUGAACACGCUAAAUAAUAACAUAAUGGCAUGCUCUAAGGGUCACAAAUGAAGGUCUGAAGCUUCGGAUAGGUAGUAUUGAUUACUAAUAAAAAACCACACAUUUUAGAUAAUAAUUCUCAUGAGUGUCAUAUCUUUUGGGUAGUAAUUAUGCUUAAAACACUCAAUUAAUAUGUUUUUGCCCUAGCAAGAGUUACUAACAAUUUUUAUGAAGUUUUGGAGUCAUUUCAAGGUAUGAUUUUGAUAAAUUGGUGACAAAAGAGAUGAAUCAAAUUGAAGAGAACAAAUAAAGUUGAUGAUGAUCCAAAUGCACAAUGAAAGAAGUAAUGAAAUUGGUUUGGACCAGGAUUUGGAAUUGAUUUGGAGGUGGUUAAAGUGGAAUCAAGAGAAAGAAAUGGAAGAAAUGACAAAAAAGAGUUGAAAAACUAUGUUUUUCAAUUUCGCAUGAACAUGUGAAAAAUUCGCACAAUUGUGCGAAAUGGAUCAAAGGGGAAUUUGGCUACAACUAAAAGGGAAAAAGUGAAAACUAAUUUCGCAUGACCAUGCGAAAAUUUCACACAGUCAUGCGAAAUGCUCCAGGAAGGUGAAAAUGGUGCUGAUCAAUUUUCCACUUCGCACAAUCGUGCGAAAUUGCAUUUUUUCCAGAUUUCUUGGUGAAGAAGCCUCCGGAAGACCUCUUAGAUGAUGCCAAGUAUCCACUUGACCUUGACCUAUAAAUAGAAACUUGAUUUACUCAUUUGAAGACUUUUUUACAUUUUUCUAAUUGUAGAACUUUCUAGAUUUUCUCUCUAUAAAAUUCUCUAUUUUCCUUCAUUUUCUCUCAUUUUCUCACUAGCCAAACAUGUCUUGUGAGACCAAAUCUCUAAGCAUGAGUGGCUAAAUCUCGUUUUUCUCGGAGGAGGAGAGAUUUAGAGGCAAAAUCUAUGGUGAUCUAUGGUGAAUCGCAAAGGUAAUUUGAUCCAAUUGAUUGAUUAAUUGAAAAUUUUGGGAUUUUUCUCUUCAAAUUGUCUUAGAUGAUUACUACAAUGCAAGCUAGGUAGAUUAAUCAAAUUCUUAAUGCUAGAUUUGAUGAGAUUGAAUAGUUGCAUUGUGUGAAUCAUUGGAAGAUAAUUUAAGAUGAAUUGAAUAUAUGAUUUGAAUUAAUAUCUUGGAUUCGAUGACCUAAUUUGAAGAUAAAUUAUAUCUAGAUCUAAAACUAAAUAAAAAAUCGGUUUCAAUGAAAAUUUAGGUUUUCAAUCUAACUUGAUGAAAAUUAGAUCUUAACAUCUAUUCACCAUAGAGAUUGUUUUCUAAAAAAUCAUAACUCCAAGAAUUUCAUUUUCUAUUAAUUUUCUUCUAUUUUACAUUUCAUUUUCCUCUCAAUUGGGAAUCAUUGUCAUUUUGAAUUGUAAUCAUGAAUUGUCAAAUCAUUUUCACUUAAUCUCAAUCAUUUCUUCUUCUCUCAUUCAAGCCUUGAUUACCAAGAAUAAUCCAUCCUUGUGGACGAUACCUAAAAACCACUAUACUACAAUAGUUUGUACUAAAACCACUUUUUGAUUGGGUACAAAUUGCUAUAGAAUAGUGAAUUAUGUUAUAAAUUUUGUUUUGAUCCAAUAAACGAUAGAAAUCCGAGCGAUCAAGUACCCAAUUUUAACUAAGGUAGUACCUAAGGUCGGUUAAGGUAGUACCUAAGGUUGAUUAAGGUGGCAUCUAAGGGCUAUUAAGGUAAUACCUAAGGUACAGUCCCCAAAAUACCAAAUAUGAACCAAUUGAACAUAGUAAAUAAUCACAUAAUGGGAUGCUCUAAGGAUCAGAAAUAAAGGUCUGAGGAUUCAGAUAGGUAGUACCCAACUUUAACUAAUGUAGUACCUAAGGUCGGUUAAGGUAAUACCUAAGGGCUAUUAAGGUGGUACCUAAGGGCUAUUAAGGUAGUACCUAAGGUACAGUCCUCAAAAUACCAAAGGUGAACCACUUGACUACACAAAAUAAUCACAUAAUGGUAUGCUCUAAGGGUCACGAAUGAAGUUUUGAGGCUUUAGAUAGGUAGUACCUAACUUUAUCUAAGUUAGUACCUAAGGUCGGUUAAGGUAGUACAUAAGGUUGAUUAAGGUGGUACCUAAGGGCUAUUAAGGUAGUGCCUAAGGUAUAGUCCCCAAAAUAAGAAAGGUGAACCAUUUCACCACACUAAAUAAUCACAUAAUGACAUGCUCUAAGGGUCACAAAUGAAGUAAGUAAUGUCCACAAUUGAAGUUCCAAGGCUUCGAAUAGGUAAUACUCAAGUUUAAUUAAGGUAUUACCUAAGCUCCGUUAAGAUGGUACCUAAGGUACAGUCCCCAAAAUAACAAUGCGACUUGCAACUGGAUAUGUUGUAAGUUCCAUCUAGAUUCAAUGCGACUUGUAGGUCUUAUGGUUAUUUGGGAAUAAUAUGAUUUCCACAACCCAAUACAAAAGUUCAAGUCUACCAACGACUCGAAAAUCGUUGCUGUGCUCUAUUUUAAACAAAGGAACUAAAGAACAAUAAAUAAAAAUUAUUUACCUUCAAAUUUCAAUUUGGGGUUAGGGCAAAAUGCGACUCAAUGACAGGAAGAGAUAUCUUGUUGACGAAGCCAAUAUUUUAGAUUCCAACUUUCCGUUCAGGUACGCACUGCUGUAGUAAAUUCACAAUCACAAAUGCACCUCUUGAAGUCGUCUUUUAACUGGACAUUCUUAGGAUGGAAUGCUCCAUUUUGUUGCACUUUUAUGUGGAUAAGAGAGAAACACACAAGUUGGAGUUGUGGAUUAAUGGUUUUUUUUUCUCUCAAAUGAGACAAUUUUUGGGAAAUUUUAGAUGGGUCUCAGGAUUGUAUGGGUGAUGAAGCUAAGAGAGAGAGAGAAAUGUUCCCAAAUUAGAGAGAAAAAAAGUUUCAGAUUAGGGAAAUAACAACCAUUUGUCGGGUCAGGUGAUUUUUCAUAGGUUUCAAAUUCAAAUUUUUCUGUUUUUAAAAUUUUCAGUCUCUCCUAUAACACGGAGGGUGUGCUGCUGAUAUAGGGACAAGGUUACAACUAACAUGGAGGCAUGGAGGGGUAAUUUAGGAACAUAACAUGGAGUUAGUAAAGAGUGCAUGAGAAAGAUAAUAUUUUUCCAUUUGACAGUCAAAUCUCAUAUUCCAGCUUAUUAGAGUUUGAUUGUCAUAUUACUUUCAAAUAGCUGGCUACGAACACAACUUUCCCUAGAAAAUAUGAUAUGAAGUACCACUUUUUCUGUUUAAGUCAUAAGUCAUAACUAACAAGUUAGUCAAAUCCUUGCUUUUUUUUCCCCCCCAAAUGCAGUUCUUAAAUAGUAACCAUAGACGGUUCUUUGGGUAAUGUUGAAAAUCAAUUGAAAAGUUAAGUGAGUGUUUAAUUAAUUAAAUUUACUUUAAGUUUAAUUAUUUUUAAGUUGCUAAUUUAAAAUUUAUGAUUUAUUUUUUACUUUAAGCAUUAAAAUUGUUUGAUAAAAUUAUCUUAAAAUUUAUUUUAAGUUAUCAAAUUGAAAUAUUUGCUCUCAUAGUUGUAAUUAACAUUUAUCAUUAUUAAUUUUAACUAAUAUUUAUUUUCAUUAAUCUUAAUUAAUAAAUUUGUUUAUUAAACUUUCAUACUUAAAUAAAUAUAUCAGACAACUUUAAAAUAUUUACUAUGAAAAAUGAGACAUGGAUGUAAAGUCAUGAUUGUUAAAUAUAUUCUUAAUAGAUUAUGGACAAAUAAGAUAAAAAAGAUUUGGGAUAAAAAAAAAGUUAAUUAUUUUUAUUUAAUACUUUAAAGUCAUUUUUAAAUUUAAGUUAUGAUAUUAAAUUAUUUUACUAAACAUGUUUAAUCUAUUUAAUAACUUAAUUUAAGUUAUUAAAUCAUUUUAAGUCAUUAAAUUAACUUACUAAACACUAUUUAAAAGUGUCAUUAGUCGAGAAAAGGUUGCAUUUGAUGCCUUAAAUAAAGGCCAAUUCAUAGCUGAAUUACUAUAAACUCUAUUACCAUGCUUGAUACAUGUACGAGGACUAUCCUAGCAAGCUUAACAAACCAAAUUAAGUGGUGCUAAAUUUGUUUAAAAGGAUUUGAAUAACUACAUAAGGUAAAUAUUGUAAGUGAAUUUUAAAAUAAAGAUUUUUAUUCUUUUUUAUAAAAUAAAGAUUUGACUAACCAUAUUUAUCCUUUUUAUAAAAUAAAUAUUUUUAUUAUUAAAUGGUUUUAUACUAAAAUUUGUCUUCUUUUAAUUCAUUUUUUUUUAUUAUUAUUAGUUCCUUCAUGUAAAAAAUUAAAAUAAACAACUAUUUCAAUGGAUACAUGAGAAUUAUAUUAAAUCACACUCUAUUUUUAAUUGAAUUAUGUUAAAUUUGUACUUAUUUUAAAAUAAAAUAUUUUUUCAUUUAUUUAAUAUAAAAAAAUUAGAAUUAUAAAUAAAAUCUACUUAAUUCAUUUACAAGAACUAAUUUUUCAAUAAAGGGUUAAUGAAAAAACUAAAAAUCACUAUUAUAUAUUUUUAAAUGAUUUUGACGACAAAAUAAAAUUGAUGAUGAAAUAAGUUAGUAACACAUUUUAUUUAUUUAUUAUUGUGAAGUCUAUGCCAAUCCAAACUAGGUAAACACGUAAGAGGGGGUGAAUUAGUCAAAUUUAAACAAUGUUUACUAAAAUAAAUACAAAUGACAAUAAAUGAAAAUACAAGUAAAUAAAGAGAUAUGAAACAAAAGAAAUGCAAACGAUUUAUAGUGAUUUGACAUUGUUAGGAUAGAGUCUUUAAGAGAAUGACAUGGUACAAUAAUAUACGAAUUUAUUAUUUAAAUUAUGAUCCAAUUUCCUAAAUCUAUUUAUCCUUUUCAUACAUUAUACUUUCUCUGCAUUUAGGUCCAACAUCUCUUACAUUAUAUAUGACUUAAGUGUAUUAGGAGUUGAUCGGAAGAUCCAAGUUAUAUAUUUCUUGUAAGGAGAUGAGUUGUUCACAACUAAUUUAUGAACUUAAACAAUCCAUUUGAGGUUGUCGUGCACAUCUCAUAAUUGAAGGGAUAACUUAUCUUGGUUAUGGAGAUGAGUUUCCCUAGUUAAUGCACUAAUGUGUAUGGUUACAUAUUAGACAAGACUUAUAGUAAGUCAUAAGAUUGGUUAUCAAGUAGCCAUGAUCUCACUAAACUACUAUAUCAUAUGUGCUCUUAACUUUGAGAGGAUACUAAGUGUUAAAGUCUAUAGUGGCUUUGACCUAUGGGUAAGACCCUAAUUAGAUGGUCAUAUAUUCCUUAUGGAUUCAGUCACUAUUGAUUGAGGUAGGUGACAACAAGUAUACUUAAGAUAGACACCAUGAUAUUUCAUAAGUUUGAGACAAAGUGUCCUCUUGGAUGAUCCUAAGGACAUGUGAUCAGGAAAUCUAUGGUCGUAGUAAUUCCUUAAUUGAAAUUUAACAUAUGCUCUUGGAGAGCUAGAAUAUGUCAAUUGGUUACAUAAUAGGAAAAUAUGAGACUCAAUGAUUGUAAAGAUAAUCUUGAGAGGUUGAUAGUAUUCACCUUGUUAAAUUAUAGACAUGAGUUCAUAGAGAGUAUGCAUAGAGUGAAUAGUAGGUCAUGAGCUCAAGUUCUUAUAUCUUGUUGUAAUAUCAUAGGAUACAAGAGUGCAAUUGACUCUUUAUAGUGGAAUGUUAAGUCAACUUCAAAAUUGAAUUAUGAAGGAGCUAUUUUUAUUUUCCUAUGGAUCCUGACAUUCUUCGUUCCCUUCAUAUGUUUUUACAAUUUUUGGUUUCCACCAUUAUGACCCAUACACAUAAACUCAACCCCUGGUCAAUGUCAUAACUUAGCAGUUUCUGAAUUGUUGUACGAAUCAACCAAGUUUUUGAGGAGGUUCAAAAUUUUCUCAUCUGCUAUCUACUGGUUGCAUUAGAAAUAAUGACAUGUUUAUCUUUAGGCCUAGGGACUAAGUAUCACACAUCAUUUCUAGUGAAUUGAUUUAACUCUUCUUGGAGUUCAAUAGUCCAAGAGUCGUCACCUAAGCUUCUUCCAUAUUCUUUGGCUCCAAUUGGAGGAUAUAACAUACAAGACCCAUCUAGUUUAAUCUUAGUUGUCUCCUAGUAACUACACAUUCAUUUAUAAUACCUAUUACAUUUGCUAGUUAAACGAAAUUUAAUAUGUAGUUAAUGAGUCUAAUAUUUUUUUUAAAAAAAAUAACUUAAAAUUCAUAAAACACUUAAAUCAAUGUAAGAAAAUAAUAUACCAAAAAAACUAAUACAAAACAAAUUAUCUCUACUAUUUUUUAUUUGCAUAUAACAAUAGACAUAUUUUUAAUUUUUUCAUUAUACAAAUAAAUUCUAAAUCAAACGAGACAAAGAGUAUGUUUGAUAUUGAUUUUUAAAAAUGUUUUUAGUCUUUUUAACACUUAAAUAAUAAAAAAUUUCAAAUGUUAGAAAUGCUAGAAGUAAUUUCUAAAAUCACUGCUAAACGAGCUCUAAUAAAUUAAGACUUAGAGGGUGUUUGGUAAAAUCUAAUAUUAAUUACUUAAUCAUUUGAGUUGAUUUUGAGUUAAAUCAUAAUUAAAUUAUUUACUUAAAACUUAUUAUUUGAUUUUUAUUUUAAGUACUAAAUCAUCGAUUUGACAUACUUACAAUUAUGAAUUUUAACUAUUAUUUACACUUAUUAGUUUUAAUAACUAUUUUUUAUUAUUAAUCUUAAAAAAUAAAUUUGUUUGUUAAAUAUUUAUAUUUAAAGUAUUGUAAAUAUAUAAGAUAAUCAUAAUAUAUUUACCAUAAAAAUCAAUCAUCGAUGUAGAGUUAUAGUUGUAAAAUAUACACUCACUAUAUGAGGGUUAAUGAGAUAAAAUAGAUUUGACAUUAAGAAUAAAUUAACUAUUUUAACUUAAUAUUUAAAAGUUAUUAUUAACUUUAAGCUGUAAUAUUAAAUUAUUUUACUAAACAUGUUUAAUCGACUUAAUGAUUUAAAUUAAGUUAUUAGAUCAAUAAGUCAAUUUCUCAAACAACCUCUUAGAGUUCAUUUGAGAGUAUUUUUAGAAAAUGCUUCAAAAUUGAUCCAAAAUACUUUGUUUAGAAUUGAGUAAUAAAUAAGUACCUACAAUAAAAAAGCUUGGCUUAUUUAUAUGUAUAUUUUUUUUUAAAAAAACUUUGUUUAGUUUUAAAUUCAUUUUAAAUAAAAUAUUUUAACCAUUCUUAUUUUAAAAGUAUUAUUAUUCAUUAUAUAAAGAAUUCAAGUAUGCAUUUACAAGUAUUAUUCUAAUUUUUAAUAUAUUGGAAUAUUAGAACAUUAAAAUCUAUAACACCUAAAAUUGGGAAUAAAGUAAAUAAUAAAAUUUUAUUUUAACUUUGAAUAUAUCUUUUUAAAUAUGCUUAUGUCAUUUAAUAAAAUUAGAAAUAUUAAUAUAUUUAUAUAUUAUCAUGAUGCUUUAACAUGUCAAUAUUAAAGAUAAAAAGAUGAAAUAUCUUUACUUAUUUAAUAUUAUAAUAUUAAAUAAAAAAUUUAAGUUUAAAUUAUGUAUAUAUAUAACAUUUAUUUUUAAUUUUAAUAAUAUAUAAAUUAUAUUUAUGACAUUACUGUUUCAUCAGUAAUUUAUAUGCGAAAACAGAGGAUUGACCUGUAUUUUGCAAGUUAAAAAGUAAAAUAUAGAGAAGGAAGAAAGAAACAAGAAGAAAAUAAUAGUAGUACACCUUUAUUAAACUUCAAAUCCAAGUCAAAGGAGUAAGCCCACAAGUACAGCAAACAUUAAGAUAACAAGAAAGAGGAAUGAUAUACACAGGCAGCAUACAUUCUUAUUUCCCAAAGGAAAUUUUUGUUGCAUCAUCACUUGUAAAGUCCAGAGUUUGUAGUUGUUGGCUGUGGGCGAAUAUUUACAAGCAUACUGAGAAUUCAAGGGCAGCAUGCAAUGUUCAACAUGGACAAAUUAUUCAACUGUGAGCAAGAUAAAUUAAACAAGAUAUAGGCUUCAACACAACAGAGAUAAUCACAUUUGAGCAGGCCAUUUUUCUGGCUCGUUUGAUUCAGCCAUGCAUGGGUUUUUGAGGAAGUUUGUCUUCAAUCCACCUCUUCAAUAGCUCUAGUGCAGCUCAGGGCUGACCAGCAUCAUGGACCUUUUUAUUGUUACAUAUAAACCAAACCACCAUGUUAGUACUAGCAAUCAUCUGCUUCCUUCCUAAGUGUACUGCUAUGUGAGAAAGAGAUGGUUUGAGAGAGAGACCUUGAGGAAGGUAAGACUGGUCUCUUCAAGUGUAUACAGCAAUGCCUUGGACACCUCUAUACUUUCUGACAUUUUUAUUUUCCAGCUGAUAUCAAACACAAAAAGAAGAGUGAAAUCUUGGAUGAGUGAUGCAGAAUGCUAAACUUGUAUAAGGGUCUAUUUGGCAGCAGAAAUGAGGAUUCUUUUAUUUAUUUAUUUAUUUUUUCUGAGAAAAGAAGAAAUGAAAAUGGAUUAAAAACAUGAUGAAAACAUCAAACAUUUCAAAAUAAAAAAAAUAAAAAAACAUGUUGAUAACUCAAAGUAACAUAUUCAUGCUUGCCAAUCUUCAAUCUUAUUGAUCAUUUUUACAAUAGCAGAAAAGAAAGUCCUAAUAAGCAUUGACCACCUUCAUCGUUCUUUUCUUCUUACCUGAGAGAAGAAAUUCUGAAAAUGAAGCACUAAAUUUAAAAAAUGAGGCAUUAACUUUGAAAAACAGAUAAUCAUGAAUUGUUGAGGUCAAGAACAUACUGACAUGCAAAUAUGUAGCUUGAAUUUUGGAAAUUUUGGAUUUCACCUGCAUCUUCUUUUUAUUCUUUCUUUCCUAAAUGUAGAGAAGAAACUUCCAUUCUUUAUCUGAAAAUGAACUCACUAUUAGGGCAAUGAAAACAGAAGCUGCACAUUGUGAGUGGGCAGGCUUACCUUAUUGAAAAGAGGAGAAGACAUAUUGUUGCUUUCAUUUUAAGCAGCCCAUAUGAUGAGUAUCUAAUGGCAGGAAAUGGAUGUGGGAUGUCUUGAUCUGAAAUAAAGAAGAACAGCCCAGUUAAGCAUGUCAAAAGAGUCUAGACACAGUUUUAGGUUUAGGUUUAUUCUAUUUAUUAAGAACAUAAAAUCAUAAGCAAAUUCAAUAGAACAGUAGAACUAACCAUGCUUGUGUGGAACUGAGGCCAACAAGUUAAGAGAAAAUGCCAAUUAGUAAGAGCUGCUAAAGCCAUAUAUUCAUGAGAGGACAAUCUGGAACUGGAGUUGAGUUGCAAAUAGCCAUACCUGAAUGAUUUUUUUUUUGCAUGUAGAAAACAUGGAAUUCAUCUUAGAACAUUGUUAUCAGUCCCUUAUCUCAAGUCUUGGAAAUGUUUCUGGAAGCCCUUUGGACUGGAGCUCAUGGCACCCAUAGACGGAUAUACUGUCAAGAGAAGGGAGGUUUUUGAAAGCCAGGGAGGCCAUGGAAUCCAGUUUACUAAUCAAAAGUUUGCUCAGAGUUGUAGGAAAAAGACAGCCAUCAUCUGUAGAGAAGCCAGACCUGGACAUAGGCUAGAAAUAUACAAUGAUGAAAGAGAAGCAAGUGGGCCUGUCCUGGUUAGCACACAAUCUCUGAUAGAAAGUGGUGCAGGGUUGCAGGCCAAACUGCAGAGUCCUCUGCUUCUCCUGGUUAGCACAAAUUUCUAAUUACAAAUAUUUAAGAUUGUGAGGCAGCCCUUGUUCCUCCAAGGUUACAAGUCCAUGGCACUGCCAGAUCCCUAUACAUUCAACACCACCGAGGAGGCAUUCCAAUCAAAACCUGCUCUGCUACAAAGACGUCACUUCCCCACACCCUCUUAACACCGUUUUUUAAAAUCGGAAAUUUCUUGAUUUUAAGCAUUGAGAGUGUUGCAGGGAGCCCUUUCCUUCAGCAAACAUGACCAGAGAAUUUCAAUGGCAUCAAAUGUAGAAACUAGCAUUUCAAUAGUAUCAAAGUACAAACUUCGAUUUCAAUAAUGUCAAAAGUAGAAAAUUGUAUCAAGUUCAUAACAAUUGUCUUUUAUGAAUGAGAUGGACUCUGCUUCCAUUUUUGUGAUAUAUAUGGAAAUAAAAUUCAACAUGAGUUUAUUCAUAUGUGAAAAGCUAUCAUUAUGUAGGGAUGUGCACUAUCUUGGACUAAUUUCUAUAUUUGGAAGUGUGGCCAUCAACAGCCCUUCCUUGGCAAAAGGCACCCAAGCUUAGGUGACUCCUAGUACUCCAAGAGGAGUAAGGCUGUGGAGCUGCAUGGAUGGAUUGAAAUGACCCCAACCAUGUAGAUAUUAUUCACUCUAGGUCCUUUGGCCCCUUAACUUACUCUCAAUAGAGGGACACCUCACUGGGGUUAAGGUUGGGGAUCAACUUUGAUAUCAUUUGUAACGUCCUACUUCCAGUCAUAUUGUUCGCUUUGGACCCAAGGAGCCUUUUUCAAUUUAAAACAUGUUACAUUGUUAAGAGAAACUCAUACAUAUAUAGUGCAAACUGCCAAGAAGUUUUUCUCCUAUCCAAUGUGGGAUAUCUUAUAGAUUAUAUUUAGAGGAAGCAUACACAUACUCUGUAACAGUGGUGAAAUUUUGAAGAGAGGAGAGUUUAUGCAUGCCCCACUUGGUCAGGGCUCGAUAUUCCUGCAGUCCAUGAUGCAAGGUGAUACUAGGUUGAAGCAACAGCCCAUUUGAACUAACCGAAUCUAUGACUUGAAUUAAAAUUUGCAAAAACCAAAAAACCACCUCUUUAGGUUCCUGGCCUUGCUAAAAUCAUAUUUUGGAUAAGAAGCAAGAUGCCAUUUCUGAACACUACAACCAACUUCCAAGAACCUUUGGAACCGGAGCAAGCAAAUGAUCUCAACAUAUUGUAUUAUAACCUUAUCAUUAAUACACAUCAAACACUGAAUAAGACUAUUUAACUAUUGCCAUUUUCUUAAUCUAAGAAAUACCAUGCCAGUUUCAAAUAUUCAUAAAUGUAAUGCACAUUUAUAAAGAACCAUAUUUAAGGCAUUAUAUGUGCUUGUGUGCUUAAAAAUGACAAACUCUAUUGAUAAACUUUAAAAAGAAAAGAUGUCUUACCAGAGUCAGCCAUGAAAUAGCAUUUCUGGGCCGAAGUUACCACAGUCAACAAUACUGCAAAAGAUGACAGAAUUCCCAAGGCUCUUAAUCUUGAAAAUAAUGUAUCUUUGUAAUGGAGGAUUAUGGACAAGAGCAACAUGAAAAACAAAAAAAUUAAGAAGAAAUACCAAGCCAUGAUUGCAGCAAGAAAUGAAGAAUAUACCAGCAAGUGAAUAGGUAGCAGUUAGUGAUUAGGAAGUUUUGCAUCUAAUAAUAUUCACCUUUUUCUUUUUCCUUCCUACAUGUUGAGAAGAAAUUUCAAUCAUUAUCUAAAAGUGGAAUUGAUAUUGGAUCAAUGAAAUUGGAAGCCAGGCAUCCUAAAGAAGCAGACAUAAUACCUAUUUGUUUGCUUUCAUUUCUUGACUAGGGAAAGAAGAAUUAUUAGGAAGAACGAUCCAUCAUAUUGCAUGUAAUAAGAAUUGGAAACACAUAAGAAUAGACCAGUUUGGGGGCCAUGAUGCUAUUAAAGGUGGAAUAGAAUGUCAUUGAGGUUUCCUUCAUAUGAAACAUAUGAGUGAUAUACCAAUUAGGCAGGGCCAGAGGCUGCUGUAAGCAUGUGUUAUUUAUAGAAAGACAAAAUUACAUUAGAAUUAAUAGAAAAGUAGAAGUAACCAUGCUCACCCAGAAUUGAGGUAAAGAACAAAAAAGGGAAUCACGAAUUUAAUAGAAAACCCCCAAUCAAUAACUGCAGCCAAGCCAAAAUCACCUAUCCAUCAAGAGAAUGGAUCAUGUCUCAUCUCUCUCUCUCUCUUCUUGUUCACCCUGUGCACUACUUGCCAUAUCCUUAUUAAGCCAGAUCCCUGUGAAUUUGCAAUGAAAAUUGGCAGUCCAAUUAGCAUAUGGACAAAACAGGGAGAACUUCAUACAUUUAUAGACAUGAGCUCUUUUCAGAUAGUUAGUACAUAGUUGUCGCUUUAUAAUUACACUUCAAGCGGUUGAAGGAAUAAUGUUCAGAAAGAAAUUGGAGUAAGAAACAAUGUAAAUAUUUAUAAAAUUAGAAAUGUUAUACCAUGAAGCUAUUUGGAAAAGCAAACAACAAUCCUCAUUCUUUCAUUCAACACCAGCUUUAGCCCCUUGCUGCCAUGGUUAGCUUAAGAUUCACUGACUACCAAUGUAUGUUUACUUUUUUCAUCUUGUCCUAGAGAAGUUUAAGAAUGAAUAUGAUUCUUUUCCUUGGUUAAAAGAAAUGUUUCAAGUUUCAAAAUACAUUUUUGCUUCCACAACUAAAAACUCCUAACAUUUGAAUGGAAAUUCACAUCUGGGUAUCCAUGGCUAAGUCCAUUAAAUAUACUUCUAAGACAAUAAUAUUAAAAAUAUGAAAAUAAAAAACUUAAAAAAAAAGGGGGUGGGGGUGGGAAAGAAAAACAAAAAGAAGUGAAAACAAGGUUGUACCUGAUUGAACAAUGAAAGGAUAGCGUUGAAUGGCUUUCUGUUUCCAUUCUGUUUCCACCACAUGUAGAAUACUUUACUCUGCCAUCAAUUUUGAAUUUGGGGAUGUCGGCAAUGGAGGGAAAUUUUGUUUCUUGAAGAAGAGGACAGCCAAUGAUUUCAAGACUUGCAAGUGCUAUUGGCCUUAGCCUUAAGGAGUGGAGCUUAGGGCAGCACCCAAUAUAUAGAUGUUGAAGGGAGAUGAUGUUUUUGAGAUCCAGGGAGGUCAGGGAUUCCAUAUAGUUGAUAUGGAGGUUAGUGAGAGGUGUAGGAAAAAGGCACUUAUCGUCCCAAAGGGAAGCCUUGCCUGGGAACAUUUUCCAAAUCUUCAAUGUCGAAAGAGCGGUGAGGGUGUGGAGGCCCCACUCAGAUACGGGAGUCUUCAGAUUCUUGCAAUUUAUAAUUGAAAGAAAUUUUAGAUUGGGGGCCAAACCCCCUUCUGGGAAGGACUCCAGUCCCGGAGAAUCCUCCAUGCUGAGAACCCGAAGAGAUGUGAGGUUUUUCAUUUGAUGGGGCAAGCACUUGAGAUUCUCACAUCUCCAAAUACGGAGCUCUCUGAGGUUGGGGGCGGAAAACCCUCUUUCUGGAAACCCCUCCAGACCUCCACAGUCUUCUAUUUUGAGCUGCUUGACGCUGUGAAGGCAUUCUGGUAGGAUUUUCAGAUUGGGAUAACCCCUCAACUCUAAAUACUCAAGAGCUGUAUUAUUGGGCCACAUUUUCUCUGAUACUGGCUCCAAGUUGGAGCAAUGCCGAAUCUCAAGCCGCUCAAGGGUGGGGGGUAACUCCCCUCUUGGGAAGAACUUGAGAGACUUGCAAUCAUGUAUCCUCAGUAUUUGAAGACAACAAUCGUUGUUGCUGUGUAUGGAAUUGCGGUGCAUCAUUCCAUCUGGUAGAUACUUUAGCCGUAUACAAUCUGCAACCAUCAGUUGCUUGAGGGUGGAGGGUAACCCACCAUGUGGAAAGCAGAUGAGAGAUGGACAACACCUAAUCUCCAAGGAUUCAAGGGGACAUGAGCUGUAGUUAUGGGGCAGCGACCUCAGGCUCCUGCAUUUCUGCAGCACAAGACGUCUCAGCAUGGGCGGCAAACCCGUCUCUGGGAAUGACUCCACUGCUAGGCAUCCCAUCAUUUCCAGCUCUUCAAGACAAGUGAGAUUCUGUAAUCCAUUUUGCAGGCUCUUCAGGUUGACGCAGUCGGCUAUCUUCAACAUUUUCAGAUGGCUAGGCAGUCUUUGGUCAUCCAAUGAUACAAGCCAGUCACAGCGGCCAAUCACUGCGCUUUCAAGACCACUGCAAACCCACCUAGAUGUCAGCUGAUCACGACUAUCUGCAACCACCCCACUUCUCAACACCAUAUCCUUGCAUUCUUCUAUAUUUAGUUCACCCAGAGAUGCAAAUCUUGAGAAUGGAACUGCCAGAUUUCGACAUUUAGAGAUGUCAAGUUUCACCAAGGAUGGCAGGCAAUCAGGCAACUGUUUAACUAACUUUGAGCAGUUCCUUAUGGUAAGCUCUCUAAGGCGUGGAAAUAAUUCUACUCCUUCAACCGCAUCAGGAAAAAACCAGUCUUCCCAUUUCGGCAUAUUCUCAAACUUUAGAAACUCCAGGGAUGGAAAAGGCUGGACAACCCCUCCAUAGAACUCCACAUCUAUGGUUCUAAUUUCACUCAUCCCCUUGAUAUGCAAGGUCUUGAGGAAGGAUAAUUUGCCAAGAGAUGGUAAUGAGGUGCAUCUUUGGCAAUUCUUUAGAAUUAAUUGUGUCAUUGAUGGGAAUGAGGGGUCCCUUAUCCAACCUAAAAAUGUUGAUCCACCAUAAUAUGCCACUGUGAGCUUUUUCAAGUUUGUGGGUGGUCGUAGCCCUGCCAAAACAUUCAUCUCAUUCAUUUCAUUUCGUGGUUUAUCAUAAUCGCUGUCCCAUUCCAUCGUCAACUCUUCAAUGUUGUGCUUUUCUUCUAACUUAGCAUGCAUCGCAUCUUGACUAUUCACCACAUUAUGCAACCCUGAAAUGGAAAGCUUUCCUCGAAGAUCCUGCAAGUUCUCCAAUUCUCUUAUUCUGGAAUUAUCAUUUUUGCCCACAAUAUAUUUAGAUAAUGUUUGCAAAUUUGUUAGGUUGCUGAUCUUGAAAGGCAUCUCUUGUAGUUGACUUGUACCAGAAAUAUCAAUAUGUCGAAGGUUGAUUAGGCCUCCAAUCACAACAGGCAACUUAGUGAGUCUCCAACAAUCAGAUAAUAUCAAUGUCUGUAGGUUAUAAAGAUGUCCUACUGAAUUAGGUAACAUUUUUAUUGAAGAGUUAGACAAAUUGAGAUAGCGCAAAUGUCUCAAAUCACCAAUCGAAUGUGGUAGCUCUCCACUUAUGUAAUAGCCACUUAAAGAUAAUACUCGUAAACAUUCAAAUUGCUUUACAAGAUUAUUUAUUACCUUACUUGGUAUGAAGUGAUAUCUAGAAAAUGCAUUGAGUGGCAAUGAGAUUAGUGUUCUCAAACACUUCAUCUUAUGAAAGGCUUUGAAUCUUUCAAGCAUCUCAUACUCUUGACGAUUGAAAGAUGAGUGACGAGCCUUCUUAAAAGUGGUGGAUUGGUUAUUAUUCACUAAUAUACCCUCCAAAUUAAAGCAGAAUUCUCCCGCUACAUAUUGAGCUAGAUCAUUGAUUAGGUCAUGCAUCACAAAUCGUGAUGAAUCGUGAUUAGAUUGUUGAAAAAAUGACCUUGACAAUAAAUCAUAGAAGUAUUUAGAACCCAAAUCUUCUGGUCGGGUAUUUUCCUUUGUUUGUUGAAAAAAACCCUCAGCCAUCCAUAAUUGGAUUAAUUCAUCUUUGUCGAAUUCAUAGCCUUUUGGAAAUAUCGAACAAUAGGCAAAACACUUCUUCAAAUGAGAAGGGAGAUGAUGAUAGCUCAACUUGAGUGCAGGAAGAACUUGACUUUUGUCCUCAGGUAGAUCCCAUAUCUUACUUGUUAAAAUAUUUUCCCAUGCAUCAUGACUUACUUGGUUGCGCAACAUGCCACCAAGGGCCUUUGCUGCCAAAGGCAAGCCCUUGCACCUUCUCACUAUUUCCUCGCCAACUUCUUUCAAGUGUGAAUGAGCAUCGAAAUUACUUUUCCCUAAUGCUUGUUGAGUGAAUACAGAUAAACAAUCUUUGUAUGCUAACUCAUGAAGACGAUAAGCUCGGUAAGUUCGAGUGAUUGAUGCAACACCUUCAUUACGGGUUGUGACAAUAAGCUUACUACCCGGUUCCCCUGAUCUCAUUGGCAUGCACAAAAAAUCCCAUGAAUCAAAAUUCUCAUUCCAUACAUCGUCUAGGAUAAGAAGAAAUUUCUUCCCAGAAAGGCCCUCCCUUAAUGUCAUCUGAAGCAAAUUAAGAUCAUUAACAUCCUGAGUAUUCGGAGAAACUGAUUGUAGAAUUGUUUUCGUGAUCUUCAAGACAUCAAAAUCAUCAGAAACAUAGACCCAAACUCUCAAAUCAAAAUGAGCUUUUAUUUCAUCAUCGUUGAAUGCAAGUUGGGCGAGAGUAGUUUUGCCAAUACCAGCCAUACCGACAACAGGAAUCACGCAGACUUCAUCAGUACAUGGAUCAUCCCUGAGUAACAAGUUGGCUAUGGCUGCUUUAUCUGUUUCCCUACCAUAAACACGGGACUCAUCCACUAAAGAAGUAGUGGGUAGUAUUUCCCUUGUUUUGGUAGAACUCUCCCCAGCAAUGUUCUCACGUAAAUGGAGAUCAUUUUUUUGUGCAGAAAUUUCUUGUAACCUGGCGGUGAUCUUCUUGAUUUUGGACCACAUCUCCGCAUUAAACUUAAUAGCAUUUGGAGUGAAACUAGUACAACAAGAAGGGAUGAGGCUCCGUAACUUACUUGUGCUAGGUUGAGUGCCAGAAGGAUGAGUUUCGGCCAUCAAAUUGCGUCGCAAAGCUUGAGUGACGAAGCCGUCCAAGAUGUCCUCCACAUCAUAAGCCAAGUCUCCGAGCUCGUCAAGCCACAUCUUCACCAGGGGGUCCGUCAUCUGCUUCUCCUCUGCGUCAUGGAGGACUGCAUAGAUCUUCAUCAAAAUUUUCUUCCACUUGUUAAGCUCAGAAUGGACAUGCCCUUCGCUAGCAAAAUUCCAGAGUUCAGGGGGGUUGACCAUGUCAAUCAGUUUCUGGAUGAAACCAGACAAAAUAGCUUCCCCAACAAAAUCAGCCAUGAUUCUUUGUUUGCAAGUAAAAAGGAAUUAUUAAAGAAACUCUCUGCAGCUCUGAAUAAUGGUUUGUAGGAAGCCAAGGGCUUUAAAUGAAGUCUCUGCAACUCAUAUCGUUGAGUCAACAAAAAAAUUCUGUAAGGUUCCAUGAAUGUGAAUCCGAAUUGGGAAAGUUAGGUUUUGGGUCGGUGAUGUGGAAAAUAUAUGAUUUUGAUAACCCAAAGCAUAACUUUCCCAAUCGAAUUAACGCGCAGUAUAAAGUUGCGGCGGUGAGGAUCCACAUGGUGUGGACAAAGUACUAGAACACAUGGGGUUGUGUCCUGGAAAAUAUGAAACUUUACUUACAUUGGUCGUGAAUUUGGGCCCAUGUAUGUAACAAAUUGGAAGACAUAAAAAUAAACUAUAAUAAAAUAGAAAAUGAAAUCUAACUUUGAAUAAAUCAACCUAUUAAUAAAGUAAUAAGAUAAUCUAUAAGGCACUAUAUACAAAGUGUUUUAUGUAUAAAAAAUGUAUUCCUAAUUCAAAUAUAAAAAAUACCCUUCAUGAAUAUAUCGAAGUAUUUUGUACUUCUUUCCUACAAAAAAUAUCUUCCAACAAUAUAUUAAAUAAUUUAUUUAUAUUUUUUAUUAGGGGAUAUUCUUUAUAAGGGGUUUUGUAUUAUUUUGUAUCUUUAAUAUUUAAUAAAUUAAUUUUUCAUAUAUAUUUUUUUAUAUUUUGCUCUUUAUAUUAUCUUUUUAUUUUCAUGGUAGGAUAGAUUUUUUUAUAAGGACAUUCAUAUUAAUAACUAAAUAAUUAGUUUUUUAUAUGAAAUAUUUUAAUGUAAUGAAAAAAAUAUUUAUUUUUUCUCAUAUAUAUUUGGAACAUUGGGAAUAUAAUUGGUAAUUACAUUUUUUUGUUAGUUUUAUUUAUUUAUUUAUUUUUUGUCUUCUUUUUGUUUUAAUUUUCAUAAAUAUAUAUUUACUUUGUGAUUUAUGUGAUUUUAAGGCUGUAUUUUUAUGAGUACUAGUAUAAAAACAUGUACAUAGCCCGUGAUAAUAAAAUAUAAUUUUUUUAACAUUUUAUAAAAUAUAACAAAAACAUUUAAAUAAAAAACUUAUAAAGAAAUUAAUAAUAAAUUUAUAUUUACAUAUCCUUGCAUGAUUUCCAUAGAUAUUGAAGGGUUAAAAAAUAUAUAUUAUAUUUUAAAUUUAAGAUGCUAAUUUUUUAGAUAAUAUUAAUAUUUUUUUUUAUAAGUAAAGCAAGAUAUAUUAAUGAAGAGGCGAAAAGUUACAAGUAUGCCGGAGGUAUACAAAGCAACUACCCCAUCUCAAAGCAAAAAAUAAGAACAAUAAGGCUCACCACUCCUUAGUUGGACGCUAACCAUUCCAAGAACCCUAUAAGGGACAUACGCUCCUUACCAAUAUACAAUCUAGCCCAAUACCACAAACUACAAAUAAAAGAAUUCUUUAGCUUUUGAAUAUCUAACACUUCCCCCUAAAAGUUAGCCUAUUUUUUUCCUUCCAAACCGUCCAAAAAAUAUACAACGGUAUGGAUUUUCAUAUCUUUUUCAUUUUCUUUCCUACAAAAGGGCCCCUCAAGCUAGUUAAGACCUCCUUUACAGUUUCUUGGGAAUAUAAUUGGUAAUUACAUUUUUUUGUUAGUUUUAUUUAUUUAUUUAUUUUUUGUCUUCUUUUUGUUUUAAUUCUCAUAAAUAUAUAUUUACUUUGUGAUUUAUGUGAUUUUAAGGUUGUAUUUUUAUGAGUACUAGUCUAAAAACAUGUACAUAGCCCGUGGUAAUAAAAUAUAAUUUUUUAACAUUUUAUAAAAUAUAACAAAAACAUUUAAAUAAAAAACUUAUAAAGAAAUUAAUAAUAAAUUUAUAUUUAUAUAUAUUUGCAUGAUUUCCAUAGAUAUUGAAGGGUCAAAAAAUAUAUAUUAUAUUUUAAAUUUAAGACGCUAAUUUUUUAGAUAAUAUUAAUUUUUUUUUUAUAAGUAAAGCAAGAUAUAUUAAUGAAGAGGCGGAAAGUUACAAGUAUAUAAGGGGUAUACAAAGCAACUACCCCAUCUCAAAGCAAAAAAUAAGAACAACAAGGCUCACCACCCCUUAGUUGGACGCUAACCAUUCCAAGAACCUUAUAAGGGACAUACGCUCCUCACCAAUAUACAAUCUAGCCCAGCUCCACAAACUACAAACAAAAGAAUUUUUUAACUUUUGAAUAUCGAACACUCCCCCCUAAAAGUUAGCCUAUUUCUUUCCUUCCAAACCGUCCAAAAAAUACACAACGGUAUGGAUUUCCAUAUCUUUUUUAUUUUCUUUCCCACAAAAGGGCCCCUCCAGCUAGUUAAGACCUCCUUUACAGUUUCUAGAAAGACCCACUGCAUACCUGAUAACCCAAGAAUAAUAUCCCACAGAACUUUGACUACUAUACAGUGAAUAAAAAUAUGAUUUACAAUUUCUUCUUCAUAACCACAUAGAAAACAACAAUUAGGAAGCUGCCGUCCUCUUUUUUGAAGUCUAUCAAGAGUGAGCACCCUCCCCCAUGUAGCCUCCCAAGCAUAGAAUGCAACCUUGGUUGGGACUGAAUCCACCCAAAUGCAUCUUGAUGGAAAAACAAUAUCAUUGGGUCUGGCCACCAAUCUAUAAGCUUCUUUGACCCUAAAUUUGCCAUUCCUUCCUCCCUUCCAGUAGAUUGAAUCUUCCUCCAUAGAGGGCUUGUAAUCCCUCAGAGCAUGUAGCAAGUUCCCUAUCAUAUCCAUCUCAAUCGUUAAAGCCCCUCAAAAGUCUUAGAUUCCACCCCUCUUGAGAUAGCCUUGUACCAUUACACCAAACAUCAGUCCAAUAAUUGAUUUUGCUUCCAUUCCCAACCAUGAACCCCAUGUUAUCCCAGCACCAAUCAAUUUCCUUCUAAAUUUCCUUCCACACCCCUACUCCGAACGCUCCAUAAGCCCUCUUUGCUCUCCAACCAUGACCUUCUUGCCCAUAUUUCACCGUUAUCACUUGCUUCCAAAGAUUAUCUUUAUCAUAAGCAAAUCUUCAGAUCCAUUUACCAAGCAAAGCUUUGUUCAAGAGCACUAGCUUCCUUAAGCCUAGCCUUCCCUUGCUCUUAUCCUCACAAAUCGCCUCCCACUUGAUUAGAUGAGCUUUCCUUUCCACACUUCCCCCUCCCCAAAGGAAAUCUCUUUGAGCUUUAUCUAAUCUCCUAGCCAUUGACUUAGGCAUCCGGAACAAAGACAUAUGAUAGAUUGGCAUGCUAACCAAAGUGCUUCUUAUGAGAGUGAUUCUCCCCCAUUUGGAGAUAUAUUGUUGUUUCCAUCGUGCUAGUCUCCUCCUCACUUUCUCUUCCACCCCAUCCCAAACUGAAGGGGCUUUUUUAGGAGCCCCUAAUGGCAAGCCCAAGUAUUGAGAAGGCAGCGAGCCCACCCUACAUCCUAAUUCCACUACCAUUUCCUCAAUCUCCUCCACCACACCAAUUGGGAUAAUUUUACUUUUGUCCAAAUUAAUCCUUAGGCCUGAAGCUGCUUCAAACCAUAAAAGAAUCCAACUCAAAUGUGUUAGGUGUUCUUUGUUAGUCUCACAGAACACGAUUGUAUCAUCAGCAAAGAAAAGAUGGGAGAUUUUUAGAUUGUGUCUCCUAUCACCUUGAAUACUGCAACCUGAGAGGUAGCCCCCGCAACCGCCCUUCUAAUUAGGGCAUCUAGAACAUCCAUUCCCAGAAUGAAGAAGUAAGGAGAUAAUGGAUCCCCUUGACGAAGCCCUUUAGAACUCGGGAAGAAUCCAGUUGGAACCCCAUUAACUAGAACUAAAAACUUGGCUGAAGAUAUACAACUUCACAUCCAACCCAACCACUUUGAGCCAAAUCCCAUUUUGUGUAGUGUCUUCAACAAGAACUUCCAGUUGAUGCUAUCAUACCCUUUCUCAAUAUCCAACUUACAAAUGAACCCUUUCUCUUUUCUUUUCUGCCACGAGUCUAUCACCUCAUUCGCAAUUAAAGAAGCAUUAAGGAUUUGUCUUCCUAUCACAAAUGCAUUCUGAGUUGGGGCUACCACUUUGUUUAACACUCUCUUGAGUCUAUUAGCUAACACUUUAGCCAUCAAUUUGUAUAGCCCCCCAGGAGGCUAAUGGGUCUAAAAUCUCCUGAAUUAGCCGUUCCCCCUUUCUUAGGAAUCAGAACCAGAAAAGUAUUAUUGAGACUUUUGAGAAAGGAGCUUUGCUCAUGAAACUCCUUAAACAUCUCCAAGAUCUUCACUUUCACAAAAUCCCAACAACUUUGCCAAAACGCCAUAGUAAAGCCAUCCGGCCCAAAGGCUUUAUCCCCAUUCAUCUCCAUCAAAGCUGAAUGAAUCUCAUUUUCAAAGAACGGAAUCUCAAGAUUCUCUGCUUCUUGCUGGCUAAUUUGAUCUAAUUGGAUCCUCCCAAUAUCCGCCUUCCACCCCAAGUCUUCUGAGAGCAUCUGUUGAUAAGCAUUUGCAAUCCCUUCCCUUACUUCCUGUUCCUCUAACAGCCAAACCCCAUCAGUUUUAAUUUUGUCCAAGGAGUUAUUGUUAUGGUGGGCUUUCGCCAUUCGAUGAAAAAAUCUCGUAUUUUUAUCCCCUUCCUUAUGCCAUAUCUCCCUUGAGAAUUGUUUCCAAUGACUUUCUUCCAAGAGAACCCAUUUUUUAUAGCUUUCCUUUGCUUCCUUUUUUAAUUCUGUCUCCUCCAAAGACGAUCUUCUUUCACUUUCCACACUGUCUGAAUAAUCCACUUGUUGUAGGGCUACAUUUUUGUUACCUUCCAGAUUUCCAUAGACCUCUCUAUUCCAAACUUUUAGUUUCUGUUUGAGUUCCUUUAUCUUUGCUGCUAAUCUAUAACUAGCCCGCCUCCUUCUAGAAGAAUGGGGAAGUGGUCAGACAUAGGACGGGCCAACCUUCUUUGAAUCACCCCAUUGAAUUGAUCUAGCCAACUAAGAGACACCAAGAACCUGUCCAAUCUUGCCCAGGUCUGGUUAUUAAGGCCCCCGCUCCAUGUGAACACUCCCCCUUGCAACGGGAAAUCUACCAGCCCUAAAUCAUCAAUAAUAUGUGCAAACAUCCUCAUGGUCGAGGUUAUUCUCCCUUGUCGGCUUCUUUCUCUUUGAAAGAGGGUACUAUUAAAGUCACCCCCUAAGCACCAAGGCUCGUCCCAAAUUCCUCUUACAGCCCCAAUCUUUUCCCACAAACAUUCUCUUUCCUCUUUAGUGAAUGGGCCAUAGACUCCCGUAAACACCCAAACAACCUCAUCUUCCAUAUUCUUGAAUCUACACGAAAUAGAGUACUGGCCCUCCUCCCAAUCCACAAUUUCCAGCGACCUUUUAUCCCAGCAAAUCAACAGUCAUCCCGCUGCCCCAUCCGCAUCCAAAACCCUCCAAUCUAAGAAUCUUCCCGAGCCUAAACUUCUCACCACGCCUUCCGACAUUGGCUGAAUUUUUGUCUCCUGAAUACACAGUAGGUCAACUUUUUGAUUUCUUAUGAAUGUCUUGAUAAUUUUCCUCUUGGACCUAUCAUUUGCCCCCCUCACAUUCCAACUUAUCAGCUUUAGCUUCAUUAAUCUAUUGCAAGUUGAUCCCCUUUGCCCUGUGAAGGGUCUUUUUGCUUAUACCCCUUCUCAUAAUUAACUGAACACUCCAGCUUCUUCAAUUCCCUUUCAAAUUUUGACUUUUCCAAUUCUUUGCUAUGAAUUCUCUCCNNNNNNNNNNNNNNNNNNNNNNNNNNNNNNNNNNNNNNNNNNNNNNNNNNNNNNNNNNNNNNNNNNNNNNNNNNNNNNNNNNNNNNNNNNNNNNNNNNNNNNNNNNNNNNNNNNNNNNNNNNNNNNNNNNNNNNNNNNNNNNNNNNNNNNNNNNNNNNNNNNNNNNNNNNNNNNNNNNNNNNNNNNNNNNNNNNNNNNNNNNNNNNNNNNNNNNNNNNNNNNNNNNNNNNNNNNNNNNNNNNNNNNNNNNNNNNNNNNNNNNNNNNNNNNNNNNNNNNNNNNNNNNNNNNNNNNNNNNNNNNNNNNNNNNNNNNNNNNNNNNNNNNCCCAUACCCUCUCGUCUCCCCGUCCCUCAUCUGACAAUAGUAGCUCCUCGGGCUUUUCAAUGGCCGAUUCCACCUCCACGCGCAAGACGGAGCAUGAAAGGUUGUCAUUCUGACCUCCCCCCAUUUUCGACUGUCAACCCUAACCUUUUUUACUGACGACUUGAGCUCCCACCAGAGGGCGAGGGUGUAAGCUUCCUCCUCAAUCCCAAUCACCAACGUACUCGGUUUAGCUCCGUCGUCCGUCUUAACUAGAAUCCUAGCCCAUUGGAGCUCUUUCAGCUUCACCGUCUGUGGAUCGAUGGCAACAGAGCCAUUGCAUUCAUCGCCCACCCUUCUCAGCAUAGUCGGGUUCCACAACGAUACUAGUAGUCCAAAGAUUCUAACCCAAACUUCAUUACUUUGUUCCUCCUCCUCCCUACAUCCACUGCAUUUCUCAAAACUCAGCCUUAACCCUCCCAUCAUUUUUUCUCUUGAAAGCGAAACUCGUUGAGCUUCAUCCAAAGAUUCAAAUUCCAACAAGAUUCUGCUUCUCUCCAAUUUUGCCAACCCUAACCUUCCUUUCAAUCCCUAAGAGCUCGCCAGAAAUUUCCUCAAUUUCUCCAAAUCUCCUUCAUCGCUUGACCUAGGGUUCCAACUCCCAACAACACAAUACUCCAAUUUUUCCAGAUUUCUGUGGAUUUCCUCCCUCCAUUCCUUCACCUGAAUUGAAUUUAUAUCUCUGCAAAUCGGUCUCUUCACCACUUCCGCGAACGUUAUUUUCACAUCCAUGUUUCCACCGAUCAUUUCUUCUUGCAUAUUGUCCUUUCUGUUGAUUGACCUUCGUAGUAUCUGUAGAUUUUCCGCCAUUGCAGCCCAUCCCUUUUUUCCUCCUUUACCUUUUGGGAUGUGGAUACAAUAUUGUUUUCGUUCCAAGUCAGUUACCCUUAGCCGGAGGAAGCAUCCCGCUUUAUUUACUCUUCGCAACAGAGAGUAGGAUCUCCCCUAUUCCUUGCAUUCCCUCACCCAUCGUCUUCCUUCUCGUCCCUUAUACAGUGGUUUAGGCCCUCCAUUAGGAACCCUAAACUCUCCACUCCCACUCUGACCCAAGACGAAACUACCCCCUUACUUUCCUCUAUAAAUAUUUGGGGUUUUCUUCUUCUCUCUAUAAGCUCCAACUCGAACACCUUGGACUCUACUGUGAACCUGCUUCCUCUUCGCCUUUUUCGAGACCCCUCCUUAUCUUCAUCUCCCUCGCCGGCGUAAACUCGCCUUUUUCCUUCCUCACGUUCUCGCUCACCGCCGCGCUCACACUCUCUCUCUCGUUCUCUCUCUCCCAUUUUAUCUUGGAGGUAGAAGUCUUGCAAUAAAUACUUACUCAGAUAAUAUUAAUAUUUACUAUCAUAUUAUAUUUAUUUACUUAAUAUUAAUACAUGUUUGAUAUAAAGAAGAUUAAUAAAUUAAUAUUUAUAUAUUCUUUUAUAAUAAAUAAAUUAAUAAUAAAUUUAUUUAUAAAAUAUAAUUUUCUAAUAUCUUAUAAAGAAAAAUUUUAAAUAAAAAAGUUAUAGUUAAAUGAAUAGCUCUCAAUAUUAAUAAAUUAUGAAUAUAAAUAAAUUCAUAUUCAUGUAUUUUAUAUAAUAAUAAAUUAAUAAAAUAUAUUUUAUAAUACAUUCAUAUUCAAUUUUAUGAUUCUUAUAAUAUUAAUAUUUAUUAUAUUAUUAUAUUCAUUUAUCAUUAAUAUUUAAUAUUUAACUACCUUGUAUGAUCCACCAAUUCAGUUGACAGUUACUCAAUUGUCACUUAUUUAAGGUUGAUGGAUAUCUUUAGAGGAAGGUAAAUAUAUUAAUCCUAGUCUAUCUCUUUGUUAGUGUCAACAUCAACAUCAUUACAACCCCUUUACCUCUUUAUCUUCAAUCAGUACAAUCACUCAUAUCUGCAAAUCCAAUAUUAGUACAACCUCCUACCUUUUUAAACUCACAAUCAGUACAAUAACACAUUUCUUUAGACCUAACAUUAGUACAACCCUUACUUCUUUAAACCCAUUAUUAGUACCUACUAUAUCUUCAAACCCACCUUCAAUACCUGCCACCCAAUAUGUUGAUCACCUUUCAUUGCACCUUAAUGCUUCCUUAGCUACUCCAUUAAGACCUGAGUUUAAGACAUUAGUCAUACCCCUAGCAUAGAUAUUUGCACCAUUUUCUCUAUUACUACCAAAGUUAUCUAUAUUUGUCCUUGUACUUGUAGAAACUGUCACAUCUACUCUACUAGAUUUACCCCCAACCAUUCUAAGGGAUAGGUAUGGCCCACGUUAAUCUAGAUUGCUACCUCCACCACCUUUAUUUCUAGCUCCAUCAUGAAGAAAUGUUUAUCACAUGUGACAUGUAAUACCUACUACAAUUAGAGAGGGGCGACCAAAAAGGAAGAGAGUACCAACUAUACAUAAGUCCUCUUUCUACAAAGGCAUAUGAAAUUAUAUAUAUAUUUCCAUUAUAUAAAUGUUUAAUAGGUAAUUUUUUAUAACUUUGAUUAAACUAAUAAAAAUUAUAUUUUGUAGUAGACUUUUUAAAAUUAAUUUUAUUAACUAAUUUUGAAAUGUACUUUCAAGGUAUAUAUGUUGUGUGUAAAAAUAAGUCUUUUUUUUUUACAUGAAAAUUAUAAACAUAUGUGUGGACCCCGCAUUUUGGUUUAUGCGUUUCCACUCGAUGGCAAACUCGAUUUUUAUUUUGAAAAUGAUUUUAUUUGUUCAAAAAUGACUUGGAGUCGCCACUUAUUUUUGUUUUAUUUUUAAAGGGUAAACAAAAUAAGAAACAAAACCCUAAGUGUGACUUCUUAUUUUGGAAAAGGUGGUCUGUGAAAAACCAGAUCGGGUUCGAGGGUCAGUUUACUUAUCGGGAAGGUAUGGUACAGACCGUAGCACCCCUCUAAGUCCCUAAAGUCGGGUUUCUACUAAUGAGAUGAAGCAAUCAUGACAAUGAAUGAGUGAAUAAAUGAAUACCCAGAAUAAAUCAUGCAUACGUGAGAGUUAGAACAUGCAUAGACACUGAUCAAAGUGAAAAUGGGUACGUACCUGGGCAGUGAGCCACUAUGCGCUAUCAAGAGGGAGGGUUAGUGCACAAUUAAGGAAUAAUAGCAUGCACGUCAGAGAACAGGAUAAAUCAAUCAUGCAUGACAAUUAAAUUGGUCAAUCAAUCAAUUAAUUAUAAAGUCACUCAUGUUGGGCUCCCACCAAAGCCCGUUUAUUUUUGCAUGAAUUAAUUCCAUAAAUUCCAUUAUUCGAAAUUACGGAAUUUAAUUCAUGCUUAUUUCAAAACAUUUUUAAAACAAAA
rnacentral:lncRNA from 1 species